rnacentral:lncRNA from 1 species
AAAAAAAAACAAAACACGAACUCUAACCAACAAAAAUAGAAAAACCAACCUUAACCCUUGAUCCUUGUAGUCCAUCGAGAGGUUCAGCACUGGACAUGAUCGAGAACAUUCGGUUCCCCAGCCACAGGUUUGGCCAUCGACAAAGAUUUUCAGAGGGAAAUGAAAUUUUUGGAAAUGGGUAGUGAACAAAAAUAAGGCUGAAAUGAUUUUGUUUGGAGAGUGGGGAAAAUUCUGGCGAGUGAGGAGAAAAGGGAAUACAUAGGGUUCGGUUUACAGGGAUUUUUCUUAAUGGUUGUUGGAAGAACAAAGAGAUGUGAUGAGGUAAAUGUAAUAUUAUAUCUUGUAACCAUUGUCAACUUAAAUAUGCUUUUGACUAUAACAAGUGGGUUUGCUGAAAUUGAAUGAUCAAUCCCACGAAAACUCUGAAACCGGGGGAUCUCGGCGCGCGUUUUACUUGAUCUAAGCGGCUGGCUUGGCUCCCUCUUUUUUUUCUCUCUCUCUCUUUACCGGCUGCCAUGUUUGGUGAAGAAAUCUAAGGACCUACUAGGCGGGAUCGGGUUUUGCUUAGGCAAUAAAAGCGGCGAGGAUCCCCACGAAAACUCUGAAACCGGGGGAUCUCGGCACGCAUUUUACUUGACCUAAGCGGCUGGCUUGGCUCCCUCUUUUUUUUCUCGCUCCCUCUCUACCGGCUGCCAUGCUGGGGAAUUCUAGUGACCCACUAGGCGGGGGUCGGGUUUUGCAACCCUUAGCAGCUUGGUCGUAUUGUUUUGUUUUUAUCGGCUGUUAUGUUGGGUGAAGAACUCUAAGAACUUGCCGACUUUGCUUUCUACCUGACCUAACAAUCAUAUUUUGCUUUCAAACAAUCUUAUACAAAUGUGUAUGGCCAAAAGAGGGAUUUAAAAUUAAUAUAAAAAAGGCAUUAGAAUAUGGCAAAAAAGGGGAUUAAAAUUGAGAUAAAAAGAGAACCGCACAUAUUAUUAUGUACAUAAUUCACAAUAUUCAGAAAAUGAACCAAGUGUUCUACUCAUUUCUAAGCUAUCAAUAUAUGCAUUUUCAACAUAUGUAACAUAUUCAAAUAAAAAAUACAAUCACAAAUCCGAGCUCCGUUCUCAUGCGUUAGGCAUACAUGCUUUUUUAUGCUAAAAAGCGAAGUAGACAUGGUACUUAUUCUAAGCAUAGAGCAUUGCAAAAGUUUCUAAAUUUUGACAUUUUUAGCAAAAUUUGCAAAAUGAAAAUUUCCCAAAGGACAUGGAAUGUGCAAGGCUACAACCCCACCCCCCACUUAAAAAUAUGCAUUGUCCUCAAAGCAUUUUAAGCAAGAUUCUACGGAUGGAAAAAAAAAAAAAAAAAAGGAGAACAGAAGACCUCCCCUUGUAACCUAGUUUCUUCAUGGAAGCUUGCUUGCAAAGAUCCCAAGUUUGGUUAUAUUUCAUUUUCCUUUAUUCCUACAAAAAGAAAACAAGAAUUUCCAUCGAAUUUUAUUAAAAAGGUUAAACUAAAAAUUUUAGAAAAAUGUGCAGAAUUGUUUAAGCUCGGUUGCAUUUUCUAAGCAUCACUUGAAUUAUUAAAACGACCUAACAAAUAUUCAAUACAAGUUCGUAAUUCAUAACCUACCAAAAAGUUCAAAAAGAUUGUUGUUGGUGUUCCACCAAACCUUUUGUAAAUUACAUACAUCAAUAGGAAAGAAGCAAGAUGCCCAGUUUUUUUGAAUGCUGUUGUUUUUCUUUCUUUUUUUUUCUUUAACUUGCUGUAAAUUGGAGAUGUUUUCCAUAACUACUUUGGCUUAUGUAAUUUACCUUCUCCCUAAAUGCAACCAUAAAUCAAACAAAGUAGAUGAAUAAAUUUACACCACAGAAAUCCAUCCUAUGAAGACUAGAGCGGAGAAAGAUGGGAUAAGGAUAAAGCAUAGGAAGAGCAAAUAUCCGAUGGGAAGUAAACUGAUAAAAAAUACUUUGUGUUGAGAGUAAUAUAUCCACCGAACCAAUUUUCUGGCAGCCAUUAAGAUUUACCCACUGCAACUCUGCACACAAAUAUUUUCUUAUAAACAAUAAUUAACACAAUCUAAUUGGUAUCUUAUUGAUAUAAAAGACAGCAUGGAUCCAUAUUGGAAGGAUUUCAAAUUAGUCUACGAACAAAGAAUUUGGAAGAAUUUCAAAUUAGUCUACGAACAAAGAAUUUGGAAGGAUUUCAAAUUAGUCUACGAAUAAAGAAUUUGGAAGGAUUUCAAAUUAGUCUACGAACAAAGAAUUUGGAAGGAUUUGUGAUCAACUAAGGAGCUCUCGACUUUCUCCGCUGGAAUUUACCUUCCUUGGGUACUUAUCGACCAGAGACUGGAAGUAGUUGUGCUCUUCGUCCACAGUAGUCAUCCAAAGAGCAAGGGAAAGACCACGACGCGCAGUGGAAUAGGAAAAAGAGCGUCGAGCACAGCUUUCGUGUCACCAGCAAUCGCUUUUCCUUUAUUGGUAGACCGAAAAGGCUUUGUCAAGCAGGCAGGCAUGAUUGUCACUCGAUCGACAGUUGAGAAAUCCAGCGCUGUUAGGGCUAGGAGAAGAAGAUGGCCGUGAAUCGCGAUUUUGAGGAAGACGAAGAAGAUAAGAGAAGGGGAGAGGACGAGAAAGUAGAGAGAAAGAGCCGUUAGAGAAGAAGUAGGGGAAGAAAUUCAUUUUAUUUAAAAUUCAAUUGCAUUAUUUAUUUAUUUAUUUAAUUUCUUUUUUUUAUUUAUUUAAUUUAAAUAAUAUACAUAAAUUUGCAAAUUGGAAUAUAUAGUUAUAUUACUUAUUAUAGAAUAUCAAAUGAAAAUAGUGAUUAGAAGAAAUGUCUAAAAUAAACAAAAAUAAUAAAUAUUCAAAAAAAAAAAUCUUUAAAAUCUGGGGAUAGGGAUCAACAAGUUAUUGAAAAUUUUUUCCUCGCCAAGUAGAAUUGCUUUAUCAACGAUUCGAUGAAUGUAUCUAUGUUCAAUUCGUGUGUGUACAUGUAUGAAUCAAGUUCAUUUCGUUAGGAUGAGGCUCAUCAAUUUAAUUAGGGAUCGGUCUUAUGAUGAAACAAUUCAUUGCAUUGAUAAAUCCAAUAUAAAAAACCAUUUUACCUAUACUCAUUAGAUAAAUCCAGUUCCUCAAUGAGCGACUAUGUGGAUAAGAUAUAUUUAUGUACAUAUCUUAUUAUUUAUAAUUUAUAAGAAUUAUAUACACUAGACUCAUCGUGGCUAGUGGCUUACUCAGAAAUUGAAUCAAAUAGGCCUUUUUAACUUAGUGGUAGAGUAACGUCAUGGUAAGGCGUAAGUCAUCGGUUCAAAUCCAAUAAGGGGCUUUGGCUUUUUUCAUAAAACUCCAGCCGUAGUAUUCAUAUUUGAUUGAGGGAAACGUGAGUGAGAGAGAAGGGGAGAUGAGGGAAAAACUAUAAAGGAUUUAGUGAAGAAAAACCCAUUUAAAAUAUAUUUGAAUUAUUUGUGAUAAAGCUCAUUUAAAACCCAAAACAAUUUCUUUAUAACUAAAACAAAUAUUUUGUUUUUAAAAUUUAGACUAAAAAAAUCAAAUUUUACUGCAAAAACUGAGAUAAAAUUGUCAAGAAAAAAAAAAAAUAUAUUUUGUUUUUCAAAUAAUUAUAAUCCAUAAUUUUCAAGAAAUGUGAAAUUUCAUUUAAUAAGAUAAAAAAAAUUGUGAACAUUAGUUUCCAACUUUGGCAAUGGAUGAAAGUAUUAGAAAUUGAAAAUAAUUGUUAGACAUGCAUGUUAGCCGUCACCACAAACCAAUCCAAUUUUUCAUUCAAAAAUGUUGAAUUUAUAAUUAAUGGUUCUCGAAACAUUCAUACAAUUUUUUUUUUAAUUUAACUUACUUAAUUUGAGUUUUCUUACGAUGUUCAUGUCGAUAUUAUACGAAAAAUUGUCUUAAAUGAUAAAAUUGCUGAAGAUAUUCACAAAUAUAACAAAGUUUUACCGUCUGUUAGUUAGUGAUAGAACAUGUACUAGUGGUCUAUCAAUUAUCCUCUAUGGUUUUAGUUUAGUGGUUAUUUAUCAAGCUCUUAAUAAAUUAAAUAGUGAUUUAACAAAUAUAAUGUAAAAGAAUAUUCCAAGAAUAACCUUGGAGUAUCACUUGAAUUUUCAAAACGACCUAACAAUGCUAAACUAUAAGCUCAUAACUCAUAACCUAUCAAAAAAAGUACAGAUAAAACAAAAAAACUAUUUAAAUCUUGAAAAAUGAAAUAUGAGAAAAAAAAUGAAAAGAGAAGAAAUAAAUUUUAAAGUAUAUGUAAAUUUUAGAUAUUAAGUAAAAAAGAGAAUAUGUAAGUUGAAUUUUAAUCGGUAAGAAUAUGGAUGUCUAGAAACAAAUUUUUAAUUUUUUAAAAGUUGAUUUAUAAUCAUUUGAUUUCUUUAAAUUCAACAACAUAAACAUAAAAUGAUUUGAUUUUGAAUUUAUCACACCUUACAAAUAUUUUUCAAAUUUCAAAUCAAGAGAUACUAAGUUUGUUGACCUUACCCACUUGAUUGCCAUUUUGAGACUUGUUUAAGACUAAGUUUGUUUCACUUGCAUACUUGGUUGUCAUUUUAGGUCUCAAAGUGCAUUUUGCAUUUUGAACUUUUUUUUUUAAUGGGCUUUAUCAAAAAUAAUUCAAAUGGAAUUGGCAGAUGGCUGAGGGCCUUCGUGAAACGUGGGAGAGAAGCGAUAAGAAUAUGGAUGUCUUAAUGGUCAUAGAAAUUUAUUAUGCUUGGUUUUUGCUUGAAAUUUUUUCUAUUAUUUACUUUAUUGAACACACACGAGCACCCGUACAUCUGGAUUUGUAAGAAUAUGUAUCAUUAUAAGGUUUCCAUCCAUCUUUCUUAUGCCAUCGAUGAAGUUUUCGCUUAGAUCUUUAUCUUAGUUCGGCCUCUUUAAAAUGUUACUCCAUACAAGGAAGAUCGAAAGUUGUGAUUACCAAGUGUAGAUUUGUAUUGUAUAGUUGCCUUAGUUAUUUUUUUAAUUAUUCUUUUUAGACGUUAUUUUCUUUUAUAAUUAGUUCUCUUUAGUUAGAAUUUCUAUUAAAUUAUACUUACCUAUUAUCAAAUCCUUUUUCCGUAAUAAGAGAAAAUGGAGUUUUUCUCAAAUAACAAAAAGUGAUUAUUUAAGAUAGUAUGCUAAAGGGAACACAUCCAACUACCAUGUUCAGAAUAUUACCUUUGCCGAUUGAAAGUCUUGGAUUCUUGGUCAACUUUGAACGCAAAUUUUUCUUAGUUGAUUAAUAAAUAUCAGGGUAAAAAGAUCUUAUAUUGUAAUAUUGUUUUGCUUCACUUGCAUCAUACACUAAAACACAAGAUUAAAAAAAAAUAUUAUAUUUAGACUUUUGUAUGGUAGAUUAGGUGUUCUCUUUGAAUUGGUGGUUGGUAUUGGCUUUCUAAUUAUGAUAUGAUUUUGGGAACCUUUGAAUUAUGUUCUUCAAACCUUCUCUCUUCGAUUGAAGCUUAUUAUAUUUUAUCGUUGUUAGUAUGUUUUUUUUCUCUCCAUUUUUUCCCUUCUAAUAUUUUUAUUUGAUAUAUAAUGUGCAUAAAAGAGAAAGUAGUUAAUGUGUUUUACAUUGUUGUGUUGUGCAAAGUUGGUGCACUUGGUUCAAAUAUUUAAGAUUUGGUGAAGCACUUGGAAUAGUCUAAGUUCAAACUUUUAAUCUGUAGGAUAAUUUACUUUAUAAGAAUCACACAUUUACCUUUUUUUUUUUUUUUUUGAAAUAGGAAAGGAGCCUCUUCAUUAAGCUGAAAAUGAGUAGACAAGACAAAAGAUAAUACAAAGAAGCCCUAGGAUCAGCUAGUGCACUCGGACAUCUCAUCUAGGUUGACACCCACUUAGCGUUCUCACCAUAUCGAGACUUAAACCAAAAGACUAAACCAACGACAAGGUUUAGAAUAGAUCAUACAAACUGCCCAAUAACUAUACAACAUAGAUUUAAGACCACUAGAAAUCCAAAAGAAAUAAAAUAAGAGUACAGUAGUGGACUAAGAAUUAAAAAUGAAAGUCGGCAGUUAUGACUUAUAUCUUGUAUGGAGAAAUCUUUGAUGUCUUUUGAAAGAGAGCAUCAAGUAGAAGCAUUGAUUCUAGCCAUUUCGACUCGAGUUGUCCAAGAGAAAGCUUUAUUUUGAAAUGUUAGUUGAUUAUGUUCAAACCAAAUUUCUGGUAAAAUGGCCUUUACUGCAUUUAACCAAAUCAAUCUUGGUUUCUUCUUGAGAAUGGGACAUGAAAUAAGCUGGACCGCGUUCUCCUAAAUCUAUAGUCGAAAAUCCAAUUCAAAUGAAGAUAGCCAAGUAAGCCAAAACCAACACUUCUUUGCAUGUAGGCAGGAGAAGAAAAUAUGAUGUAAAUCUUCUAAAGCAUGCAAACACAAGGGACAAACAUGAGGAGAUAAACUGAGAAAGGGAGGUUUCAUUUGCAAAACUUCUGCACAGUUCAUAGUCCAUUUCGCAUUCUCCAAAGCGUGAUAUUCACUCUUCUAGGGCUUUCUGUCUUCCAAAUUGUCGAGUACUUUGUUUUCAAGACUGUGUUAGAACUGAGAUGUUUGGCUGAUUAAUAAAUUAGUAGAACACACUAUUUGGUGUUCUAUCAUUUUGGUAUCGGAGAAAUCGAAUCUGUGAAGUUCUAUAUCAUGGCUCAAAAGCGAAUUGAGGAAAAGUUGGAAAUGGUAGAUCAAGAAAUAUCCGGCAUUCGAGCAGAAUUACAUGAUCUGCCAACAAUCAAGGAAAACGUGUCAUCUUUGGCGAAGAGUAUUGAGAGGUUAGGAGUACAGGCUGAGAAGCAACAACAGCAACCAGAAACACUGUUGAAAUAUAUUGAAGGAAUGAUCAAAGGGAAGACAACGAUGGAAGAAGUACUAGAAGGAUCAUCAAGUGAGUUGACAGCAUGGUUGAUGUCAGUGAUUGGACGAUGAUGGGAGGAAAAUAUGAGGAAAAACAUACCAAGUUGGAGGGUGAAGAUUCUGCGGGCGACCGAAGCAAAUUUAAAAAAAUUGAAAUGCCAGUUUUUGUGGGAAAUGAUCCUGAUUCUUGGUUGUUUAGGGCUGAGAGAUACUUUCAGAUACACAAACUGAGUGAGUCAGAGAAAAUGACUGUGUCCAUUAUUAGUUUUGAUGGAGCAGCUUUGAAUUGGUAUAGAUCUCAUUAUUAGUUUUGAUGGAGCGAGAUAUAUCCUAUUAAAGUUGUCGUGUUACUUAAUCGCAUUAUAACGCAAAGACAUUCCUUUGCUCUUUCUUGCAUACAAGUUAGUUCCCAUUUCUAUUUUGUCAUCCAUAUUCCCUCUUAUAGAAUCUCUAAGCGUAGAUAUCUAGUGGUAGUUUGUUCUUGUAUUUCUUUUAUACCAUUCGUUAUUCUUUAAUUCUUUUAUACUGCCUAGAUAAUAAGUAAUACCUAAAAUUAAUAUCUUGAAUCAAUUCCUUAUGUUCGACCCGGGAUCACCCAAGUAAACCUACCAUUUCACUUGCACUUGGACAAGUAGUAAGAAAACUUGUACUCAAGAGGACUUAGUUGCCACACGAUAUGAAGGUCUAGUGAGCAAUUCACAUGCAGUUAACAUGCUUAGUGAUAUAUCGCCUAGAUUGAGUAUAAUUUUCAUUCACCAUUUACUAACACUAAGUCCUGAUUGUUGAAGAGAAACAACACCUCAAUAACCGGAGCGAUCGACUUCUAUCUUUAGUUAUUCGAUCUUGAACCUUAAUUGCACCGAGAGAUGGCCUGGGAUGAAACAAAUUUACAUUUAUUUUAUUCAGUCUCGAGCAUACAUUGUCCUAAGAUGCUACAUUAUGAAAGACUUCUGCCUUUAGUUAUUCGAUCUCAGGCCUUAAUUGCACUGAAAUGGCUCGGGAUGAAAGAAUUCUGUCUUUAUUCUAUUUAAUCUUGGGCAUACAUUACAUUGAGAUGCUCCGAAAUGAAAUUUUUUUGCCUUUAGUUAUUCGAUCUCGACCUUAAUUGCAUCGAGAUGACCCGUUAUUAAUAAAUCACAAAGAAGAUAUAAAUCGCAAGGACGUCUAUGGAAUUUGUGAAAAAAUAAUCUCGCAUCAUGGACUUUUCUUAUUUUGUUAUACGAACCAUAAAUAUUUUGGAUUUUUCUACAUUUAUGUAAAUUACUCUUAAAUUAAUCUAAUUAAUAUUUAAUUGGAAAUCACCGCCACUUGGAUAUAGGAAUACGGGAGCAUCCCACAUUCUCUAAAUAACACCCACAUAUGGAAGUUAUUAUCUUAAUUUAAAUUAAUGAUCACAAAUAGCAAAAAAGUUAAAACUAUUUACAAAAUAUAGCAAAAAAUUGAAACUAUUUACAAAAAGACUCAAAUGUGCUAUAGAGAAUUUAAUUAUUAUGCUAAUUAGUUUCAAUUUAAUUAGUAUAUUUGAAAAUUCCACUUAAAUUUGAUUAACACUAAAAUAAUUAGUUAAUAUAUAAUAAUUAUUUAAAUCACAUUUAAUUAAUAUUUCAUUUAAAUCACAUUUAAAUGAAUAUCUCUCACAUAACCAAUAGUUUGAAUUUAAUUAAAUAGAAUUAAACUAAAUUAUUAAUUAAUUCUUCAAUUAUUUAAUUUCUAAAUUAAAUAUUUUAUAUUUGAUUUAAUAUAGAUUUGAAUCAUACUCAUAUAUGAAUUUCUCUCAUAACCUAUUGUUUGAAUUUGUAUCAUAUACGUAUUAAAUUUUAAUCUAUAGUUUUAUUACAAAUUUAAUUCAUAUUAAAUUAAUAUUUGAACUCAUUCAAAUAUUUAUUAUUUCAUAAAUUAAUUUUAAAUCAUAUACAAAAUUAAAUUUAUAUAAUAAAGUUCAAUUAAAAGAUAAAUUUUAUAUUAUAAUAUAUCACCAUACAUUAUACUAAUUUUCAAAGUAAAUAUGAACAUUUCAAAUUACAGUCAAUAUGUAAUAACCUUAAUACCCUUUACAUACUAGGAAGGGACCUAAUAAAUUUACAUUUCAAAGUGAAAUCAAUUUAUUUACUUUAGUUGUCGUAUUAUCCUUAAGAGCACCUCAUGCCUCCACAUCAAUAAUCAUUUUAUCUCAUUGCAACAAUCACCCAUAUAAAUAUUGAAUCAACAUAUGGUUCUGUACCUAAUGAUGAAAAACUUGGCACUGAGCCAAGUAUCUCCCCCAAUAAUCGUAAAGUGAUUCAUCCUUUCCUUGUGUGAUGCCAUAGAUUUUCUUCCUCACACUAGUAGCAUAAAAGGUUGAAAAGAACUUUUCCAAAUAUUGUCUCUACAUCUACUCCCAUGAAAUAAUGCAACCGUGAUCAUGUAAUCAGAAUAUGUAGCCACAUGUGGAGAAGGUCCAUGAGCUAUCCAUCUUAAGGAAGGCGUGAUGGAAUUUUUAGGAACUUCGAGAGCGAGGGCAACCUACAAAAUAUAUUGGAUAUGAUUAGUUUAGAUCUAAAAUAAACAUGAAAGUGUAUGGUUCUAGUAAUUACCCGUGUGGACAACCACCGACUGAAUGUUCGAUUAUGCUCUUCUUGAAUCCAUUUUUUACUUCUAUAUUUACUCAGUUAAGCUUACACAAACUCUCCAUAUUUUUUCUGUCAGAAAUAACAAAAUUAUUAGGUAAUUACAUAACCAACUUAUGUAAAAUGAGAAUAGAUGGGAUUUAGAACGUACUCAAUGUAUGGUAGAACUUCGUUUACAUUUUGAAUAACGUAAAGAUGAGCUUGAUCUAACUGCUCCUUAAUCGGUCUGAUAAAAGAAGAAGCUGAUAAUGAUCUAUCCACGUUUGAAUCUGCUUUUAUUACAGAUGAGUUUAGUCCAAUAGUGCUAGCACCCACCAUAAAUUUUGAACAGAACUCUAUAGCCUCUUCAACAAUAUAAUUUUCUACCAUACAUCCUUCUGGUCGAUUUCUGUUUCACACAUAAUUUUUCAAAACUUUCAUGUAUCGUUCAAAAGGAUACAUCCACCUUAGAUGAACAGGUCCACAUAACUCAAUUUCUCUUAUGAGAUGCACAACAAGGUGUACCAUUAUGGUAAAAAAUGAUGGUGGAACAUACUUCUCUAAUAGGCAUAGAGUGACAACAACAUCUUCUUGCAUUCCUUUUAAUUGUGAUGAACCAACUGUCUUCUUACAUAUAGCAUUAAAGAAGAAGCAUAGUCGAACAAUUACAAGUCUUACAUGUUUCAUAAAAUACCAUGAAUUGCCACAAGUAGCAACUGUUGUAUAAGAACAUGAUGGUUUGUACAAGAAUUUCUUCCCCACUCGAUGUCGUUAAAAAAAUAAUUGAUCUCUAAUUGUAUUCACAUCUAAAGUCUUUGCAUUUACGCAUUUUAAACAAGGACAAGUCAUGACGUUCGACAUCUUUGAAUGUUUCAACCCAUUUUUAAUAAACAUCUCAACCCCAAAAGCAUAAUCAGAGGGAGGCGGUGGCUGUCGUGGAUCUGAACGGUGGAAGAACCUCCGGUCGGCGGCUUCGUGAAUCGGAGAUGAAAAGAAAAAGAGGGGUGGGCGGCUGGAAGAUGUGAGGAAGAGGAAGAGAAAAAGAAAGAAAAAGAAAAACGGGGAAGGGACGUGCGAGAGAGAGAGAGAGGAGAGAGAAAGAAAAUCUUUGAUUUUCUUUUCUUUUUUUUUUAUUUCCUUUUUCUUUAUUUAACUUAAUGAUUUAAAAAAAUUAUAACAAUAUUAUUAAAUGUAUAUUAUUAUUAUCUUAACCUUCCAAAUCUCUUUCUCCCUUAACUUCUUUUCUAAAAAAAAGAUAUAUAUACACACAUAUAUAUAAUAAGGUACCCUAGAGUUCGAGAUGUUACAAGUGUAGUCUCCAACAUUAAACCUUUGUCAAAUAAAUUUCCAAACUUGAAAUAAACAAAGAUUACUACUACAUAAACUAAAGUAUAAGAAUUAAUAAGAACAUUUUAAGAUUAGAGAAAUAGAAAUAAAACACAAAUAAUUAUUAUAUGUUUAAAAACAAAAGAUGAACUUACAGUCCCUAUAACACACUUAAUAUAAAUCUAGUCUUCACCCUAUUAACCUCAAUCUCCAUUAACACACUUCUCACUACAUCUCCAUAAGUUCCAAAUCAACACUCUCUAUUUACCAUUACAUUUUCUUACCAAACUAAUCCAGAUACCAAUAUGUUAAUAACACGAAGUCAGUGAAAAAUGUCUCAAAAGUUAAUCCUAAAUUAAAUUGAGGAAAAUAGAGAAGUGAAUAUUACGUUCCAAUUUCCAAACAAUGCUAAACUAAAUCUCUCCCUUUCUCUUAUUUGUAGUUACCUUUUAUAUUUAUCAUUCACUAUUUCAUUUCUUCACUCUCUUUGGUACUUUCCUUCUUUACCUUUAAACCCCAAUCUCCAUUAACCCACUGCCCACUUCCUCUUCAUAUCUUCCAAAUCAACUCUCUAUUUACCAUUACAUUUUCUUACCAAACUAAAUCCACAUACCAAUAUGUUAAUAACAAAAAGCAGACAACAGAAAUUAGAACCUACUAAAGAUUGAUUCAAUGAUCUAUUUUGAUGCCUAAAAAAAAAAGCGUAUGAAAAUUCUUUGAACCUCCAGAAGAAGGCUCGAAAGGGCCUCUGUAGUCCACUCCCUUUCGUCCAAUGUCUGAUGAAGUAAUACCAGAUUGGUAUUCACGGGUUGAGUUGCCCUCUGUCUUGGUCUGCCCUGUGCUAGCCGAAGAUGACGGCUGGGCACGCGAUGGUUGCAAUGGCUGGGCACGGUGGUGGCUAUGGUGGUGGAUUUGAAGAUGAUUGGACACGAGGGACUCUUGCGGCGGAAGCACGACGGCGACUGUGACUGGGAAAGACUUGAAGGAAGAGUUCUGGGCGACUGCGAAUGGUCGAAGAUGAUUGAGCACAACAGAGGCGUUUCUCGAUAGCCAAAGCACAAUGGCGACUGGGAAAGACUUGAAGGAAGAGUUUUAGCCACGACGGCGAUUGGGAUGAAUUAUGGGCACAAAGACGACGAUGAGUUUUAGGUCAUAGAAUGAGAAGAGAAGGGAGAAGGAAAUUCGAAAUCGAGAGAGAAAUUUUUGAUAGGAAUGGGUAAAGUAAGAGAGAGAGGGAAAUUUAAUUUUUACAACUUAAAAAAAUUAAAAAAGAAAUUAAAAAGGGGAAGGGUCUUUAAUGUCAGUUUUCACAUAAUAAAAAAAAAUUAAAAAUUAAAAAUGGAAAUAUCAUUAAUGUCGAUUUAAAACCGACAUUAAUGAUCCGUCUUUUCAGAAAUGACAUUAAAGCCAGAUUUUCAUUUUUUUCACCUGACACUAAAGCCCAUAUUUCUUCUAGUGAAGGAAAGGUUUAGGUUUCACUUUCAGACAUACCAAUUGUAGUCACGCAUCAAUAGUAAGAGCGACAGUUAACCUAUGAGAUAAUUAAACACUAAUUCAACAAACCAUUUAGAAAUUUAAAUCUGAAGGCAUUUCAAUCAAACUUUAGUAACGCUGGGAGAAAACCUAAUUGUAGCCAUUUUCAUUUUUAAAAAAAUUAAACAAACUUUUUUAGUCCAAGCAAAUAAGCUUAUCAAUCUUCAGAUCAAUUCCUCAACUAUAAAAUGUCAAAUUGUAUUGUUUUCUAAGAGUUGCUUAACAAUUUCAUCAUUUUUUUAUGCCUCCAAAAACAAAGAUUUGGCAUCAACUUUAGUGACACCCCUCCCAAACUACCUUCUAUAAGCCUAAAAGACGGGAUGAAGCCAACAAAUAUCGCCCUCCUCUUUCUACUACUACUAACUCAUACAAUGAUACACUGUUGGAAAGGAUUUUUGGAGGUUGGAGGAAAUUUGGAAGAGAGAAUUGAGAUAAGAGGCUACUUGUGUUAUUAGACACUUCUAUUUUUUUGACUUAAUACAAGUCGAAAGGACAUCCUCUUAUUUAUCCUAGUUGUCACUCCUAAAUGAAUGGCUAGGAUUUUGGCAACACAUUCUUUAUUUAACGGUUACAAAUGACUCUCUAGAAUAUUCUUUACAAUUACACUCAUUUCUUAUAUUUUCUAAAUGUAUCUUCAAUCUUCUCUAAAUAUCUCCUACAAUUGAUUUAUCUAGAAUAUUGUAGUAAUUAAUACUUUAUAGAAAUUUGGCUUUUAUUUGGGCUAUGCCUAAAUAUUGUUAACCCAAAAUCAAGUUUAUAUUUCAACAUCCUCUCUUAAACUUGAUUUUGUUACUCCAAGCAGGUCUCUCAAUUUUGUGAAUUCUUUUUUUUAAGAGGCUUAGUGAAAAUGUUGGCUACUGGAUCACGAGUCUUCACGCACUCUAACUAUACUUCCUUUCUUCUGAUGCACUCUCUAAUAUAAUAAUAAUGUGUAUCAAUGUGCUUUAUUCUGGUUGUGGAAAACUAGUUUUUGGCCAAAGCAAUUGUUGAUUUGUUAUCUAUGAAAACUUCUGGUUGGCUCUUCUUUUGGCAAUAUCAUAACUCCUUUAAUAGAUUUCUCAACCAAGUUACAUGAGGUAGCAACCACAUAUUAUGCUUCACACGUAGAGAGAGUAACAAUGGGUUGCUUCUUUGACAUCCAUGUGAAGGCAGUUUGCACACACAUAUGCACACACGCACACAUGCACACGCAUACACAAACACACACAAUGUGCACACUCACACUCACACCCAUCCUCACGACACAUGCGCACUCACACACGCACACCCACCCACACGGGUACACACGCACUCGCACACGCACACGCACACACCCACACACGAACACACGCAUGAGCGCAUGCACACAUCCACAUACACAUGCACGCAAACACGCACGUCCACCCAUACGGGCACAUGCGCAUUCACACACACGCACACCCACCUACACGGGCACACGCGCACUCGCACAUGAGCGUACAAGCACACGUACACGCACAAAUACGCAUGCACACACACACACAUACGCACGCACACACACGUGCACACACAUGCACUCGCACACGCACACCACCCACAUGGGCACACACGCAUCGACACACAUGCACGCACGCACACCCACACAGGCGUAUGUGCACUCAUACACACACAAGCACACGUACACCCACCCACAUUGGCACACGUGCACUCGCACACGCACAUGCACCCACACACAUGCACGCCCAUGCGCAUGCACGCACACGAAAACACACGCAUGAACGCACGCACACAUCCAGACACGCACGCGCACACACACACAUGUACGAACAUACGCACACCCACCCACACAAACAUAUGCGCACUUGCACACAUGCACACACACACACCCACACACAUGCACGCAUGCGUACAUGCACACUCACCCACACGAACACAUACGCACUCACACACACGAGCACACACACACCCACACAGACACACGCACACUUUCACACACACACACAAGCACACGCACGCGCACACGCAUACGUACACACCCACAUACAUGCGCACAUGCACAUGAACACACGCAUGAACGCACGUCCACCCAUACGGGCACAUGCGCACUCACACACACCCACACCCACCUACACAGGCACAUGCGCAUGCACGCACACGAACACGCAUGAACGCACGUGCACACCACAACACAGCACACCCACCCACAUCGGACAAUGCACAUUGCACACAUCCACACACACAUGCACACGCACGGGCAUGCGCACGACACACACCCACACACGGACACAUGCACAUUUGCACACAUCCACACACACAUGCACGCACGCGCAACGCGCACAAUCCACCCACACGGGCACAUGUGCAGUCACAGACACGCACACACACACCACAUGGGCACACGCACACUCUGACACGCACACACAAGCAUAUGCACACACCACACACACAAGCACAUGUGCAUGCACACACACGAACACCGCAUGAACGCACGCACACAUUCACACAUGCAUACACACAUCUACAUACACAUGCACACAUGCACACACGCACACACACAUACGCACACGCACAUCAAUCCGCACGGGCAAACACGCACUCGCAUAUGUGCACACACACACGCACACACGUACAUAUGCACAAAGAUGUGAAAAUGAAUUAAAUUUAAAAAACAAUUACAUUAAUUGUGUUUAGAAUGACUUUUAAACUAUAUUCCUUUAACUUAAUAACAUUAAUUAAAUUAUAAUUUCUAUUAAUAUUGAUUUAAGAGUGUCAUUAGUGUAAUUAUAUCAAUAUAAUGCGACCUUAUCCAAUUUUACCGACAAAAAACAAGUCAAAUAUGGACUAGUAAAUCCACACUCUUUGUCAUAAGAGAUAUAAUAACGUUUUUAUGGGUCAUUUUAAAAAAUGACAAAACAACUUUUUCUUUUGAAUUUUAGCAAAUAACAUUUUUUAUCUGAAAAAGAUACAUCAACCCAUAAUAACACUACAACAAAUCUGGGUUGUAGUGUCAGGUGAAAAAAAUGAAAAAUUAUCUUUAUUGUCGUUUUUGAAAAGGUGGAUCAAACCGACAUUAAUGAUAAGGGUUUAAUGUCGUUUUUAAAUCGACAUUAAUGAUCAGCCAGUUUUAUUUUUUUUUUAAUUUUUGUAUUUUGUAAAAACUGACAUUAAUGACCCCCAUUUUUAAUUUCUUUUUAAAAAAUUGUUAAGUUUUAAAAACUAAAUUUUUCCUCUCUUUCUUACUCUACUCUUUCCCUAUCAAUUUUUCUUUUCUUUCUCUCCAAGUUGGUUUCUAAUUUUUUCUCUUCUCAAUCUGUGACCCUAGAUCGCGAACGGCGACCAAUCUUCAUCGUGCUUCCGCCGUAAAAAUCCUUGGGUUUCUUCAUUUGAUUGUUAACUUGUGACUGCUAGGUAGCAUUAUUGAUUAUUAAUUGUCUUUAUUUUUUCAAAUGUGCAGCCUUAUUCAUACUAUCUUUUGUUAGAAAAAUGAAAGAAGAGAAGGCAUAGAAAUGAGCUUGGUAACUAGCAUUCUUGUAGGUGGAUUUGCCAAAAUGGAAAAUGUAGAGUAAGUAAUUUUGGUAUAGCUAUUUGGAGUGUUUAUGUGAAGCACAAUAUCAUUCAUAAUGUGAUUGUUUUGGUUUUCGAUUGAGAUCAAUCUUGGUAAUUAAUUGUUUUGAAUUGUGUUUUAUUUAUCUUUUAGUAGUAAAUGUUUUGUUUUUCUUUAGUUUAGUUUGAGUAUAGUCUGUUUUGAUAUAUUUGUAGGUUGCAUCUAUUUAUCCAUAUAUUUAUCUUUGAUCAAUACCUAGCUAGUGGAGUCUCUUCUUUUUAUGGGCUUCCUUAUAUUCCAUGUUCUUUUACUAUAUAUUUGAGAUUUUCACCUUCCAUAAAUGAAAUAAAUUAACUAUUUUCAUUUGAAAAGAAAACGAUCCAAUAGGAGUUUGUAAUUACAGUGAAAGAAUAUUGGAAUUUAUUUGAUAAAUCAGUAGCACCAUUGCCUUUUCUACAAAAGGCUGUCUUAGAAGAAACAUUUAUGAAUGGUUUGAAACCAUGGAUUAAGGCAGACAUGGAAUGUUGGGAACCUAUGGGGCUUGUUCAAAUGAUGAAGUUGGCCAAAAGAUUGAGAACCGAGAAGUGAUAAUGGGAGAAUCAAGUUUCAAACGUGCAGCGGAUGGAAAAUUCCAGGUUUCUGCUUCUUUAAACCUCAAAUUCCUGUGAUUUCUAAUGAUAAUAAGUCAGGAGGGAUUGUUCGAAUGCGGAUGAUUACACUUCGAGGAGUGGCUGGUGAACCUAAUCGACGAGAAGGACCACUAAAACGACUUUCUGAUGCUGAAAUUAUGUGUUUCUGCAAUGUUUACCAGAACAUGAAAGAUUCAUUACGAAAAUAAAUACCAUGAAGAAAUAGUAAAACAGUCAAUACAAGAAGAAAAAAGUUCACUUGAAAACGACCUAAAACAGUAUCACCUGAACAAAAUGUGUCUAAGUAUCACUUGAACUUUCAAAACGACCUAAAACAGCUUACGUGUAGGUUCGUAACUCAUAACCUACGAAAAAAGUUCCAAUAGUGUGAAAAAAGCACUACAAGACCCAAAAUGGCUACCAAGUGUGUAAGUGUAACAAACUUAGUUAAACCAACCUAAAACGUGCUCAAAACGUGUCUAGGUAUUACUUGAGUUUUCAAAACGACCUAGCAAAUCCUAAAUAUAGGUUCGUAACUCAUAAUCUACCAAAAAGGUUGAAACAAGCAUUUCAAGACCAAAAAUGACAACCAAGUGCAACAAACUCAAUCUAACCUAAAAUGUAUUAAAAACAUGUUGAGCCAACAAAGAUACACACCAGCAAACUUUUGAACAUAGGACCCUCCUAAAACUACUCACUUUUGAACAUGGACUCCUCAACUAUCUACUCACUUCUGAACAUACAACCUUGAUAGAACACUUAUGUACUAUUCUAUUAUAUUGAUAUUUGAACUUAAAGUUGCAAUAAAGAAAAAUUACAGAGAAAUUACAAACAACAAGCAAAGAAACCCUCCUAAUCCAAAACAGAAAUAAACACAAUUCAAAAUACUACAAUUAAAACCAGAACAAUUCUGGCAGGCCCUUCCUUUUUCUAAAAACUGCCUGCCCUUUCCCAUCUCCCUCUCAUUUAACUUCCUGUUUUAGAUAACUGUCAUCCUUUUGAAUAAGUAACGUUGAUUACUAACGUGCCUUACUUUCCUUUCUUCUAUUAUAAGUAAAAUAACAAUGGUGGUCUAACAGACCUCCUAAACUAUCCACUCUAGAGCAUGUUAAAUCACCAAUUCAUCCAAAAACUAAUGACGUAAAUGUAAUAUUAUAUCUUCAACGUAAAUGUAAAUGUAAACUAAUGACACUAGUGAUUUUGAAACUAAGACAUUGAAGCAGUCUGUUAGGAAGGGUGAUGGAACCAGCAAGAGUGGGGGGAGUUCUUUAAAACAAUCAGAGGUCAAGAGAAAGAAGGGAUCAGCUAAAUCUAUUUCUGGAAAAAACGUGAAAAGAUUGUCAGGUGAUGAUGAUAAAAAGGAAACCACACCUGUGCUGAAACCAGCCUCCAAAAAUUGGAAGUAAAUCAAAGGAUCAAGGCACUCUUGAAAUUGGAAGUAAACUUGGUAGCACAGGUCCAAAAAUCUGGCAAGUCGAAAAUGAUGAUGCCGAAUCCAACAAGACUAGCAAAUCUAAGGACGAUGAGACAUCCACACCUGCCGCUGUUGCAAAGUCCAACAAGCAAGAUGUAUCGAAGACGGGGAAGUCCAAACAAGAAACCCCAAAAACUCCUGUUUCAAAAGGGAAGUCUACCAAAACAGGCGAUAAGUCUAAUAAUACCAAUCUCUCCACCAAGGUUAAGUUCACAUCUUCAAAAGCAAAAGAAAAAGAAAGUGGAGAUGUGAAGCAUUCAUCAACUUCUGGAAAAACAAUGGAGAACUCAAAGGGAAAGUCACUAAAUUCAUCAAUGAUCAGGGCAGUGAAUCCAAGUCAGGAAAGAAAAGAAGAAGAGAGUCAAAAGGUUGAUAACCACGUCUAUUCCAAAAGGUUGGAGUUGUCUAUUCUUGGCUCAGUUUGCACGCACAUAUUUGCAAAUUCUACUAAGUAGUUCUUGGCAAACUUGAUCUCUGGAUCUGAUGAUGUCUCUCAUUGGCCAUUUCGAGAUUGUCGUAUAUUCUUAGUUAGGUAGGCAGCAAUUAUAGGAGUGUGGCAGUUCUCUUUGUAGUUGUUUGGCGCUAUUCAUGUCAUCUGUGGGAGGUAAAUGACCAAUAAAAAUAAUACGCAAUAAGAAUCAGAAAGAAAACCAUAUGCAUUUUUGUUUUCAAAUUCUUGGUGAAAUCACAAUUCAGAAAUGAAAUUUGUUCAUUCUCCACGAUAAUAUGGUGACCUAAAUAACAUAAGUUUCAGAGUCAUGGGAGAUUAAAAGCCUUGCUCUAAUUGCUCAACUCUGAAUGCAAAGGCUUUUCCCAUGUGAAGGAACCCAAAGAACCAGCCAAAGCAGCAUGCUUCUUCCAAUGCAAGAACAUUCAGUGUAUCUUCUGAUUAUGUACUGAAUGCAGUAGGAAAAAUAAUAUGAAGUUGUAAUUCAAGCUAAGGUUUUGUUCAUAAACAAAAUUAAAUGAUAAAACACAAAAAUGCAUCCUAUUCCCACCUUAUGCCUACUACAUCGCUAACAAUACACUUACUGCAGCACCAAGAUACAGCUUGUAGCCAAUUUCAGAAGGAAAAAUAUAUUCAGAUUUCUGCAUAUCGAGAAUUCGGUGAAACGCACCUGAGUUUAUUUACUCAACUAAUCCACAACAAUUUGUGAUAUGAACACUCUUGGCAGAGGUCCAUUGACCCCAUCACCAUCGGCAGCAGCAUUAGAAAUGAGUUGUUUCCACCAAAUAUUACUACAUUGAUGAACCAAGCAAGGAAGGACCAAAAAACAGUGUAAUGGGACGUAUGGUUACUUAAUUUUCCCUGUUGUUGGGUCAAAACUACCAUCGCUCAUUCCAAUUCGCUCAACUGCAAACAUUGUAAUAGAGAAAAUCAGAUUUGCUACAAUGAAGGCUCAUUGCCAUAAAAAUGUUGUCUAAGAACAGAAACGCAGAGAAAAUAGAAGGCUGAUCAAUGUGACCACAAUUCUGCAUAUGCGCACUACAAAACAGUCUGAGUACUAUCACAUCGACGGCCAUAUUCAUAACACAAAUAUGCUGACAGUUAGAUCAGACAUGGGCAUUUCUCACAUUUCUAUUCUCCUUGAAAUCACAAAUCCGACGUCCUAAUCUUAAUAAGUACUUCUAGGUGAUUUAAUUAAGUCUUCAAAUAUCACUAAAACAGUCAGAACGAUUUAAAUGGAAGACCUAAAGGCGCGCAAUUAAGCAGUAACCAUCAAUUCAAAACAAAAGGAAAGACAGAAAGAGUGGCAAUGCGUUAGUUUACUGUUUCAGAUCGCUUUAGAAGGGACCCUGCAACAAAUUCCGACCAGACCCAGAGGCCAGCUGCCGCUUGAUCUCUCCAAACUGUCCCGACAUCUUCCGCUCUCUCCACCAACAACAAUCAUAAAUUAAAAACAUGUCGAGCCAACAAAGAUACACACCAGCAAAACUUUUGAACAUAGGACCCUCCUAAACCAUCUACUCACUUUUGAACAUUGGACCUCCUCAACUAUCUACUCACUUUUGAACAUACAACCAUGAUAGAACACUGAUGUACUGUUUCCUAUUAUAUUGAUAUUUGAAACUCAAAGUUACAAUAAUAAGAAUUACAGAGAAAUACAAACAACAAGCAAAGAAACCCUCCUAAUCCAAAACACAAAUAAACACAAUUCAAAAUACUACAAUUAAAACCAGAACAAGAUCGUGAGCCCUCUGCUUCCCCUAUCUCUCAUGGAGUAUUGCAGGCCCUUCCUUUUACUAAAAACUGCCUGCCCUUUCCACCUCCCUCUCAUCCAUUUAACUUCCAGUUUUAGAUAACUGUCAUCUUUUUAAGUAAUUGUUGUUGGUUCCUAACGUGCCUUAUUUUUCUUUCUUCUAUUAUAGGUAACAACAAUGGUGGCCUAACAGCCUCCUAAACUAUCCACUCUAGACCAUGUUAAAUCACCAAAUCAUCCAAAAAUACGAGGUAAAUGUAUAUUAUAUCUUCAACUUAAAUAUGCUUUUGACCAUAACCAGUGGGUUUGCUGAAAUUGAAUGAUCAAUCCAUAAAAUAAAAAUGAAGUUGGAAGUAGAAGAAAUGGGAGGAAGAAAAAUAUCCCAAAAGUUCUAAAAGCGAUAUGAUCUCAACAAAUUGUAUCAUGAUGAACAGAUCGAACAAGCCCCAAAACAGAUUUUGCAGUGGGAUUCCGACUCGGAUAAACUAACUCCAUGCUCACCAAAACAUUCCUAAUAAAGGAUUCAGCUUGCUAUCAACAUGCAUCACAACCAUAACGUUAAAUUCUUCAAAACCAAUGCAUUAAAUCAAAGUAGAAAAACAGAACAAGAACUCAAACCAACGAUAACAAAAGAAUAAACCUUAACCGUUGAUCCUUGCAGUCCAUUGGGAGGUUCAGCACCGGGGACAUGAUCGACAACAAUCGAUUCCAGCUGCAGGUUUCGGUAUCGACAAAGAAUUUCCAAGGAAAUGAAAAUUUUGGAAAUGGGUAGUGAAGAAAAAAAGGUUGAGAGGAUUUUGUGUGGAGAGUGGGAAAAACUCGGCCAGUGGGGAGAAAGGGAAGACAUGAGGUUCGGUUUACAGGGAUUUUCUUAAUGAUUGUUGGAAGAACAAAGAGGUUGUGAGGAGAUUUAAGGGCAACCAAAGAAUGGCUGAAUGUUUGAUCUGGCUUGCUUCUUUAUGGAAAUGUCGUAGAAACAGUAGAACGAUGACAUAGUUCCCUUUGUUUUUCUAUUCACCAAAAAACCAAUGACUUAAAAGAAAGACAUUGCACCACAUAUGAGCAGUAGAAAAAAAUAUACAUAAGAAAGGAUAAAAAAUAUGCAGAAAUUGAAAAUGAAAUUGGAAGUAGAAAAAAAAUGGAACGAAGAACAAUACCCCAAAAUUUCCAAAUGCAUUAUGAUCAUAAAAAAUUUGUAUCAACAUGAACUGAUCGAAUAAGCUCCAAAAUAGAUAUUGCAGUGGGAUUCCGACUCAGAUAGGCAGUGUACAGUCUUGCCAAAACGUUCCUAAGAAAGGAUCAUCAAAACCCAUAACUUUAAAUUCUUCAAAAUAAUGGAAUUAAGUCAAGGCAGUACAAUACGAAACAAAAACUCUAACAAACGAUAAGAAAGAAAUAAACCUUCACCCGUGAUCCUUGUAGUCCAUUCGGGAGUUCAGCACUGGACUUGAUCGAGAACAAUCAGUUCCAAGAUGCAGGUUUCGGCAUAGACGAUGAUUUUCCAAAAAGCGAAAUGAAUUUUUUGGAAAUGGGUUGUAAAGAAAAAUAAGGUUGGAAAGACAAUGAUUGUUGGAAGAACAAAGAGUUUGUGAGGAGAUUUAAGGGCAACGACAAGAAUGGCACAAUGUUAAAUCCCAAAAGACUAAAUGGCCAAUUGAAUGUUUAAGCACAUUGAUAUGCCUGUUAGGUGUUUUCUUGCUUCUUUAAAGAAAUGGGGUAGAAAGAGUAGAACGAUAACAUAGUUCACUUUGUUCUUCUCUUUACAAAGUAGCCAACGACUUAAAAGAAAGACAUUGCACAACAAGUGACCAUUAAAAAAUAAUAUACAUACGAAAGAAUAAAAAAUAAGCAGAAAUUGGAAGUAGAAAAGAAUGGAAGAAAAAUACCCAAAACUUCAAAAUGCAAUAGGAUCAUAACAAAUUUGUAUCAUCAUGGACAAUCGAACAAACUCCAAAACAGACUUUGCAGUGGGCUUCCGACUCAAAUAAACAGCUCCAUGCUCCCCAAAACGUUCCUAAGAAAGGAUUCAGCUCCCUACCAACCAACAUGCAUCACAUCCCAUAACUUUCAUUUCUUCAUAAACAAUGUAACUAACUCAAGGUAAAAAAAAAAACAGAACAAGAACACUAACCAACUUCUAAGGAAUCAGCUCCCUGCCAACAUGCAUCACAUCCCAUAACUUUAAUUUCUUCCAAUACAAAGGAUUUAACUCAAAGUAAAAAAAAAACAGAACACGAACUCUAACCAACAAAAAUAGAAAAACCAACCUUAACCCUUGAUCCUUGCAGUCCAUCGAGAGGUUCAGCACUGGACAUGAUCGAGAACAUUCGGUUCCCAGCCACAGGUUUGGCCAUCGACAAAGAUUUUCAAAGGGAAAUGAAAUUUUUGGAAAUGGGUAGUGAACAAAAAUAAGGCUGAAAUGAUUUUGUUUGGAGAGUGGGGAAAAUUCUGGCGAGUGAGGAGAAAAGGGAAUACAUGGGGUUCGGUUUACAAGAAUUUUUCUUAACGAUUGUUGGAAGAACAAAGAAAUGUGAGGAGAUUUAAGGGUAACGACACAAAUGCAGAAUGUUAAAUCCAAAAUGGCGAAAUGGCUAAUUGAAUGUUUAAGGAAGUUUGAUCUGCCUGCUAGCUGUUUUCUUGCUUCUUUAUGGAAAUGUUGCAGAAAGAGUAGAACGAUGACAUAGUGCAUAAUGUGUUUCUCUUUACAAAGUAACCAAUGACUUACAAGAAAGACACCACACAACAAAUGACCAUUGGAAAACAAUAUACAUAUGAAAAACUAAAAAAUUUGCAGAAAUUGAAAUUGAAAUUGGAAGUAGAAAAGAAAUGGAAGAAAACCCUAAAAGUUGCAAGUGCAAUAGGAUCAUAACCAAUUAGUAUCACCAUCAAUAGAUCGAACAAGCUCCAAAAUGGAUUUUACAGUGUGAUUCUGACUCACAUAAGCAGCCUCCAGGACUGGGAAAUCGUUUCUAAGAAAGGAUCAUCACAACCCAUAACUUUAAAUUAUUCAAAAACAAUGCAAUGAAAUCAAAACAGAAAAAAACAGAACAAUAACUAAAAAAUAAACCUUAACCCUUGAUCCUUGAUCCUUGCAGUGGAUUGGAAGGUUCGGCACUCGACAAGAUCGAGAAUAAUGGAUUCCUAUCAGCAGGUUUCGGCAUCGACAAAGGGUUUCGGAGGGAAAUGAUAAUUUUGGAAAUGGGUGGUGAAGAAAAAUAAGGUUGAAAUGAUUUUGUUUGGGGAGUGGGAAAAAUUAUGGCCGAUGGGGAGAAAAGGGAAGACAUGGGAUUCGGUUUACAGGGAUUUAACAAAGAGAUUGUGAGGAGAUUUAAGAGCAACGACAAGAAUGGCCGAAUGUUAAAACCCAAAAGACUAAAUGGCCAAUUGAAUGUUUAAGCAGAUUGAUCUGCCUGUUAGUUGUUUUCUUGCUUCUUUACGGAAAUGGGGUAGAAAGAGUAGAAAGAUAACAUAGUUCACUUUGUUCUUCUCUUUAUAAAGUAGCCAAUGACUUAAAAGAAACACAUUGCACAACAAGUGACCAUUAGAAAAUAAUAUACAGAAGAAAGAAUAAAAAGAUAAGCAGAAAUUGGAAGAAGAAAAGAAAUGGAAGAAAAAUACCCCAAAACUUCAAAAUGCAGUAUGAUCAUAACAAAUUUGUAUCAUCAUGGACAGAUCGAACAAACUCCAAAACAGAUUUUGCAGCAGGCUUCCAACUCAAAUAAACAGCCUCCAUGCUCCCCAAAACGUUCCUAAGAAAGGAUUCAGCUCCCUACCAACCAACAUGAAUCACAUCCCAUAACUUUCAUUUCUUCAAAAACAAUGUAACUAGCUCAAGGUAAAAAAAAAAAAACAGAAAAAGAACACUAACCAACUUUUAAGGAAUCAGCUCCCUGCCAACAUGCAUCACAUCCCAUAACUUUAAUUUCUUCAAAUACAAAGGAUUUAACUCAAAGUAAAAAAAAAACAGAACACGAACUCUAACCAACAAAAAUAGAAAAACCAACCUUAACCCUUGAUCCUUGCAGUCCAUCGGGAGGUUCAGCACUGGACAUGAUCGAGAACAUUCGGUUCCCAGCCACAAGUUUGGCCAUCGACAAAGAUUUUCAGAGGGAAAUGAAAUUUUUGGAAAUGGGCAGUGAACAAAAAUAAGGCUGAAAUGAUUUUGUUUGGAGAGUGGGCAAAAUUCUGGCGAGUGAGGAGAAAAGGGAAUACAUGGGGUUCGGUUUACAGGGAUUUUUCUUAAUGGUUGUUGGAAGAACAAAGAGAUGUGUUGAGGUAAAUGUAAUAUUAUAUCUUCUAACCAUUGUCAACUUAAAUAUGCUUUUGACUAUAACAAGUGGGUUUUGCUGAAAUUGAAUGAUCAAUCCCACGAAAACUCUAAAACCGGGGAUCUCGACGCGCAUUUUACUUGACCUAAGCGGCUGGCUUGGCUCCCUCUUUUUUUUCUCGCUCCCUCUCUACCGGCUGCCAUGCUGGGGAACUCUAGUGACCCACUAGGCGGGGUCGGGUUUUGCAACCCUUAGCAGCUUGGUCGUAUUGUUUUGUUUCUAUCGGCUGUUAUGUUGGGUGAAGAACUCUAAGAACUUGCCGACUUUGCUUUCUACCUGACCUAACAAUCAUAUUUUGCUUUCAAACAAUCUUAUACAAAUGUGUAUGGCCAAAAGAGGGAUUUAAAAUUAAUAUAAAAAAGGCAUUAGAAUAUGGCAAAAAAGGGGAUUAAAAUUGAGAUAAAAAAGAGAACCGCACAUAUUAUUAUGUACAUAAUUCACAAUAUUCAGAAAAUGAACCAAGUGUUCUACUCAUUUCUAAGCUAUCAAUAUAUGCAUUUUCAACAUAUGUAACAUAUUCAAAGAACAAAUACAAUCACAAAUCCGAGCUUCCGUUCUCAUGCGUUAGGCAUACAUGCUUUUUUAUGCUAAAAAGCGAAGUAGACAUGGUACUUAUUCUAAGCAUAGAGCAUUGCAAAAGUUUCUAAAUUUUGACAUUUUUAGCAAAAUUUGCAAAAUGAAAAUUUCCCAAAGGACAUGGAAUGUGCAAGGCUACAACCCCACCCCCACUUAAAAAUAUGCAUUGUCCUCAAAGCAUUUUAAGCAAGAUUCUACGGAUGGAAAAAAAAAGAAAAAGAAACAGAAGACCUCCCCUUGUAACCUAGUUUCUUCUUGGAAGCUUGCUUGCAAAGAUCCCAAGUUUGGUUAUAUUUCAUUUUCCUUUAUUCCUACAAAAAGAAAACAAGAAUUUCCAUCGAAUUUUAUUAAAAAGGUUAAACUAAAAAUUUUAGAAAAAUGUGCAGAAUUGUUUAAGCUCGGUUGCAUUUUCUAAGCAUCACUUGAAUUAUUAAAACGACCUAACAAAUAUUCAAUACAAGUUCGUAAUUCAUAACCUACCAAAAAGUUCAAAAAGAUUGUUGUAGGUGUUCCACCAAACCUUUUGUAAAUUACAUACAUCAAUAAGAAAGAAGCAAGAUGCCCAGUUUUUUUGAACUGCUGUUUUUCUCUUUUUUUUUCUUUAACUUGCUGUAAAUUGGAGAUGUUUUCCAUAACUACUUUGGCUUAUGUAAUUUACCUUCUCCCUAAAUGCAACCAUAAAUCAAACAAAGUAGAUGAAUAAAUUUACACCACAGAAAUCCAUCCUAUGAAGACUAGAGCGGAGAAAGAUGGGAUAAGGAUAAAGCAUAGGAAGAGCAAAUACCCGAUGGAAGUAAACUGAUAAAAAAUACUUUGUGUUGAGAGUAAUAUAUCCGAACCAAUUUUCUGGCAGCCAUUAAGAUUUACCCACUGCAACUCUGCACACAAAUAUUUUCUUAUAAACAAUAAUUAACACAAUCUAAUUGGUAUCUUAUGGAUAUAAAAGACAGCAUGGAUCCAUAUUGGAAGGAUUUCAAAUUAGUCUACGAACAAAGAAUUUGGAAGGAUUUCAAAUUAGUCUACGAACAAAGAAUUUGGAAGGAUUUCAAAUUAGUCUACGAACAAAGAAUUUGGAAGGAUUUCAAAUUAGUCUACGAACAAAGAAUUUGGAAGGAUUUGUGAUCAACUAAGGAGCUCUCGACUUUCUCCGCUGGAAUUUACCUUCCUUGGGUACUUAUCGACCAGAGACUGGAAGUAGUUGUGCUCUUCGUCCACAGUAGUCAUCCAAAGAGCAAGGGAAAGACCACGACGCGCAGUGGAAUAGGAAAAAGAGCGUCGAGCACAGCUUUCGUGUCACCAGCAAUCGCUUUUCCUUUAUUGGUAGACCGAAAAGGCUUUGUCAAGCAGGCAGGCAUGAUUGUCACUCGAUCGACAGUUGAGAAAUCCAGCGCUGUUAGGGCUAGGAGAAGAAGAUGGCCGUGAAUCGCGAUUUUGAGGAAGACGAAGAAGAUAAGAGAAGGGGAGAGGACGAGAAAGUAGAGAGAAAGAGCCGUUAGAGAAGAAGUAGGGGAAGAAAUUCUUUUAUUUAAAAUUCAAUUGCAUUAUUUAUUUAUUUAUUUAAUUUCUUUUUUUUAUUUAUUUAAUUUAAAUAAUAUACAUAAAUUUGCAAAUUGGAAUAUAUAGUUAUAUUACUUAUUAUAGAAUAUCAAAUGAAAAUAGUGAUUAGAAGAAAUGUCUAAAAUAAACAAAAAUAAUAAAUAUUCAAAAAAAAAAAUCUUUAAAAUCUGGGGAUAGGGAUCAACAAGUUAUUGAAAAUUUUUUCCUCGCCAAGUAGAAUUGCUUUAUCAACGAUUCGAUGAAUGUAUCUAUGUUCAAUUCGUGUGUGUACAUGUAUGAAUCAAGUUCAUUUCGUUAGGAUGAGGCUCAUCAAUUUAAUUAGGGAUCGGUCUUAUGAUGAAACAAUUCAUUGCAUUGAUAAAUCCAAUAUAAAAAACCAUUUUACCUAUACUCAUUAGAUAAAUCCAGUUCCUCAAUGAGCGACUAUGUGGAUAAGAUAUAUUUAUGUACAUAUCUUAUUAUUUAUAAUUUAUAAGAAUUAUAUACACUAGACUCAUCGUGGCUAGUGGCUUACUCAGAAAUUGAAUCAAAUAGGCCUUUUUAACUCAGUGGUAGAGUAACGUCAUGGUAAGGCGUAAGUCAUCGGUUCAAAUCCAAUAAGGGGCUUUGGCUUUUUUCAUAAAACUCCAGCCGUAGUAUUCAUAUUUGAUUGAGGGAAACGUGAGUGAGAGAGAAGGGGAGAUGAGGGAAAAACUAUAAAGGAUUUAGUGAAGAAAAACCCAUUUAAAAUAUAUUUGAAUUAUUUGUGAUAAAGCUCAUUUAAAACCCAAAACAAUUUCUUUAUAACUAAAACAAAUAUUUUGUUUUUAAAAUUUAGACUAAAAAAAUCAAAUUUUACUGCAAAAACUGAGAUAAAAUUGUCAGUAAUGAUAAAGCAAAAAAAAUAUAUUUUGUUUUUCAAAUAAUUAUAAUCCAUAAUUUUCAAGAAAUGUGAAAUUUCAUUUAAUAAGAUAAAAAAAAUUGUGAACAUUAGUUUCCAACUUUGGCAAUGGAUGAAAGUAUUAGAAAUUGAAAAUAAUUGUUAGACAUGCAUGUUAGCCGUCACCACAAACCAAUCCAAUUUUUCAUUCAAAAAUGUUGAAUUUAUAAUUAAUGGUUCUCGAAACAUUCAUACAAUUUUUUUUUUAAUUUAACUUACUUAAUUUGAGUUUUCUUACGAUGUUCAUGUCGAUAUUAUACGAAAAAUUGUCUUAAAUGAUAAAAUUGCUGAAGAUAUUCACAAAUAUAACAAAGUUUUACCGUCUGUUAGUUAGUGAUAGAACAUGUACUAGUGGUCUAUCAAUUAUCCUCUAUGGUUUUAGUUUAGUGGUUAUUUAUCAAGCUCUUAAUAAAUUAAAUAGUGAUUUAACAAAUAUAAUGUAAAAGAAUAUUCCAAGAAUAACCUUGGAGUAUCACUUGAAUUUUCAAAACGACCUAACAAUGCUAAACUAUAAGCUCAUAACUCAUAACCUAUCAAAAAAAGUACAGAUAAAACAAAAAAACUAUUUAAAUCUUGAAAAAUGAAAUAUGAGAAAAAAAAUGAAAAGAGAAGAAAUAAAUUUUAAAGUAUAUGUAAAUUUUAGAUAUUAAGUAAAAAAGAGAAUAUGUAAGUUGAAUUUUAAUCGGUAAGAAUAUGGAUGUCUAGAAACAAAUUUUUAAUUUUUUAAAAGUUGAUUUAUAAUCAUUUGAUUUCUUUAAAUUCAACAACAUAAACAUAAAAUGAUUUGAUUUUGAAUUUAUCACACCUUACAAAUAUUUUUCAAAUUUCAAAUCAAGAGAUACUAAGUUUGUUGACCUUACCCACUUGAUUGCCAUUUUGAGACUUGUUUAAGACUAAGUUUGUUUCACUUGCAUACUUGGUUGUCAUUUUAGGUCUCAAAGUGCAUUUUGAACUUUUUUUUUAAUGGGCUUUAUCAAAAAUAAUUCAAAUGGAAUUGGCAGAUGGCUGAGGGCCUUCGUGAAACGUGGGAGAGAAGCGAUAAGAAUAUGGAUGUCUUAAUGGUCAUAGAAAUUUAUUAUGCUUGGUUUUUGCUUGAAAUUUUUUCUAUUAUUUACUUUAUUGAACACACACGAGCACCCGUACAUCUGGAUUUGUAAGAAUAUGUAUCAUUAUAAGGUUUCCAUCCAUCUUUCUUAUGCCAUCGAUGAAGUUUUCGCUUAGAUCUUUAUCUUAGUUCGGCCUCUUUAAAAUGUUACUCCAUACAAGGAAGAUCGAAAGUUGUGAUUACCAAGUGUAGAUUUGUAUUGUAUAGUUGCCUUAGUUAUUUUUUUAAUUAUUCUUUUUAGACGUUAUUUUCUUUUAUAAUUAGUUCUCUUUAGUUAGAAUUUCUAUUAAAUUAUACUUACCUAUUAUCAAAUCCUUUUUCCGUAAUAAGAGAAAAUGGAGUUUUUCUCAAAUAACAAAAAGUGAUUAUUUAAGAUAGUAUGCUAAAGGGAACACAUCCAACUACCAUGUUCAGAAUAUUACCUUUGCCGAUUGAAAGUCUUGGAUUCUUGGUCAACUUUGAACGCAAAUUUUUCUUAGUUGAUUAAUAAAUAUCAGGGUAAAAAGAUCUUAUAUUGUAAUAUUGUUUUGCUUCACUUGCAUCAUACACUAAAACACAAGAUUAAAAAAAAAUAUUAUAUUUAGACUUUUGUAUGGUAGAUUAGGUGUUCUCUUUGAAUUGGUGGUUGGUAUUGGCUUUCUAAUUAUGAUAUGAUUUUGGGAACCUUUGAAUUAUGUUCUUCAAACCUUCUCUCUUCGAUUGAAGCUUAUUAUAUUUUAUCGUUGUUAGUAUGUUUUUUUUCUCUCCAUUUUUUCCCUUCUAAUAUUUUUAUUUGAUAUAUAAUGUGCAUAAAAGAGAAAGUAGUUAAUGUGUUUUACAUUGUUGUGUUGUGCAAAGUUGGUGCACUUGGUUCAAAUAUUUAAGAUUUGGUGAAGCACUUGGAAUAGUCUAAGUUCAAACUUUUAAUCUGUAGGAUAAUUUACUUUAUAAGAAUCACACAUUUACCUUUUUUUUUUUUUUUUUUGAAAUAGGAAAGGAGCCUCUUCAUUAAGCUGAAAAUGAGUAGACAAGACAAAAGAUAAUACAAAGAAGCCCUAGGAUCAGCUAGUGCACUCGGACAUCUCAUCUAGGUUGACACCCACUUAGCGUUCUCACCAUAUCGAGACUUAAACCAAAAACUAAACCAACGACAAGGUUUAGAAUAGAUCAUACAAACUGCCCAAUAACUAUACAACAUAGAUUUAAGACCACUAGAAAUCCAAAAGAAAUAAAAUAAGAGUACAGUAGUGGACUAAGAAUUAAAAAUGAAAGUCGGCAGUUAUGACUUAUAUCUUGUAUGGAGAAAUCUUUGAUGUCUUUUGAAAGAGAGCAUCAAGUAGAAGCAUUGAUUCUAGCCAUUUCGACUCGAGUUGUCCAAGAGAAAGCUUUAUUUUGAAAUGUUAGUUGAUUAUGUUCAAACCAAAUUUCUGGUAAAAUGGCCUUUACUGCAUUUAACCAAAUCAAUCUUGGUUUCUUCUUGAGAAUGGGACAUGAAAUAAGCUGGACCGCGUUCUCCUAAAUCUAUAGUCGAAAAUCCAAUUCAAAUGAAGAUAGCCAAGUAAGCCAAAACCAACACUUCUUUGCAUGUAGGCAGGAGAAGAAAAUAUGAUGUAAAUCUUCUAAAGCAUGCAAACACAAGGGACAAACAUGAGGAGAUAAACUGAGAAAGGGAGGUUUCAUUUGCAAAACUUCUGCACAGUUCAUAGUCCAUUUCGCAUUCUCCAAAGCGUGAUAUUCACUCUUCUAGGGCUUUCUGUCUUCCAAAUUGUCGAGUACUUUGUUUUCAAGACUGUGUUAGAACAUGUUUGGCUGAUUAAUAAAUUAGUAGAACACACUAUUUGGUGUUCUAUCAUUUUGGUAUCGGAGAAAUCGAAUCUGUGAAGUUCUAUAUCAUGGCUCAAAAGCGAAUUGAGGAAAAGUUGGAAAUGGUAGAUCAAGAAAUAUCCGGCAUUCGAGCAGAAUUACAUGAUCUGCCAACAAUCAAGGAAAACGUGUCAUCUUUGGCGAAGAGUAUUGAGAGGUUAGGAGUACAGGCUGAGAAGCAACAACAGCAACCAGAAACACUGUUGAAAUAUAUUGAAGGAAUGAUCAAAGGGAAGACAACGAUGGAAGAAGUACUAGAAGGAUCAUCAAGUGAGUUGACAGCAUGGUUGAUGUCAGUGAUUGGACGAUGAUGGGAGGAAAAUAUGAGGAAAAACAUACCAAGUUGGAGGGUGAAGAUUCUGCGGGCGACCGAAGCAAAUUUAAAAAAAUUGAAAUGCCAGUUUUUGUGGGAAAUGAUCCUGAUUCUUGGUUGUUUAGGGCUGAGAGAUACUUUCAGAUACACAAACUGAGUGAGUCAGAGAAAAUGACUGUGUCCAUUAUUAGUUUUGAUGGAGCAGCUUUGAAUUGGUAUAGAUCUCAUUAUUAGUUUUGAUGGAGCGAGAUAUAUCCUAUUAAAGUUGUCGUGUUACUUAAUCGCAUUAUAACGCAAAGACAUUCCUUUGCUCUUUCUUGCAUACAAGUUAGUUCCCAUUUCUAUUUUGUCAUCCAUAUUCCCUCUUAUAGAAUCUCUAAGCGUAGAUAUCUAGUGGUAGUUUGUUCUUGUAUUUCUUUUAUACCAUUCGUUAUUCUUUAAUUCUUUUAUACUGCCUAGAUAAUAAGUAAUACCUAAAAUUAAUAUCUUGAAUCAAUUCCUUAUGUUCGACCCGGGAUCACCCAAGUAAACCUACCAUUUCACUUGCACUUGGACAAGUAGUAAGAAAACUUGUACUCAAGAGGACUUAGUUGCCACACGAUAUGAAGGUCUAGUGAGCAAUUCACAUGCAGUUAACAUGCUUAGUGAUAUAUCGCCUAGAUUGAGUAUAAUUUUCAUUCACCAUUUACUAACACUAAGUCCUGAUUGUUGAAGAGAAACAACACCUCAAUAACCGGAGCGAUCGACUUCUAUCUUUAGUUAUUCGAUCUUGAACCUUAAUUGCACCGAGAGAUGGCCUGGGAUGAAACAAAUUUACAUUUAUUUUAUUCAGUCUCGAGCAUACAUUGUCCUAAGAUGCUACAUUAUGAAAGACUUCUGCCUUUAGUUAUUCGAUCUCAGGCCUUAAUUGCACUGAAAUGGCUCGGGAUGAAAGAAUUCUGUCUUUAUUCUAUUUAAUCUUGGGCAUACAUUACAUUGAGAUGCUCCGAAAUGAAAUUUUUUUGCCUUUAGUUAUUCGAUCUCGACCUUAAUUGCAUCGAGAUGACCCGUUAUUAAUAAAUCACAAAGAAGAUAUAAAUCGCAAGGACGUCUAUGGAAUUUGUGAAAAAAUAAUCUCGCAUCAUGGACUUUUCUUAUUUUGUUAUACGAACCAUAAAUAUUUUGGAUUUUUCUACAUUUAUGUAAAUUACUCUUAAAUUAAUCUAAUUAAUAUUUAAUUGGAAAUCACCGCCACUUGGAUAUAGGAAUACGGGAGCAUCCCACAUUCUCUAAAUAACACCCACAUAUGGAAGUUAUUAUCUUAAUUUAAAUUAAUGAUCACAAAUAGCAAAAAAGUUAAAACUAUUUACAAAAUAUAGCAAAAAAUUGAAACUAUUUACAAAAAGACUCAAAUGUGCUAUAGAGAAUUUAAUUAUUAUGCUAAUUAGUUUCAAUUUAAUUAGUAUAUUUGAAAAUUCCACUUAAAUUUGAUUAACACUAAAAUAAUUAGUUAAUAUAUAAUAAUUAUUUAAAUCACAUUUAAUUAAUAUUUCAUUUAAAUCACAUUUAAAUGAAUAUCUCUCACAUAACCAAUAGUUUGAAUUUAAUUAAAUAGAAUUAAACUAAAUUAUUAAUUAAUUCUUCAAUUAUUUAAUUUCUAAAUUAAAUAUUUUAUAUUUGAUUUAAUAUAGAUUUGAAUCAUACUCAUAUAUGAAUUUCUCUCAUAACCUAUUGUUUGAAUUUGUAUCAUAUACGUAUUAAAUUUUAAUCUAUAGUUUUAUUACAAAUUUAAUUCAUAUUAAAUUAAUAUUUGAACUCAUUCAAAUAUUUAUUAUUUCAUAAAUUAAUUUUAAAUCAUAUACAAAAUUAAAUUUAUAUAAUAAAGUUCAAUUAAAAGAUAAAUUUUAUAUUAUAAUAUAUCACCAUACAUUAUACUAAUUUUCAAAGUAAAUAUGAACAUUUCAAAUUACAGUCAAUAUGUAAUAACCUUAAUACCCUUUACAUACUAGGAAGGGACCUAAUAAAUUUACAUUUCAAAGUGAAAUCAAUUUAUUUACUUUAGUUGUCGUAUUAUCCUUAAGAGCACCUCAUGCCUCCACUUCAAUAAUCAUUUUAUCUCAUUGCAACAAUCACCCAUAUAAAUAUUGAAUCAACAUAUGGUUCUGUACCUAAUGAUGAAAAACUUGGCACUGAGCCAAGUAUCUCCCCCAAUAAUCGUAAAGUGAUUCAUCCUUUCCUUGUGUGAUGCCAUAGAUUUUCUUCCUCACACUAGUAGCAUAAAAGGUUGAAAAGAACUUUUCCAAAUAUUGUCUCUACAUCUACUCCCAUGAAAUAAUGCUCCCUGGUGACAAGUAAUAGAGCUAAUCUUUCACUUCUUCGUGUUACGAGAAGGGAAAAGCUCUCAUGUUCGUCUCCUCAAGGGUUAUAAUGUGAGGACUCAUAAACUACUACAAGCAGAAAACCUGAAAAUUAAAGUAUGUACAACAAGUAGUACUAGAAUCUCGUAGCUUAUAUAUUAAAACAAUUAGUAUUAGUACUAGUAACUUAUAAACUACAAAAAAAAGUGUAAAAGCUUACACAAAUCGGCUAACAAAGCUUGCAUAUUUUGUUCAAAUCUCGUCAAUCUCCUCUUGCGUAUAUGCACUUUUUUGUAUUAAACUACGCAAAAAGAAAGGUAUGGAAAGAAUAAGUUUAGAUAAUUUAUGUAAUUUGUAACAUAUAAAAAGUGAAAGUAGAAACUUACAAGGCUAGUGAUGGGAGUACUAGAAUUAUGCACGAUUUCAUGUAUAUACUUUUGGACAUAAUACCCACACCCAACCGAAUCCAAUUGACGAGGACACUGCAUGCAUAUAAAUUACAUACAAAUUAUUCUUAUGUUUCAUUGAAAAUAAUUAUGUGUCAAUGCAAAUUACCUUUAUAGGUUUCCAUUUCGGAUUUGACCGAUAAUGUUGUAAAUCAUGCUUAGCUUGCCAUGUUUUUAAUCCUCUAUACAUUUGGAAACAUUAGAAUUAGAAGACAAUGAAGUCAAAUAAGAAGUAAAUCAUAAGUCACAUUUAUGACUCCAUGGAUGUCUUUGUUAACUUUACUUUGAAGAGAGUCCAAAACAUAAACACAGUUCUCUCGAAGAUCGAUGACAUGCAACAUCCAAUGAAAACUACAAUAAACAUCUUCAAUGUGAGUAUACAUUUAACCUCAAUGAAAAACAUAAUAAUGUGUUAAUCUUAUUUAUUUACCCAGUAUUAUACGGAAUUAGAACUAUUUGUUCCAAGGUAGCCGCUUCUAACUGGUUGGCAAAAUUUCUGGAUCGGAGAUCACGAUCCUUGAUAUGUGAUGUUAUUUUUGCUUGGUCAUAACAAAAAACUUGCUUCCACAAUCACAUUCAUCCCAAAGAUAUCUAAGUAAAAGCAACCUUAGUUAAAAAGGAACAAAAUAACUAUAGCUAUAGUAUUGGACAUAAAGAUGAGUAAAAGAUGUUUACUUACGUAAUGUAUGCUAGGAUGCACAUAUAGCCUAUUUCUACCAUGCUGCAAUAAUGGAGCAAGUCCUAACGAGCUAAAUAAAUGAAUUUGUUUUUACCGAAUAUUAGCUCGUUCAUUAGGAUGCGAACCAUAUCUACAUCCUUCAUAUUGUUCACGACAUGUCCAUAUAAGAGCUUAAUGGUUCCAUUAACAUUUAUGUAAUUUGAAGAAUACAGAACAUCCUUUGGGGUUGAAUGCUCCAAGCACAAACAAAAUAAUAUCAAAACCUAAAAUACAAUCACAAAUAAAUAUCAAAGCUUCAAUAGCAUAUAAACAAGUCAACGAGGUCAUUCAACAAUAUUACCUAAUGCUUGAUUUAAAGUCUCUAUCUUGCCCUUCACUGGAAUAGGUAAACUACAAUCUCCUCCUGUGAGCAAGUCCACCAAGAUUUUAACAUUGGGACCACCAUUGCUAUCAUCAAGUACGGUUGCUAUUGCAACAAUAUUAUUAAUCGUUCCUAUAGCCAAUUUGCACGGUGUUUACUUUACAAGUAUUAAAAGCAUCAUUAAGAACAAUUUAUCCUAUAAACAUUAAAAUUUUAAAAGUGACAACAAAGUUAAUUACCUUCACUUCUUCGUUCAUAGGUGUGUUGCCCAAAUCCUCAUCGGCAUAGAGAUCUAUGUUAACACUUCUGAUGGACGAUCUCAAGUGAUUAUGACUCUUCUUGUAACUUUUGCUUUUUGAUUCAUCUUCUACAACUUGAGAACUUGCAAUUUUCUCUUUCCCUUUCACUGUCUUGAAAUAUAGUGAUUGAGAGACAAAACCAUCCAUGCCACGUACACGUCCACCAUGCUCCUUAGAGCCCAAUGACUCAGUCAAUAUGUCCUCAUCUCUAUGUGUGUUUCAGCUAAUGCAUCCCACAGAACAAUACAAGUAUUCAUCAUUAACUAAGUUAACAAAAGAUUAAAUAUUGUAUAUAAGUAAAUCGCAAGCAAACUUACGAUUCGAGAGACACAAUCUUGAGUAGCAUCAUCAAAAUAAUCAUUGUUUUUUCCUUUUCUUGCACACGCACACGAACACACCCACACACACACACGUGCACACACACGAACACACGCAAGAACGCAUGCACACAUCCACAGACACAUGCACGCAAACACGCACGUCCACCCAUACGGGCACAUGCGCACUCACACACACGCACACCCACCUACACGGGCACAUGCGCGUACAAGCACAUGCACGCGCACAAAUGCGCAUGCACACACGCGCGCGUACAUGCACAUGCACACACACGAACACAUACGCACACACACACACGUGCACACACAUGCACUCGCACACACACACCCACCCACAGGCACAUGCGCACUUGCACACACGCAUCGACACACAUGCACGCACGCGCACCCACACGGGCGUAUGUGCACUCAUACACACACAAGCACAUACACCCACCCACAUUGGCACACGUGCACUCGCACACGCACAUGCAUACACCCACACACAACCACGCCCAUGCGCAUGCACGCACACGAACACACGCAUGAACGCACACACACAUCCAGACACGCACGCGCACACACACACACAUACAUGUACGAACAUACGCACACCCACCCACACAAACAUAUGCGCACUUGCACACAUGCACACACACACACCACACAACAUGCACGCACGCGCACAUGCACACUCAUCCACACGGACACAUACGCACUAACACACACGAGCACACACACACCCACACACACAUGCGCACUUUCACACGCACACACAAGCACACGCACCGCACACGCAUACGUACACACCCACAUACAUGCGCACAUGUGCAUGCCACACACACGCAUGAACGCACCACACAUCUACACACACACACGCACGCGCACACACAAUCACCCACACGGGCACAUGUGCACUUGCACACACCCACCGACACACAUGCACGCACGCGCACAUGCAGAUCCACACACACGGACACAUGUGCAGUCACACACACGCACGCACACACACCCAUAUGGGCACACGCACACUCUCACACGCACACACAAGCACACGCACACACACAAGCACAUGCGCAUGCACACACACGAACACACGCAUGAACGCACGCACACAUUCACACAUGCACACACACAUCUACACACACAUGCACACACGCACACACGCACACACACAUACGCACACGCACAUCAACCCACACGGGCAAACGCGCACUCGCACAUAUGCACACACACACGCACACACGUACAUAUGCACAAAGAUGUGAAAAUGAAUUAAAUUUAAAAAACAAUUACAUUAAUUGUGUUUAGAAUGACUUUUAAACUAUAUUCAUUUAACUUAAUAACAUUAAUUAAAUUAUAAUUUCUAUUAAUAUUGAUUUAAGAGUGUCAUUAGUGUAAUUAUAUCAAUAUAAUGCGGUCUUAUCCAAUUUUACCAACAAAAAACAAGUCAAAUAUGGACUAAAAUCCACACUCUUUGUCAUAAGAGAUAUAAUAACGUUUUUAUGGGUCAUUUUAAAAAAUGACAAAACAACUUUUUCUUUUGAAUUUUAGCAAAUAGCAUUUUUUAUCUGAAAAAGAUACAUCAACCCAUAAUAACACUACAACAAAUCUGGGUUGUAGUGUCAGGUGAAAAAAAUGAAAAAUUAUCUUUAUUGUCGUUUUUGAAAAGGUGGAUCAAACCGACAUUAAUGAAAGGGUUUAAUGUCGUUUUUAAAUCGACAUUAAUGAUCAGCCAGUUUUAUUUUUUUUAAUUUUUUGUAUUUUGUAAAAACUGACAUUAAUGACCCCCAUUUUUAAUUUCUUUUUAAAAAAUUGUUAGGUUUUAAAAACUAAAAUUUUCCUCUCUUUCUUACUUUUCUCUUUCUUACUUUCUUACUUUCUCUUUCUUACUCUACUCUUUCCCUAUCAAUUUUUCUUUCUCUCCAAGUUGGUUUCUAAUUUUCUUCUCUUCUCAAUCUGUGACCCUAGAUCGCGAACGGCAACCAAUCUUCAUCGUGCUUCCGCCGCAAAAAUCCUUGGGUUUCUUCAUUUGAUUGUUAACUUGUGACUGCUAGGUAGCAUUAUUGAUUAUUAAUUGUCUUUAUUUUUUCAAAUGUGCAGCCUUAUUCAUACUAUCUUUUGUUAGAAAAAUGAAAGAAGAGAAGGCAUAGAAAUGAGCUUGGUAACUAGCAUUCUUGUAGGUGGAUUUGCCAAAAUGGAAAAUGUAGAGUAAGUAAUUUUGGUAUAGCUAUUUGGAGUGUUAUGUGAAGCACAAUAUCUUCAUAAUGUGAUGCGUUUUGGUUUUCGAUUGAGAUCAAUCUUGGUAAUUAAUUGUUUUGAAUUGUGUUUUAUUUUAUCUUUUAGUAGUAAAUGUUUUUGUUUUCUUUAGUUUAGUUUGAGUAUUAGUCUGUUUUGAUAUAUUUGUAGGUUGCAUCUAUUUAUCCAUAUAUUUAUCUUUGAUCAAUACCUAGCUAGUGGAGUCUCUUCUUUUUAUGGGCUUCCUUAUAUUCCAUGUUCUUUUACUAUAUAUUUGAGAUUUUCACCUUCCAUAAAUGAAAUAAAUUAACUAUUUUCAUUUGAAAAGAAAAACGAUCCAAUAGGAGUUUGUAAGAUUAUUUAUCAUCUCCAUUGUUUAACUUUCUCUAUAAAAACAAUGUUGCUAUUGAUGGGUAAAUUUAUACAAUUAAGAGUAAGAAGCCUAUAGACUAGCAUUGCUAAAUUGAACAUUCAAAAUUUGCUUUGAAGUAAGAGUCGAGGAUGGUAUAAUUAUUCUUUAGUUGUAUUCCUCUUUUUCUUAUAGAUCUUUGAAGAACCAAAUUAGGUUAUUUUCUUCUUCUUAAUGAGUUGUUUGAUCAAAGCUUAUUUUCUUCUUUAUUUUUGCAGCACUUUUGGGUUGCCAUUUCAAUUGUCUUCUUUGUUGCUGCUACAUUAUUUACUCUACUGAAACUUUGUGGUAAUUUUUAAUUUUCCACAUUUAGAUUGCAGUCUGUUUAGUUUGAUUUUAAAUAAUAUGUACUAAUUUUGCAAAUUCUAGAUUUAAUCUUCCCCAGGUUGUAAAGUAUAUUUUGGUCUUAGAUAGCCAGCCAAGCUAAGCUAAGUAGAUGGAAGCAAUUGUUGAAGUUGAAGAUUGUGAAAGCGUUUAAGAUUUCUUAUUUAAGUCUUGUAUUAGGAUCUAGUUUCAUGUAUUAUAUAGAAUGUAUAUACAAACGCAAUAUUAAGAUUUCAUUUUCUAUAUACAAAUGUAAAAGAAAAAUAUUGUAGUUCCUAAAAUAAUAUUAAUUUUAUUGAUUUUGGUGUGAGAAAAAAAUAUUUAUUUACACGUAUCUAAUGUCAGUUUAUAAAAAAUGAACAAUAAUGCAAUAAUUAUAUAUUUUUUUUGUAAAAAUAGAUCCAAAAACAAGACUUUAAUGUCGGUUUAAAAACGAUAUCAAAGGCAAACCGACACUAAAGGUCAACAAUAGCACCAUAAAAAAUGUCGGUUUUAAACCAACAUCAAUGACCAUACCGACAUUACUGAUGCAUUUGAUAUCGUUUUUAAACCGACAUCAAAGCAAAAACGACAUUAAAGGCCUUUAAUAACGCUAGCAUAGAUGUCAGUUCCGAACUGACACCAAAGAUCAUUAAUGUCGUUCCGAACUGCACCAAAGAUCAUUAAUGUCGAUUUUAAACCGAUCUUGAAUGGCAAAUUUCUUCUAGUGUAACCAAAUUUAUAUAAUUUGAGAAUCAACAUUUUAAUAAUUUUAUUCAAUCUUACUAACUUCAAAAUAACCAAAUUGAAUUUGAAUUUCAAAAUAACAAAAUUAUAAUUUAAUAGUAUUUGAGAAUCUCAACGAUAGAUUUUGUAUCAAAAUAACCUUAAUUGAAUUUCAAAAUUAAAAAAUAUCAACUUGUUCGAUAUCUUUAUCUCAAAAUAAUAUUAAUGGCUUGAAUAUCAAGAAAACUAAAUUAUUAUUUUAAAAUUGAGAGAAUCUCAACAUUAAAAAAUAUCAACUUGUUCGCACACACGAACACACACCCACAUGUAGGAACGCACACACACACACGCACGCACGCACACUCACACACACCCGCACACACACACAUGGACAAACGCACGAACGCACGCAUGUUGAAUUUGAAUUUUAAAAUAACAUAAUUGAAUUUGAAUUUCAAAAUAGCCAAAUUGAAUUUCAAAAUAACAAAAUUAUUUUUUUUCAGAAUUUCAUAAUCUCAAUUAUGUUAUUGAAUUUCAAAAUUAAAAUAUAUCAACUUGUUCACUAUCUUUAUCUCAAAUAAUAUUAAUGACUUGAAUAUCAAAAUAAUUAAAUUAUUAUUUUAAAAUUGAAAGAAACUCAACAUUAAGAAAUAUCAACUUGUUCGUAUACAAGCACACGCGCACACGAGCACACACAACACACACACACGUGCACAUGCGCACACAUGGACACACGCACAAACACACGCGCAUACACAUGCACACGCUAGCGUACACGCACACUCACCCACACGCACACGCGCACGCACACAUAUGCACAAAGAUGUGUAAAUGAAUUAAGAUUAAAAAACAAUUACAAUAAUUAUGUUUAGGAGUAAAAAUCAUGUUCAUUUGACUUAAAAACAUUAAUUAAAUUAUAAUUUCUAUCAAUAUUGGUUUAAGAGUGUCAUUAUUUCAAUAUAAUGCGGUUUUAUGCAAUUUUACCAACAAAAAAUGGAAGUCGAAUAAGAGAUAUAACAACUUUUCUAUGAGUUAUUUUAAAAAAUGGAAAAACUAUUUUUUCUUUUGAAUUUUAGCAAAUAACAUUUUUUGCACGUGCAUGGUAUUUUACAAAAUAUCCACCUUCUCCAACUGUAAUUAUUUAGUUUCUACGUUGUAAUUAAUUUAUGUCAUUUAUCAGCUUUUAAUUAAUUUUUACUUGAAAAAUAUACAUCAAUCCAUAUUGCAACUUUUUUUUUAAUAUCUUGGGACUCAACUAAUUGAUUCAAUAUUUUAAUAACUUUAUUCAAUCUUACUAAUUUCAAAAUAACCCAAUUGAAUUUGAAUUUCAAAAUAACAAAAUUAUUAUUUUUCAGAAUUUGAGAAUCUCAACAUAGAUUUUGUAUCAAAAUAACCUUAAUUGAAUUCAAAAAAAAAUAUCAACUUGUUCGCUAUUUUAUCUCAAAAUAACAUUAAUGGCUUAAACAUCAAGAUAACGAAAUUAUUAUUUUAAAAUUGGAAGAAUCUCAUCACUAAAAAAUAUCAACAUGUUCGCACACGCACACACGCACGAACCACACAUACACAUGCACGCAAGCACACUCGCACACGUGCGCACGCACACACUUUUGCACACACACACACAUACAUAUGCACGCACACCCAUCCACACUUACCUACACACGCACGUGCACACGCACACACACACGAACACACGCGCGCACACACACACACACACGUAUGUAUAAAGAUGUGUAAAUGAAUUAAAAUUAAAAAAUAAUUAAAUUAAUUGUGUAUAGAAAAACUUUUAACCAUAUUCAUUUGACUUAAUAACAUUAAUUAAAUAACAAUUUUUAUCAAUAUUGGUUGAAAAGUGUCAUUAGUGUAAUUAUUUUAAUUUAAUGGAGUUUUAUCCAAUUUUACCAACAAAAACAAGUCGAAUAUGGACAAGUAGAUCCACACUCUUUGUCAUAAGAGAUAUAGCAACGUUUUUAUGGGUCAUUUUAAAAAUGACAACUACUUUUUCUUUUGAAUUUUAGGCAAAUAGCAUUCUAUCACGUGCAUGGUAUUUUCUAAAAUACCAAAAAUAUCCAUCUUCUCCAACUGUAAUUAUUUUGUUUCUACUUUGUAAUUAGUUUAUGUUAUGCAUUUAUCAACUUUUAAUUAUUUUUUUAUCUGAAAAAGAUACAUAAACCUAUAUCAUAAAUUUUUUCUUAAUAUCUCGAGACUCAAGUAAUUGAUUCAAGAUUUUCAUAAAUUUACUCAAUCUUACAAUUUUCAAAAUAACCUAAUGGAAUUGAAAUUUCAAAAGAACCAAAUUGAAUUUCAAAAUAACAGAAUUAUUAUUUUUCAAAAUUUCAAAAUCUCAGAUAGAUUUUGUAUUAAAAUAACCUAAAUUGAAUUUCAAAAUUAAAAAAUAUCAACUUGUUCGCUAUCUUUUAUCUUCAAAAUAACAUUAAUGACUUGAAUAUCAGAUAAUAAAAUUAUUAUUUUAAAAUUGAGAGAAACUCAACAAAAUAUCAACUUGUUCACACACAAGCACACACGGACACGAGCAAACGCGCACACACGUACACACGCACGUAUGAGCGCACACACACCGACACACCCAAGCACACAAGCACAUACGCGUCCGCACACACACAGACACACAUAAGCACACACACAGACACACAUAAGCACACACACAGACACACACACACGUGUGCACAUCAGCACACAAACACGAAUGCACACACGCAUACACACACACACCCACAUGCACAAAUGUGCACAAACGUACACCUGCACGCGCACACACUCGCACGCAUACACACACGCACGAACGCACACUCACACCCACACGCAUAUCCACACACCCACACGCACAAAUGCACAAAACUGCGUAAAUGAAUUAAAGAUAAGAAACAAUUACAUUACUAUUUUCUUUUUAAAUUUUAACAUAUAGCCUUAUUGCGCGUGCAUGGUAAUUUAUAAAAUAUCAAAAUAUCCACUUUCUCCAACUGUAAUUAUUCCGUUUCUACGUUGUAAUAUAUUUAUGUUAUGCAUUUAUCAGCUUUUAAUUAUUUUUUACCUGAAAAAGAUACAUCAACCCAUGUCAUAACUUUUUUCUUAAUAUCUCGAGACUCAACUAAUUGGUUCAAGUUUUUAUAACUUUAUACAAUCUUACUAUUUUCAAAAUAACCUAAUUGAAUUUGAAUUUUAAAAUAACCAAAUUGAAUUUCAAAAUAACAAAAUUAUUAUUUUUCAGAAUUUUAAAAUCGCAACGAUAGAUUUUGUAUUGAAAUAAUCUUAAUUGAAUUUCAAAACUAAAAAGUAUCAACUUGUUCACCAUCUUUAUCUCAAAAUAACAUUAAUAGUUUGAAUAUAAAGAUAACUAAAUUAUUAUUUUAAAACUAGGAGAAAGUCUACAUUAAAAAAAUCAACUUGUUUGCACACAAGCACAUGUGCACACCCACCCACACAUGCACACGCACAAAAUGUGCAUACACGCAAACAUGUACGCACACAUGUGCACACACACAUGUACGCACGUGUACACACACGUACACACGCGCGACAGCCACACACGAACAUACGCACAAACGCACACACAUACACGCACAUGCGCAUGCGCACGCACCCACACAAACUCACACACGCACAAAGAUGUGUAAAUGAAUUAAAAUUAAAAACAAUUACACUAAUUGUGUUUAUAAAGACUUUUAAACCAUGUUUAUUUGACUUAAGAACAUUAAUUAAAUUAUAAUUUCUAUCACUAUUGGUUUUAAAAUGUCAUUAGUGUAUUUAUUUCAAUAUAAUGCGGUCUUAUCCAAUUUUACCAACAAAAAAACAAGUCGAAUAUGGACUAGUAGAUUCACACUCUUUGUCAUAAGAGAUAUAACAACAUUUUUAUGGAUCAUUUUGAAAAAUGACAAACUACUUUUUCUUUUGAAUUUUAGCAAAUAGUAUUUUUUGCACGUGCACGGUAUUUUAUAAAAUACCAAAAUAUCCACAUUCUUCAACUGUAAUUAUUUUGUUUCUACGUUGUAAUUAAUUUAUGUUGUGUAUUUAUCAGCUUUUAAUUAUUUUUUACUUGAAAAAGAUACAUCAAUCCAUAUUGCCACAUCAAUCCAUACCAAAACGUUCCUAAGAAAGGAUCAUCUCACCCAUAACUUUAAAUUCUUCAAACACAAUGCAAUUAACUUAAAGCAGAACAAAACAAAACAAGAAAUCUAACCAACAAUAACAAAAAAAUAAACCUUAAGCCUUGAUCCUUGCAGUCCAUUGGGAGGUUCAGAACGGGACAUGAUCGAGAACAAUCGAUUCCGAGCUGCAGGUUUCGACAUCGACAAAGAAUUUCCAAGUAAAUGAAAAUUUUGGAAAUGGGUAGUGAAGAAAAAUAAGGUUGAGAGGAUUUUGUUUGGUGAGUGGGAAAAACUCUAGCCAGUGGAAAGAGAAUGGAAGAAAUGGGGUUUAGUUUACACAGAUUUUUCUUAAUGAUUGUUGGAAGAACAAAGAGAUUGUGAGAAGGUUUAACGGCAACGACAAUGGCAGAAUGUUAAAUCCCCGAAAAGACUAAAUGGCCAAUUGAGAGGAAGAAGGAAGAAAGAAAUUCUCUUUCAAGCUAGGGAAAAGACAGAGGAAUGGGAAUUGAAUUGUACGUUUGGUAUGGCUAUAUGCAAUUUUCUUGCUUCUUUAUGGAUAUGUUGUACAAAGAGUAGAACGAUGACAUGGUUCACUUUGUUUCUCUCUUUACAAAGUAACCAAUGACUUAAAAGAAAGACAUUGAACAACAAAUGACCAAUAGAAAACAAUAUACUCAAGAAACAAUAAAAAAAAUGCAGAAAUUAAAAAUGAAAUUGGAAGUAGGAAAAAAAUGGAAGGAAGAAAAAUACCCCAAAAGUUCUAAAUGCAAUAUGAUCAUAACAAACAUGUCUCACUGUGAACAAAUCGAACAAGCUCUAUAACGAAUUUUGUAGUGGGAUUCCGACUCAUAGAAGCCGGCUCCAGGCUUGCACAACGAAUGACCAAUACAAAAUAAGAUCCAGUAAAAAGAAAGGCCCAACUAAAGUGAAAUUAGAAGACACACACGUCCUAUAUUAAGGUAGAGUCAAGGUAAUUUAGAAAAAUUCAUUACCGGACAACUACCUCAAAAUUACCCGAACUUAUAAACUAUACAAUUAUUUUUUCCUGAUGUUCCAAAACACUUGCCAACUGAAAUUUUCUUUUGACAAAUAUGCAAUGGGUUUCUUGAAAUUGAAUGCUCAAUCCAGAAAUUGAAAAUGAAAUUGGAAGUAGAAAAAAAAUGGAAGGAAGAAAAAUACCCCAACAGUUAUAAAUGCAAUGUGAACAUAACAAGUUGUAUCAUCAUGAACAAAUUGAACAAUCCCCAAAACAGAUUUUGCAAUGGGAUUCUGACUCCAAUAAAUUGCAUCCAUGUUGACCAAAACUUUCCGAACAAAGGAUUCAGCUUCCCAUCAACAUGCAUCACAAACCUAUAACUUUAAAUUCUUCAAAAACAAUGGAAUUAAAUCAAGGCAGAAAAAAAACAAACAAGAAUUCUAACCAACGAUAAAAAAAAAUCCACCUUAACCCUUAAUCAUUGUCGUCCAAUGGGAGGUUCAACAUUGGACAUGAUUGAGAACUAUUGGUUCCCAGCCGCAAGUUUCGGCAUCGACAAAGAUUCUCCGAGGGAAAUGAAGAUUUUGGAAAUUGGUAGUGAAGAAAAAUAAGGUUGAAAGAAUUUUGUUUGGGGAGUUGACAAAAUUGUAAACCGAACCCCAUGUGUUUCAUUUUUCUCCUCAUCGGCCAGAAUUUUGUCAACUCCCCAAACAAAAUCCUGGCCGAUGAGGAGAAAAAUGAAACACAUGGGGUUCGGUUUACAAUGAUUUUUCUUAAUGAUUGUUGGAAGAACAAAGAGAUUUAAGGGUAACAAAAAGAAUGGAAGAAUGUUAAAUCCCAAAAGACUAAAUGGCCAAUUGAAUGCUUAAGGAAGUUUGAUUUGCCUGUUUUAGCAGUUUUUUUUUUUUAUGUAAAUGUUGUAGAAAGAGUAGAACAAGGACAUAAUUCACUUUUUUUUCUCUUUACAAAGUAACCAAUGACUUAAAAGAAAGACAUUGCACACUAAAUGCCCAUUAGAAAACAAUAUACAUCGAAAAGAAUAAAAAAUAUGCAAAAAUUCAAAAUGAAAGUGCAAGCAGAACAAAACGGACUUGAUUCACCAUGAACAGAUAGAACAAGCUCCAAAACGGAUUUUGAGUAGAAUUUCGUCUCAGAUUUGCAGUCUCCAGGUUUUCCAAAACGUUCCUAAGAAAGAAUCAGCACAACCCACAACUUUAAAUUCUUCAAAAACAAUGAAAUUAACUCAAAGCAGAAAAAAAAAGACAAAAACUCUAACCAACGAUAACAAAAAAAUAAACCUUAACCUUUGAUCCUUGCAAUCCAUUUGGGGGUUCAGCACUGGACUUGAUCGAGAACAAUCAGCUCCCAGCCGCAGGUUUCUGCAUGGACGAUGAUUUUUCGAGGAGGGAAAUCAAAUUUUUGGAAAUGGGUAGUAAAGAAAAAUAAGGUUGAAAAGAUUUUGUUUGGAGAGUGGGCAAAAUUCUAGCUGGUGAGGAGAAAAGAAAAGACAUGGGGUUCAGAUUCGAGGGAUUUUUCUUAAUGAUUGUUGGAAGAACAAAGAGAUUGUGAGGAGAUUUAAGGGUNNNNNNNNNNNNNNNNNNNNNNNNNNNNNNNNNNNNNNNNNNNNNNNNNNNNNNNNNNNNNNNNNNNNNNNNNNNNNNNNNNNNNNNNNNNNNNNNNNNNNNNNNNNNNNNNNNNNNNNNNNNNNNNNNNNNNNNNNNNNNNNNNNNNNNNNNNNNNNNNNNNNNNNNNNNNNNNNNNNNNNNNNNNNNNNNNNNNNNNNNNNNNNNNNNNNNNNNNNNNNNNNNNNNNNNNNNNNNNNNNNNNNNNNNNNNNNNNNNNNNNNNNNNNNNNNNNNNNNNNNNNNNNNNNNNNNNNNNNNNNNNNNNNNNNNNNNNNNNNNNNNNNNNNNNNNNNNNNNNNNNNNNNNNNNNNNNNNNNNNNNNNNNNNNNNNNNNNNNNNNNNNNNNNNNNNNNNNNNNNNNNNNNNNNNNNNNNNNNNNNNNNNNNNNNNNNNNNNNNNNNNNNNNNNNNNNNNNNNNNNNNNNNNNNNNNNNNNNNNNNNNNNNNNNNNNNNNNNNNNGAAAAUUUCUUGGCUUCAUUGUAAGGCAUCGAGGGAUCGAAAUAGACCAGUCCAAGAUUGAUGCCAUUCAGAAGAUGUCAAGACCUAAAAGUUUGCAUGACCUAAGAAGUCUCCAAGGACGACUGGCUUACAUCCGAAGGUUCAUCUCUAACUUGGCCGGUCGGUGUCAACCUUUUCAAAAGUUGAUGAGAAAAGGAGAAAAUUUUGUGUGGGAUGAAGCUUGUCAGAACGCUUUUGAUAGCAUAAAGAAAUACUUGCUUACUCCCCCAGUGCUGGGAGCUCCAGUACCUGACAAACCACUAAUAUUGUACAUUGCUGCACAAGAAAGGUCCUUAGGAGCAUUACUGGCACAAGAAGAGGUAAAGGGAAAGGAGCGUUCUCUCUACUAUCUAAGCAGAACAUUAAUUGGGGCUGAAGUUAACUAUUCUCCUAUCGAAAAGAUGUGUCUUGCACUUUUCUUUGCCAUUGAUAAGUUGAGGCAUUAUAUGCAGGCCUUCACGGUUCAUCUAGUGGCAAAAGCAGACCCUAUAAAGUAUGUUCUAUCCAGGCCAAUCAUCGCUGGACGCUUAGCCAAAUGGGCGGUUCUACUCCAACAAUAUGACAUUGUCUAUAUUCCCCAAAAGGCGAUAAAAGGACAAGCGCUAGCAGACUUUUUAGCAGACCACCCAAUUCCUUCGGAUUGGAAGUUAUGUGAUGACCUACCAGACGAUGAGGUUUUCUUCACAGAAGUUAUGGAACCUUGGACUAUGUACUUCGAUGGUGCAGCUCGAAGAAGUGGUGCGGGGGCAGGCAUUGUCCUCAUUUCUCCUGAGAAGCAUAUGUUGCCUUAUAGCUUUGCACUUUCCGAAUUGUGUUCAAACAAUGUGGCUGAAUAUCAGGCUUUGAUAAUUGGCCUUCAAAUAGCAUUAGAAAUCGGAGUGUCAUUCAUAGAGGUCUAUGGUGAUUCAAAAUUGAUAAUCAAUCAACUCUCGCUUCAAUAUGACGUGAAACAUGAAGACUUGAAGCCAUAUUUUGCUUAUGCUCGACAAUUGAUGGAAAAGUUUGAUAAUGUGAUGUUAGAACAUGUCCCUAGAGUAGAAAAUAAGAGAGCGGAUGCAUUGGCAAAUUUAGCCACGGCCUUGACCAUGCCAGAUGAUGUAACUCUGAACAUACCACUUUGUCAACGAUGGAUUAUACCCCCAGUUAGGCCUGAAUGUCAGGAAGUGAACAUGGCAACAUCCUAUUUGAUUGAUGAAGAAGAUUGGCGUCAACCCAUCAUAGAGUAUCUUGAACAUGGAAAGCUUCCAAAGGAUUCUCGUCAUAAAAUUGAGAUACGAAGAAGGGCAGCACACUUCAUUACAAGGGAACUUUAUAUCGCCGUUCUCUUGAAGGGCUCUUCCUUCGAUGUCUCGGAAAGGAAGAUUCGGUAAAAGCUCUAAAGGAAGUACAUGCAGGUGUUUGUGGAGCACAUCAAUCGGGACCAAAGCUUCAAUUCCAGCUAAGAAGAAUGGGCUACUACUGGCCUAAGAUGAUCCAAGAUUCAAUAGACUAUGUGAAGAAGUGUGAGCCUUGUCAAUACCAUGCAAACUUCAUACACCAACCUCCAGAACCUCUUCAUCCAACUGUGGCUUCUUGGCCUUUUGAGGCUUGGGGACUCGAUCUGGUUGGCCCCAUUACACCAAAAUCAUCAGCAGGACAUUCUUAUAUCCUAGCAGCAACAGACUAUUUUUCAAGGUGGGCUGAGGCCAUUUCUUGAGAGAAGCCAAGAAGGAGAACGUGGCAGACUUUAUUCGAACACACAUCAUCUAUCGAUACGGUAUUCCACAUCGAAUCGUGACGGAUAAUGGAAAGCAAUUCUCCAAUAGUAUGAUGGACAAGUUAUGUGAAAAAUUCAAAUUCAAGCAAUAUAAGUCAUCCAUGUACAACGCAGCUGCGAAUGGACUAGCAGAAGCAUUCAACAAAACAUUGUGUAAUCUUUUAAAGAAAAUUGUCUCCAAGUCAAAGAGGGAUUGGCAAGAAAAGAUCGGCGAGGCAUUAUGGGCUUAUCGGACGACUCAUCGCACCCCUACAGGGGUUACACCAUAUUCGCUUGUUUACGGUGUGGAGGCUGUCCUUCCUCUCGAAAGGGAAAUUCCGUCACUAAGAAUGGCAGUACAAGAGGGAUUGACUACCGAAGAUAAUGUGAAGUUACGUCUUCAAGAAUUAGAAGCACUUGACGAAAAGCGAUUAGAGGCUCAGCAAGCAUUGGAAUGUUAUCAAGCGAGAAUGUCCAAAGCUUUUGAUAAACACGUUAAACCUCGCUCCUUUCAAGUCGGUGAUCUAGUACUUGCCGUAAGGAGACCGAUCAUCACAACAAGGCAUACAGGAAAUAAGUUCACACCUAAAUGGGAUGGACCUUACAUUGUUAAAGAAGUUUAUACAAAUGGCGCAUACAAGAUCGUUGAUCAAGACGGACUACGAAUUGGCCCAAUCAAUGGUAAAUUUUUAAAAAAUUUAUGCUUAAUUUUGUUAGGUAAAAAAAAAAAAAAAAAAAAGUUGAACUACGUUAUGACUUGAUCCCUAUAUUAUAAAGGGUACGUAGGCAGCUUAAGGAAAACCUUAAGCCCAGUCCAGCAAAAAAAAAGUUGAACUACGUUAUGACUUGAUCCCUAUAUUAUAAAGGGUACGUAGGCAGCUUAAGGAAAACCUUAAGCCCAGUCCAGCAAAAAAAGUUGAACUACGUUACGACUUGAUCCCUAUAUUAUAAAGGGUAUGUAGGCAGCUUAAAGGAAACUUUAAGUUCAGUCCAGUAAAAAAAAGGAAGAAAGACAAAUUACAUUUAAUAGAAAAUAUGAUGAGGAGUGGAACAAUGAAAGAAUAAAUUUUUUUUAUUUAUUAUAAACUUCUAGCAAAAAAAAAAAUUAAAAAGGCAUAAGUAGAUAAAUAAGAGAAAGCAGAGAAUCAUGGAGUCCAUUUAAAGUUCUUCAGCUCCUCUAGUGUGCUUUCUAAAGAUUCACGAAGUGUUGAUAGCAUUUUAGCAUCAAUAUCUCCAACGAUCGGGGCACAUUCGAGUUUGUCAAUUUCCUCACAAGUCUUCGAAAUCUCAUGUUGCUUCUGCUUCAGCUCCAGGUCGUUCUUAAAAAUUAUUCCAGAAAGUUUAGCAGACUCAGCCCGCACCAUCUUUAGUUUUGCCUCUAGUUUAGCCUCCUUGGCGGACAGUCGUGUAAGACGACGUUUAGCAGUGUUGGUCUCUGCCAAUAUACGAUUCUCAUCAACUCGCAGAGUCUUCACAAAACCUUUUGCCUCCGUUAGCUGAACAUCCUUAGUUGAUUGGAGUAGAAAUGAGGAAUGUAUUUGAUUAUGGUUCUCGACACCUUGGAAGUAACCAUUCACAAGCUCCCUCAAAACAAUAAGGUUGUCGCUGCCGCUAGUCGCAAUCGCAUCAAAGAUCUUAUGCAUUUCUGGUUCAAGACUACUCAGUCGUUCAAAAGGGGUACGAAUGAUCUUCUGUCGUAGGUUUUCCCAUAAGGUUAUGGCAGCCUGUCGUCGGAGGUCAGAAAUUAAGCUGUCAGCACAAAAAUGAGAAAUCUCAGAAACUGUAAUAGGCUCCGUGCCUUCCACUUUUUGAGGAGGUCCCUUGAUCACAGGAGGACAAGCAGACACAAUAUUUGCGCCUAUAGGUUCCUUAGAGUUCCCAUUAUAAGAAAGUACAACGUUACAGUCUUCUAGAUUCGGCAUCGACUCUAGGGUAUCUUCGAUGUGUAGGUCGUGAUCACCUAAAGAAGACUGCAAAAUAAUAUUAACAACAAGAAAUAAGAGAGUAAAGGAGAGAAAAUACAAUAAAUAAAUAAAUAAAAAGGGAGACGAAAAGAAACCAUGGGGGAAGGGACAUCGAAGAAUUGUGCAGCAUCAGGGACCCGAAUAGGAGACUCUUCAUCAUCGAUCGACUGUUUGUUGGCUUCUUGGUCUCUUCCAAUGGCGAUCAUCAUGCUGCUUUGACUGUCCUCAAUACGUUUAGAAGGAUGCUUGGUAGCUAUGAUAAGCUGGUUGUCCUUACCCACAUUGUCAAUACACCUUUAAUAAGAUGUUUAAAUCGUGUUAGAAAAGAGACAAUUAUCCACCAAGCGUUUUGUCCCUCCCUCAAUUUUCUCCACAAGUCGUUCAUCAGUUUCAUCGAGCAUAUCUUCUGAUUUCCACUACCAAAAUUAUGUUCAAUCUUUUUUGUGGUUUUGGAUUUGAUGUGAGGGGGAGUAGGACGAUCUAUCAAAUGUUGUACUCCUUCUUGGAGGUAAUCACCGUGUUUUUGCAAGCCACCGACCUUAUAAUGAGAGGUAACAUGUGUGUCUGGAUUAGGGGCGACACAGGAAGAUAUACUUGGGAAAGUGUAUUCUCGCGAAUACAAAUCAUCCAACAAUAUCGUACGUUAAAAAAAUUGGCUCGGGAAUUUCUUCACCUAAGUCAUAUGCACGUCUUGAUAAAAUCCAAAUUGUCGGCUAAAGCGACAAGGACUAUAAGGCUCAAUGUGGAGGAUCCACAUUGCGAGGAUAGAAAACAAGAGCGAAUGCUUAUGAAAAAUGAAGCAUUCCAACUAAUUAACUCUCCAUCAUCCGUUAAGAGUUCGUCCUUAUUCUUUGUUGGAAGACACGCAUGCCAUGACACAUACUUUUCCCUUGUGGAUAUGUGUUCGAGCCUCAAGAUUAGUAUAAUAUUUGGCCCCACCUUCACCAGAAAAUUCAACCAUGCGAGGACCCCUAAGACUCCUAGGGCUUUAUAAUGAGUGUUGAAGUAAAGAGCAAGCCACCCAUGGACAUAGUGAAGAGGAAAACAGGCAUUUGAAUAACCAAGUGAUGAAGUAGAAUCAUGAACUUGGCGUAGGCCACUAUAAUAUUAGCUAAAACAGGGACAACAAGGCUAAAUGUGUAGCCUUCCGCAUGAGGCUAGCAACCUUAAAAACCUCUGACGAAGGGAAAGUUGCUUAUCAGGGAACACAAAACACAUAGCCAACAAGAGAGAAUGCCGCUAGAUAGGUUUUGUCCCUAUGAUCAUCACGUGACGCUUAAGUCAAGGAACACUUUGAGUUCAGCUUUAGACCAGUCAGGACGUCUGAUGGGAAUUCCAUCUGGAUUAUGAGUUGAGCGAGGGCGAGAAGUCUUUUUAGGCUUUCGAGGAGCGGUUUCAAUACUUUACCUCAGAUCGUGUAACCCAAAAAGAGAUCCAUUCACUUACAGUGAUUUGAGAGUGAUCCAUGCGUUGAGAAAAGCUAAUAGGCUAAAAUAAAUGCUCACAACUUCUUGGACAUACAUCAGGUGAUCCUAUUAAGUCUUUGGCAAGGAAUGCUUUCUUCAUAAAAUCUACCUUUAAUCGGGAGUCCUCCUAGUAUCCAUAAGUCCAUAAGGAGAUGGACAUCUCACCAGCUGAGGUGUGAAGAGUGUUUGUUGAAGGACACCAUGCCUCGCAGAAAGCCCGAUCAAUGUCACUGUUGCGAUCAUAUGUAUAUAGGGAAGCCAUCACAGCAUUAAAUAGGGAGGCUCGCUUGAGUACUGCCGUAUUUCUAGCAACAACGAGCUCUAACCACUCCCAAUAAUGAGGAAGAUUGUAAAAUUCUCCAUGUACCUUGAGCACAUUUCCCCAACGAAUUUUUGGGUCGUUUAUAAUUCGACGACCCAACGUUGAUUCUGGAUCCUCAUUUGGAGGCUUGUUGUGAAUCGAAGACUCCAGAAACCAAGAUUUUAAAGAUGAAUUGGGAUUUACAAACCGUUCCUUGGACCAUUUAGGCAAAAAGAUAAAAUUGUCCUCGGGUAUUUGGGAGUCCAUAUAUUCUCAUAUGUCCCCUCUCUCACAGGAAGAAUGAUCCCUUCCUCUAAAGAUUGAUCUACGUCUUUCAGGAUAAUUAAACACCUUUUGGUCAGUCAGAAUACUCAGUGAAGUGCACCAUGAUGAAAAGUAGAGUUCCUGCAAAUAUAAUAAUAAUAAUAAUAAGAAUAGAAAAAAACCAAAACAAAAAAAAACAAAAGAAAAGAAAAAAAAGAAAGAAAGAAGAAAAAAAAGGGGGGGGGGGAAGAAAAAAAUGAAGAUUGAAGCCCGACGAUGACAAGAAUCGAUCUCUCCUACUAGGGCGAUAGAUCUGACGGCAAAAGCCGAUCGUCCCUAGAAGAAGCUCAACAAAGUCAUUUGCAAACGAAGAUCGAAGCCCGACGAUGACAGAGUCGAUCUCUCCUACUAGGGCGAUAGAUCUGACGGCAAAAGCCCGAUCGUCCCUAGAAGAAGCUCAACAAAGUCAUUUCUGCAAACGAAGAUCGAAGCCCGACGAUGACAGAGUCGAUCUCUCCUACUAGGGCGAUAGAUCUGACGGCAAAAGCCCGAUCGUCCCUAGAAGAAGCUCAACAAAGUCAUUUCUGCAAACGAAGAUCGAAGCCGACGAUGACAGAGUCGAUCUCUCCUACUAGGGCGAUAGAUCUGACGACAAAAGCCGAUCGUCCCUAGAAGAAGCUCAAAAGUCAUUCCUGCAAAAAAAAAAAAAAAAAAACAAAAAAAACAAAACAACACAAAAAAAACAAAACAAAACAAAACAGAAUUAAAAAAAGCAAAACAAAAAAAAAACACACACACAAAAAAAGAGAAAAAAGAGAAAGGGAGAAGAAAAGUUUUCUAUACCUUUCUGCUGAUUGGAUGAGGUAUAAGUGAGUAGGGUGUGAGUCUAUUUAUAAGUCCAACAAAUCCAAUUUUUAAAAGGAUUAGGAAUGAUAUUUAAUUAUUUUUUUUAAAAAAAAAACAAAUCCAAUUCCUAAAAGGAAUAGGAUUGAUUUUAAAUAUAUAUAUAUAUAUAUAAAGAAAAGAUAAUCCAAUUAUCUUAUUUUAUUUUAAAUUAUUUCUUUUUUUUUUGUUGGAUAAAUCUCAAGUUUAACUUUUAUUGAGAUAUUUAAAAUAUUUAAAAAUUUCAACAUUUAAAAAUAUAUAUAUAUAGAUAAAUAUUCUCAAUUUCAAAAUUCAAGUUAAAUUAACUUGCAUAUAUGACCUCAUUUUUAUCAUGAAUUUAAAUCGGAGCAUAAAUCCAACUUUACCUAAGAUUGAGGACCUGAUUUUUUAUCUCAAAUUAAAAUUGGUCAUUCCAAAUUCUUAUGCAUCCCCAAGAUAAAUUAAGGUACGGUAGAAACUUUAUCCUUAUUUCAAAAUUAAAAUUUUGGUUAUAUUCCAAAUUUUACUUAAAAAAAAUCAUCAUAUUAAAAAUUUUUUUUAUCCUCAAAUAAAAUUAAGUUAGGAAUAAAACUUUGAAUUUUUUUAAGGUUUGGCCAUAUUCCAACCCUUAUUUUAAAUUGAAAUCAAACUCACGUACUAAAUUCAAGUUUGAUUAAUUUGAUAUAUUGAAUUGAGUAAAAAAAAAAAAAAAAAAGAAGCUCGUACUUUGACUUCAAAUUUAUCUUUUCGAGAUUCAUUCACCCAUAUACGUGCAUAAAUCUCGAAAAGGGGGCAUUUGUUGAAUAAGAAAUUUUGAGACUAAUCACUAGUUGCCAUAUCAUUUAUUAAGUUAAUGAUGAAAAGUACAAAUAAUUAAAUUUGGGACUAAUUAAAAUUGACAUAUGCUCCAAAUUAAAGAGUUGAAAAUAAAUAAAAUGGUCAUUCUAAUAAUGCCACAUGUUUUCAUAUUAAUAGUUGGAUUAAGUUAAUCAUUUUAGUUCAAUUAAAUAUUAUUUACUUGGACUAAGUUCAAUUAAGCCCAAAAAAUAAGCUUAAUUGAACCCAAAGACUAAAUAUAACCUAAGUCCAUAUGGUUGAGCCCAUGGGUCUGGUCCAUGGACCAACCAGGUUCAAACCCAUAAAGCCCACCAGUGAAAUCUAUAAAUAGAGGAAUUCUCCUCAUUUGUAGGGGUUGGAAAUUUUGACUCUAGAAGAUCCAGAGAGAAUUCUUCAAAGAGCUAGAAGACUCCCUAACUCCUGAAGUCGACCAUCCUCGAAGAUUGAAGCUUCUUUAAAGAUACAAGCUUUCUUCAAGGCUUCAACUUCAAGAACAUCACGUGCUUCGCUUCCUCAAAUCAAGCUGAAGCAUCCAGUUGAGAGAGAAUCAGAGGAUCAAAUUCUAGAGAUUGAACCGCAUCGCAUCAAAUCAACAAAAUACAACAUCAAACUCAAGUUCAAGUCCACGAAUUAAAUUCUCCGAAAAUCUCGUGCGAACACAUAUAUUUCUAAAUAAAUUUAUUCGACGAAAGUGGCUAGAUUGGUGGGUUCGACGGCGAAGGCUUGUUGUGGCAGCAACGACAACAGUGGUUGGAGUGUGGAAUCGACGACGACAAGUGGCAAAAAAUUGGAAGGCAAGGGUUCUUCAUAACGACUCGGUAGCCCACUUCGUUCGACGAGAUUUUUUUGCAUUUUUGGUAGAGUGAGAAAAAAUUGCAUUAAGACUUCAUUCGACGACAUCGUUUUUGCUUAAGAGAAAAUUUGAUGUUUUUACUUAGUUGUAAUUGCGUGAGAGAGGGAAAUUAAAAAAUUUUGAAAUUUGAGGUUUUUUCAUUUGAAAUUUUUUUUAAUGACAAAAAAAUUGUCGUUAAUUAAUGACCCAAAAAUUGUGUGAAAUAAAUUAAAUUGUGUCAAUAGAAUUGUUUUAAGAAAUAAUCCAUAUUUUUAUUUUCAACAACACAUGUACCUCAUCCACCUCUUUUUUCUUUUAUUUUCAACGACACAAUGUCUUGAUUAAAAUCCAUUUUUCUAGUGACAAAUGUAUCCAUACCAAAGUGGGAAGCAGCUAAGGGGACGAAGGUAUAUUCGGAGAGAGAUUGUUAAACAAUUGUAAAAAGUAAGCCCAAGAAGAGAGGUCCAAUAAAAUUCAGCCACCUCUCACAUAGUAAUUGAAAUAGUCUAGCAAUUUCAACCAUUUCCCUCACAGAGAAGAAGAAGACCAUAGCCACUCGAGGCUUUUGCACAUACAAACACCAAGAAGAUGGUGUCCGGUUCCGUACCUGUGCUAAGCGCGUCGUUGUUGACAUAAAGUUUCUAUAUACAAAGCUAUGUAUCUCUACCCUUGACUUCUCUUUCUCUCUUUCUACCUUUUUUAUCCUUUCUUUCUCCCAUUCACUCAAUACACUUGCAAGAACCUUCAUUUUUUUUGUAUUUAAAUUUUCUUGGCACCAUCCUUUUUUAAUUAUCAAGGCUUUGUUAUUGUGUACCUGUAUUGUGUCGUGCCUCCUUCACUUCUCAUCAUCAUUUUCAUGUCACAUCUCUACCUUGUCAAUUUUCGUUUUUCACUCAGCUUUCUUUCUUCAUUUGUCUUCACUACUCUCUUCGCUCCUUCUUCUCAAGCUCUAACUUUUGCUAUUAUUAACCAGUCUCAAAUGACCAUUGGAAAACCUAUAGCCCACUGAGAGGCAGCCAAUAUAGUAAUGCCUCUAAUGAUAAACUCCAAUGAAAUCAAAAGUUCUUCUUUGAGAUUUGGAAAAAUAUAUUAGAUAAAGCAUAAUUAGUUGAAAAAGAACCUUAAAAUUUUGUGUUAAACGACUACAAUUUCAUCGUAGAAUAUGCCAUAUUGACAGCAUAUUUUUCCUACAAAAACAUAUUAACUAAAAUAAGCUCAUAAACACGAAAAUGCACUAAGUGUUGGUUAACAUACACUACCUUGAAAUAUGAUGAAGACUUUAUUUCUCCCAACCAGACAGCAUAAUCAGGAGGUAGUUUGGGAGCAAACAGAAUUGACUUAAUUUCCACUAGCAAUAUCCUAUAAAAAUUUCAAAUUCUUGAAAUAUGGAAACCAAUGGAAGUUUUAGGGAAUGAAGUAUAACCUCUAAAUACAGAAGGACGACAUAAAGGGGAAUGAAGACUCGAAAGAAGGACGACGUUUUCGUAGAGAAGGACGACAAUUUUGAGGGACAACGGACACGAUUUCAGAGUAUUAGGGAUGGUAGAUGGCGAAAGUCUUAGGGAUCUCGUACUCAGUGGAUGGUGAACGACUGAAAGCGAAGGACCUAGUACGCAUUUUUGGAGAGGGCGUGUGAACGCGGAUGGACGGACGGUGAACACGGCAGAAGUGAGAGAUCCUCAUAGAGAACUUGGCAUUUUCGAAUGCGGUAGAGACAAGUCUAGGGCUUCGAAGGAUUCAACCCAAUAUUUUCUUUAUAUAUAUAUAUAUAUAUAUAAUAUAUAUUUAAUAACACUUGACGUUUUUAAAACGUAAAGAAAAACGAUUUUACUUGACGUCUAAAAAACAUCAAGAAAUUUAAAAAAUAACUCUUCUCCGGCUUUUUAUAAAAAUUCUUGACGUUUUAAAACAUAAAGAAUUUUUAAGAUAUUUCUUGACGUUUUUAAAAUGUCAAGUAAAAGUACAUAUUACUUGACGUUUGAAAAUUUUGAAGAAUGUUGAAUAUAUAAACAUUCUUGACGUUUUUAAAACGUCAAGAAAAAAUACAUAUUAGUUGAUGUUUAAUAAACGUCAAGAAAUCUGAAAAUUGACCUACCCUCGCCUUUUCUAAAAAUUCUUGACGUUUUAUCUUUGGAACUACCCCUUUCUUGACGUUUUUUGAAAAAAAAUGUCAAGAAAGAAAAACAACAAACGUCAAGAAAGGCCUUUUUUGUAGUAAUGACAUACAAUAUAUAUAUAUACAUAAAUAAAUAAAUAAAUAUAUAUAUAUAUAUAAUGAAUUAAAAUGGUUUUGUUGCUUUACUGUUUUACUCUAUAAAGGAAGAGCAUUAUAAAUAUAUUAUUGAGGAAACAUCUUUCGAAAUGACUGGUUUUGGAAGUGUCAUUAGAUUUUUAGUUAGUUAAGCACAUUUUCCUCCCAAAUAGUAGUCGAAAUACAACUGUUUUUUAAGAAGAAGAAACCGAAUCCUUCAAACUAGGAUAAAAGUCAUUAUCUAUUAACAUAGAGUUAAAGUUACAAGGUUGAAGGCUAGAGGGAAGCCUGAAACAACCUAAUCUAACAAAGCUUAAAGUUAAGAGUUGGUAGUAACAUCAUAUUAGUUACAAGAUGAAUGACGCCUAGACCAAACUUCGAUCAAGUUACAUGUGUCUUCCCACAAGUUAACAAUAAACCUUGAUUUAUCCUUAAAAAUUCUAUUGUUUCUUUCUAUCCAAACAAUCCAAAGUAAGCCAGUUAUGGAGGAGGAAUACACAUUAGAGAGCUCAAUUAUGGAUGGAGGAAUACACAACUUUUUCUCGUGGUCAUUUUCCUCGUGGGCAUUCUCUUCAUGUUUCUUCUUAUUCCGACUAAAAUACAAGCACAAAUUAUUCUUCGCCUUCGUAUAGGUUUGUUUGAAGAAGAUUAAAAAAGUCCUUAAUUUAUCUCGACACUUCCAAAACCAGAAUAUAAUACCCGUGCUACAUAAAUCCCUCUUUCCAAAUAGUCGAACAUGAACUAUCCAUGCAUAUCUUGGAAUAAACAAGAGAAACCCUAACUAAACGCAAAUAGAAAAUACGUUGCAAUCUAAAAUAUAGUUAAAGAAACAAAAAGAAGUUUUAAUGUUGUGGGUUUUUUACUGAUCUUCUUCAACAACAAAAUAACUCAACGCCACAGUUCAAUUUUUCCUUCCACGAAUUGGGUUUUUAAAGAGUUUUCACCGCGAAUAAAUUUUUUUUGGUUCGACAAGUAACAACAUGUGAAUCCCCAAAUGCAAGGUUUUAUUAAAAAUUAAAAAUAUAAUUUUUUAAAAAAAUUAUAAUACCUAAAAAUAUAUUUUUUUUAUAUUUAUAACCUAAUUUUCUGUCAUUGCAUACUUGAGAGAAAUAUAUUUUUCAAUUAGCAUAAUAACCUUUAUAUAGUAAAUUAAAUUUGUAGAAUGAGAAAAGACCUUAGAUCCAAAAAAGUUAUUUAUUUAUUAUUGGAGUGAAUUGUAUAAUUAAUGUAGUUAAUGGAUGGUUUUGUAACCAUAAAAAAAUAAUGAAAAUAAUUUUCUAAAAGAAUGAAUGAAAAUUUGGAAAGUUAAAAGGUUUUAGGAAUUAAAAAAAAGGGUGUAACAUUAUAAAAGACUACCAAAUAUACUGUAAGAGACAUGCAUUAAAGGAGCUGAGUGUCACGUGUGAAAUUUUGACCCCAAAAAUCACCCCCAAAAUUGCGCUAAUUCAUGCCACGACUCCUUCAGCAAGGCCCAGGAGCAGCCCAACGUGGUCCUAAGACAGCCUAAGGGCGACCACGACAUGUGCCUACGGCAUUGGCAUGCACCUCUCGAGGACAGCUCACAAGCCCCGCACGCGUGCCACGACGAGUGCCCAUGACAGCCGAGUGUCAGCCCACGACACAGCCCCAUAGCACGCCAGAUGCCCGUUGACACGGCCAUAGGCGCCCGGCACCAGCGCCCACCAUCGACCCAGCGCGCGCCGUGUCCGCCCAACGUCCAGACGGCCCCAGAACCUCCGAGAAGCUUCCAGAAGAAUCGGGAAGGCGCGCAACACUUCGCGUGGCGCGCACGGCGCGAACCCAACGCGCGCGCCGACGCCCCCAGAUGCUUCCAGAAGGCUCCACACAUGCCCAUGUGUGUGCUGCCCGCCCAUGCUCAGUCUAGACAACCCCAGAAGCCUCUAGAACGUUCGAGACAGUGCCAGAAUGUGCUGGAAUGCGCGGAGGCUCCCGAGAAGGCCCCGGAACGUGCUGGAUGAUGCUGGAACGUGCUGGAACACUCUAGAAGGCUAUAUGACGGUCAGCGAGUGUCAUGAAAGGUCUAGUCCUCUCUAGAAUGUUCUAGGCUUCCUUGUUAUGUACCAAAUGAACUUGUAAUCUCUAGAAUCUCCCUUGGCCGACCUUCUAAGGCCCAAGGUCGGUGGGGAUGGUCUAUAAAUACUUGGGAGGGCCUCAUUUGUAUCAAGCCUUGCAACCUUGCAUCUUGGCAUGUCUUAGCCAAGCAAGGUCACCUUGCCACCCAAAGUCUCCUUGCCCAUGGUAUCCCCAUGACAAGAAGACAGCAUAUUUGUACCCAAAUAUGUAUUCAUCUAUUGUUGGAAUGCAAUGUAUCAUUCCAAAGACGUAUCCAUCCAAACUCCCUCAUCCUUCCAACCUCUCUCAUGUCUUGCAACCAACCUUAGUACUUCCGCUGCAACCGUUGUCGUAGUGCUUGGCACACUACCCCUUCCGGGAAAGGCUUACUUGGCUACGUGGGCAUUGUAGUUAGCCAAGUGCCGCAUGUAUGGUUAGCUUCAAGAUCCUAACCACGUGACAUGAGGCAUGCAUACUACCAAAUAUACUAUAAAUAAACCAUAAUUCUUUUUUAAGAAAUUAAACAACUAAUUAAAUAUAAAGAAGAAAGAUUAGAAAAUGAAUGAUCAAACAAACUAUGACUCAUUUAUUUUUGACAGGUUCGGCCAGUAUCACCUGACAAUUCAUUUUCACCAAGAGAAUAAACAUGAGUAGCCUUGGAAUCAAGUUCCUCCGAUAAAAGCCACGGAGUUGAUGGGUUAGAGACAGAACCAGAAUUUGAGUUCAACGAUGUGGAUGGAAAAUUCUGAAACUAGGAGCAACAGGAAGUUAAGACAACGAAUUAUUUUCAAUAUAGAAAGGCUAAUUGUAAGAAGUUGUUAAUGAAGUGUCCAAAUGCAUUAUGGUAAUAUUGGGUGCAGAAUGUUUGGAAGUUUUAUCCGUGUGCUGUGAAGCACCACAGAGUUGAAGCAUAUGAAACCAGUGUUUAUCUGACAAAAAAUAGUGUCAUGAUCAUUGCCUUUCCAUUCCAUAAAUUUAUGGAUAGCAGAAGAAAGAGAACUCUCAACACUUGAAUCACCAUAUAGCACUCUACAUCCAGGUGGUGCCUUGAUUUUUGAAGAUUUAGUUAAAAGCAGUGAUAAAAUUGGUACAUAAAUUACAGUGCAUUUCUCGAUAUGCAACAACAUUAAGAGCAACUUAAAGACAACAUCAUCAAGAAAUCUAGUAUUUAAAAUGUACAAAGAGCAGUAGUAAACAUAUGUAUUUUAUGGCUGACUUUAUCCAUAAUAAAUGUUGGAUUAAAUCAUCAAAAUAAAACACAAACAGAUAAUUAUCGAGUUUUUCAAUGGAGGAUAGAGAGGAAGACAUGCAUGCACAACUACUAGAUCUAUAUGGUGCCAGACUGCCAGUAAAAAUUUAAAGACACACAUGACAACAUUAUUUUGGAUGAAGUUCUAAUAUUGCAACCAUGGAGGAAAAAUCAGCAAAUCUUAAAUAGAUGUAGUAGUCCAAAUGAUAAAAGUUUGUCUCAAGAUAAUAUUUCAGUAACUGCAGAUGCAUUGUGUUGAACCUAACCUCUUGUGUUUCACGGUAAUGAACAAGGACAAUGUGUUCAAAGGUCCUGAACAAAAAGCAGAAGCAAGUCAUAAAUUAUAUAAGUAGAACACGAUAUACUGCCACUUCUAAUUUCAUUUUUCUUUGCUUGUGGCAUGAUGGGGAUAGACCCCACUGAAACAACUGGUAGCAAGCAAUUUAACAAUUUUCUUUCAACCAUAACAUACUUAUCUAGGAGCCAAUAACACCGGCGAACAAAGGUUGGGCUAUCUAGUCCAUGGGCAUAGUAUACAUGUAUCCUUUCUACAUUACCAACCUGCCGAAGAGAAAGAAAAGAUUAUCAAAGCACACCUUUUCUUGGUUAUUAAGGCUGUAAAAGAAUGAAAAUUACCAUAAAUCUAAACACAGUUAAUAUUAGACCAUUGAACAACCUAUAGAUUCAAAAGGAAAGACUCAAACCACCAAUAGACUGGUUAAUCAUUUAAAAUGAUCUCCAACAACAUGAUACGCAGUAUAUCGUGCUAGAUCCAUAAUUACCACAUGUGGACUCCUAUGGUAAUUUCAUUGAUGAUACGCAGCUAGUAGGCAAGAUUAUGAAAUGAAGACGGUAUGUGAGAAGAUUGAAAAGAUCAACAUGAUAAAAUUAUAGGGAUUUGAAUUUAUAUCUUAAGAACACCAGAGUCAAAUGCUUAAGCUGAUUAACUGUGUUAAAUUUAACUCUAUAAUAUAUUUUAAAUCUGAACAGUCAUUAAACAACUACAUUUUGAAUAAGCUUUAGAGAAUAUUAGCAAAAACAGUAGAAAUUACUUCAAAUUUGUAGAGAGAACAUAUAAAUUAUAUUCUACAGAAACACGAGCCCAUAGCAUGUCUACUGAGUAGCAAUGACAGUGAAAAAGGGAAUAGUAAGUAACUAAUCUCAUAAACCCCUUUCUCACAUCUAACCAAGUUCUUUCAUGACAUGCAAAAGCAUCAAAAUAUUUAAGAAAACUUCCAAUAUUGCAUUUGGAACUCAUUGAUUGACUUCAACGUUUAAGAGUCAUAAAAGACACAACUUACUUUCUCACCUGUCACCACUAAGCCUACGGCAACAUCUUUUUAUAAGAUAUUCAGCUAAUCUUUAGAUUGUUUACCGAAUAAUCGUCUAUUGUUUUGUAAUUGAUCCCACCAAGCGCUUGCGCCACCUUGAAGUUUGAGAGCAACUAAUCGAACCUUCUUGUGUUCGUGGUGUAUUGGCAUAGUCGAAAAAAUUUCUACGUUCUUGAUCCAAUCAAGAAACUUCUCCACGUCCAUUCGACCAUUGAAGGUAGGGAGAUCCACUUUCAUACGUAUUUCUUGAUCUUCUUGAAAGUAUGGUCGAAGUCCAAGCCUUUGUUGAGGUUCUUGAUGAAUGUUCAGCAAGUUGUCUUCAUCGGAAGAGUCAGAAUCAUUUAAGAAAUUUCAGGUACGUUGUUUCCAUACAAUCGAUUAUUGUGGAUGUGAAUAGGUUGAUUUCUUAGUAGUUCUUAGUUUACAACAGGGUUUAUUGGUCUUUCUUGUCUUUCUUGGUUUGCUGCAAUUGGGUUUCUUGGGGCUGAAUUGCUUCUUCUAAAGGUUGGACAUGAAAUCGGGUAAAAAGGUUUGUUAAUUCUACUAACGAUUGCUGUAUAUCUGACUGCCCUUUUCGAAGUUCUUCAAUAGCUUGUUCUACCAACUGCAAGCGUUGGUUGAAGGAGGCUUCCGCGUCCAUGGAUAAGAGUGGUAGGAUCCAAGUUUUUUUAGGGAAGAGUGAGCUAGGAUCACGCUCUGAUACCAAUUGAUUCAGUAAUUGCAAAGCUAGAAAUCUUUAUGUAUAAUGCCUCUUUUUUUUUAUGUCUUAUUAAUGAAAAUGAGAAGCUUUUUUAUAGGCUGGAGAUUAUAAGAGUUGUUAAACUAACUUGGGGUUGAGUUAGUUAACUUGGAGUUGAGUUAGUUAUAACUAACUCAAGAUACAAAAUUGGUAAUUCAAAUAACUAAUCCUAAACUAUAAAAAUGGUAAUUCAAACCCCUCCUCUAGGAUAAAACUCAAGAAACAUCAAGAAGGGAGAUGUUCUACAUCAAAGUGUAGAGAACGAUUCAAAAUCCUUGGUGAAAGAAAUGAAUGUUAACUAAUGUGUGUUUAUGUGAAAUUGUUCAAUGAGUAUGUUAAGGAUAAAGAAAGGUUUAUGCGAGAUAAAAUUAUUUGAUGUUGUUUAUGCGAAAUGAUGUUUAUGAAAAGGUAUUGCGAAAAGGAUUUCAUAAAACCUUAGUCUUUUAGACAUUCUUUCAAAAAUUCAUCUUCCAAGAUGAGGUGUUUAGGCCAAGUAGAGAAGAAGGUUGAAGGAUUUGCAGCGAGAUGACCAGACGUUUUGAAAAUAGUUAAGCAUUGGUUGUUUGGUCAAAGUGUUGUAAUUAUGUAUCAAACACAUGUUAUUAAUAAACAUCUUGGUAGGUAUUUAUUAUACUUGCACGCCUACUCUCACAUUUAGCCAUAUGUUGUACUUUGUUUUCCACCUUGACUUUUAAUGACACACAAACCAACUUUCCAAGGAAUUCCCUUUCAUUUUCCUAUUAACUCAUAUUCUCUUUUUUUAUCAAGUCCUUGAUAGAGAAAGUGGACUUUGAGUUGUUGGACUUUAGUAUUGCAUGGACAUACAAUUUUGAAUGAAAAAUCCUUAUAAAUGGGGCCUUUUAACUCAUUUGAUGGGUUGGCUAUUGAAUUUGGGCUUUCAUACCAAAUGGAAUUUUUUUUCUUAUUUACUUAAAGAAAAAAAAAAAAAAUUUACCACGCCCAUUUUUUUUCAUCUAUUUCUUUCGUCCGGUUCUUUCAUCCAACGAGUCCCACAACUCGAUUAUGAGUCUAGAAGUACUAAGUCAAACUUAGUGGUUGUUCGAAUAAAACGCAACUUCAAAUGUAAGUAUUCUAAAAACCUUAUUUUUUGGUUUAGUCUCGUUAAUUAAGCCCAAUUAGGGUAGAAUUUCGAUUCUUUUUCUGUUGUGCAUGUCUUAGUUCUAUCAGUAACUCCCUUCAGGGUGAUAACUCUCAUCAGCAGACUUUCCAUUACUGGUUUCUUCCUUAGUCAUCAUUAUAUUGUUGUUUUCCACAAUAGAUAGGGUGAGUUGCAGUUUUACAUGAAAUGCUCUGCUCACCCACACUCUUUUCUCACUAGUUCCUUAUUCUCAAUCUUCAACGCAAAUUUCAUCAUCUGGGCCAACCCAAUCGGUUCCACAGUUUCCACUUCCAUUUUUAUUCAUGGGCUAAGCCCAAUCAUCAAAGUCUCCUCUAACACUACCGUUUGAAGAAAUGCUACUAGAGCUAAAUAUCGAUCAAAUCGGUUGCGGUAUUCUUCUAAUCAUUUUCUGUUUGAUUGAGAAAAAUCUUCCAACCAAAGUUCCUUCUCGAAUUGAUCGAAACUGUACAAGCAUUCGUUCUUUCAGGUCAGCCCAAUUCUUAAAAACUUCCAACUCUUCUUGUGCUUGGUACCAAUCCAAUGCCAGAUCAUCAAAACUAAUAACGCUGUGGUUAAUUUCUCUGAAUCAGUAAGAUCAUGUAUCUUAAAGAAGCGAUAGGCUCUAAAUUGAGACCCAUUUCUAAUUUGAGUAAUGAAGUAAAUUUGGCUAGGUAUUAAGAAUUUGGCGUUUGAAUAAAUCCACGAAAAGGAUUAAGCGAUAAAAAAAUUUAUGGUUAAGUAUACGUUAUUGCGAUUCAGUGGGUAGUUCGCGAAGGAAGUUGUGCGACCCAUUUCUAAUUCGAGUAAGGAAGUAAAAUUCGGCUAAGAAUUAAGAAGUUGGUGUUCAAAUAAAUCCAUGGAAAGAUUAAGUGAUAAGAUCUUUUACGGUUAAGUAUACUUUUUUGCGAUAAGUGGUAGUUCGCGAAAGAAGUUGUGCGAUAAGAAGCGAAAAAGUCUUUGCGUAAGUUAGAAAUGAAAGUUUUGAGUGUUAGACUAGGAGUUUUGGGUGGUCUUCGCGAGAAGAACCAAGUGUUUCGUGGAGAAGAAGUCUACGAGGAAGCCUUGGAGUUUAAGUUCGUGAUAAGAGUUUUAUGCGAGUAAAAGUUGGUUAGUUCAUGUGGAACGUUUCUUAUAAUAAAAAUAUAAUCAAGCGAUAAGGUUAUUCACGAGAAAUGUUAAGUGGUUGAAUUUAUUCACGGUUUGGGUUAGGCGGGAGCAAGGUUUGUAAAGAAAAUGUCAAAUCUGAUUUGACAUGGGUUAACAUGUAAGAUUAAGGAUUUGAGCAUGACUAGGUUAAAUAUUAAGGAUUUGCAUGACUAAGUUAGUAUAAGGGAUCUAUAAAAUAGGAGAAUUUAGGUAACUAAGGAGGGGAUGACGAGAGUUUUGUUGAAAUGCUAAAGUGUUGUUGGUUUAGCCACGAAAAGAUGGUUGUGAGAAGGACUUCUUUAGUAAAUUUUGGUGAGUGCUUUUCAGUCAAAAGAAUUUAUGUUAAGAAACUUUAUUACGAUUUCUCUUUACUGAUUGAAAGAAGAAUUCAGAUGAGAAUGUUUCAGAAAGAUUUCUAUGAAAAGUUAUGUUCAAGCAUUAUUAUAAUGUUAAAGCUUGAUUUGAUGACUAUGAUUUCAAUAUUAUGUUUCUUUGAGAUGAUGCUAACUUUUGUGUGCACAUAAAGAGUGAAGGCACUAUGGAGUGUACGAACUACAUGGUAAUAAGAAGCUGACUUAUGCAUUGAAAUGAGCGUAUAAAGCUUAGCGGAUGACAACAAAGACGAAUUUGUAUGUUCUCAGAUGUUGAUACAGUAGUCUAAACGCGAGGUAAUGACACCAGCGUAGAGAAUGAUUCGGGAUCCUUGACAAAUGAAAUGAUUUUUUAAGCAUAAAGAAAGGUUUAUUCGAAAUGAAAUAAUUUUUCGGUAUAUUUAAAUGAUUUGAUAUUAUUUUACAAAAUGAUUAUGAAAAGGUAUUGUGAAAGGUUUUCAUAAAACCUUAAAGGAUUUAAAAAAAAAGUGGACCAUUCAACUUAAUUCCCAUCCACUAUCCUCUUGUCCAACAUGAAACUUUAUCUUAGUAAAACUUCUUGAUCCACUAUUUUACAAAAAUAUUCAAAACAAUACCAUACUACACCAAAUGUGAUAUUUUGGUAACACUAUAAAAUGGUCAGAAAUACCAUUUUCCUGACUUUUUUUUCAUCGACCAUUAAAGAAAAAGUAUAGAUGAUGUUUCAAAAACUUCCAAACCAUUGUGUUAGUUAUCGUUUUAGAUGAGGGUUGGGGUAGAGCAUCAAUACUAAAGGUUGUUAAGGAUUAAGAACUAAGACUUGAAAACAAAACCGCCUGCCUGGUUGACAACAACACCAUCCCACUAGAGUGCACAAUGAUUAUUAUUGCAUUAAGAAGAAGAUGGCAGUUAACCUUAGCGCCAUAAUCAGAACCUCAAUCCUCCCUUUGAUGAAAGCACCUAAAGGUGUCAUGCCUUUCCCCUCUACCACAUUGAAGCUCUUUGUCUAACACUACAAGAAAUGAGGGCUCUCUCGAUGCAUAAAAUCAUUGGGAGAUAUAUAAAAAGCAUCAGAAAAGGCUUUUCUGACAUACUAAUAUACGUUGGAACACAAGUCAGGAAAAAAUGUAUCGGGAGAGGAACUCCCGAUGCACAAUGUUGUGCGUCGAGAGUUUCUAGACAUCUUCUGACGUUGUAUGAACGUCGAAGAUGUUGUCAAUAUAGCAUCGAGAGAUGUCUAGGAACCAUGCGUCGGGAGAUCCUCUAUUUUUUAUUAAAAAAAAUAACUUCAAUUAAUUCCUAAAUUCAAAUUGAAAACUCUAAAUUCAAACUCAACUUCAACACUUCAACCUCAACUUCAACACUUCAAAUUCAAAUUUCUAAAACCUACAACUAAUUCAAAAUUCUAACAACACUUGAAAUUAAAUUUCAACACUAAAACUUACAACUAAUUCAAAAUCUAAAUACUAAAACUAAUUUGAAAUCUAAAAUCUAACACCUAAAACAAAUUUGAAAUCUAAAUACUAAAACUAAUUAACUAAAACAAAACAAUAACUAACUAAACCACUUACCGAUGGCGGCGACGACAGGACGACAACAGGGACGACAAUGGAGAUGACAAUGCCCUCUUCUUCUUUAUCUUCCUCUCGGUCUCCCUCUCCCUCUCUCAUUUUUUUCUCUUUAUGUUUCAUUUAUAUAAAGAAUGGAGUUAAAAAAGGCAGAGAACUCCUGACGCACAACGAAAACGAAUUGGUUCCACAAACCAAUCUCAUCACAGAGGUACUCUUUGCAAUUUAAGCUCUAUUUGCAAUGGACAGUCUUCAAAGUUUUUUUUAACGAUGUUUCCAAUGCUUUCCUUUCUCUCUCAUGUUUAAUAAAACAAAUUUCUCUUAAAACCUGUAGGGAGGCUACAUCGUAUCGAAUUUCAUACAACUGACGUGUUCAUCGAGUUACAACAAGUGCCGCACAAUAGUCUGUUCCAUUUUGAAAAGUUGUGAGUGUGACACGCUCACAUGAGGUUAGAACGAGACAUGGCAAGGCAAGCCCUACGCGCGCCUGCAACUUCUGCCACAAUAUUUUGUAAGCAAGCUGAUGUCUUUAGGCUGUUUUUGUGGUUUUUGGAAAUUUUAAGCAAAGUUUUGAUAUUUUUAUGAUCAACGGGAAUUAAAUGGAAUUAUUUCCCAUUAUUUUUCAUUAUUUUAGAUUUGAAGGAGAUCGACCAAGUUUAUAAGCCAAGGGUCCAAGCUACUCUCUAUAAGUGACAAAAAUGAGUUUAAAGUUGAUUUCUAUACAUGAAUUUACUAUCAAAUGUUUCAAGCAUGCUUUGAUGUUUGAAUAUUUGAGGAUACUGACUAUAAAGUAUUUCCAAAGCAUGAAUUUAGAAACAUUUUGGUAAACAUGUUUUUAUUCAUGAAUUUACUAAUGAAAAUUAUAAGCAAUCAUGAUUGUGCUAAGUUUUCAGAAUGUUUAAGCUUGAAAAUAAUAUUAGCAUGUUUUAGUCUAUACCUAAAAUAUUCUAAGAUAUAUAGCAACCCUUCGCGGAGAGAUUUUCUUGUGCAUAGAGGUCAUUUGAUUUGGAUAUUCAGUAAAUACCUAGCUUUCCAUCAUUGGUAUUAGAUAAGAGAUGAAGACUUCUAAAGAUGCUUAGUUUCCCAUCUCAGGGACGAGAGCUUGUACGAAUGCCUAGUUUUCCAUCUCAUUGUAGUUAUAACGAGAUAGGGCACAAUUGAUGCCUAGAGUUUCAUCUCGUAAGUAUCGUAUCACGGGAUAGGGCUUCUAUGCCUAGUUUAUUGUUUUUCGUCUCGACGAUUAUAGGUAUAACAGAGAUUUGGUUUGAGGUGCUUCUUAAGUCUUUAAUAUUUAUGUUUGUUUUGAUCCUAGGAAUUGAGCAUGUAAUGUAAAAAGUCUAUGCACAAGGGGUCAUAUGGCCAUCUCCGUGUUUCUUUAAUUAUCAAAUUUGUUCAAGUUUUUAAUUGUCUCUAGAUCAAAAUCUGGAGUUAUUUUUUGUGAUUUGGUGUACAAAUACAUACAUCCAUGUUUCUAAUUAUGAUUAGAUUGUUUUCUGCUCGCAACAUUUUAUUGUUUAGCUUGUCUUUGAUCUUGAACUUACUAUUAUGUUGAUUUAAAUUCCAUUUUAGCCUUAGAACUUUCAAAACAUCCAUUUUAGUCAUCGAGCUUCCAAAACGUAGCCAACUAAGUUUUAGUAUUUUGUAAAUUAUUUUAUCAAUUAAUAUUCAUUUAUCCAAUACUCAUCGGUCAUUUCUGCUAUAUGUGAUUGGAAUAUAUCUCAUAGGAAGCAUUUUGAAAGUUGGGAAAAGAUGGAAAAUUUUAGGGACUAGAACAAGAAUUUGUUUAAUAUUUUUUGAUAGGGUGAAUUCUUGCAAUUUCCUUGUCGUAUAUACAUAAUUUUUUCUCUCAUUUGGCAAAUUCAUUAUGCUUGAAAAUUUAGGUGAUUCAUGAGCUAGAUAAAGUAAACAACGUAUGGAAGAUGAUCUUUGUGGCUUGUGAGGAAGACGUGGAGGAAGCCUUGGUGGCCGUAGAAAAAGGGAUAUGGACUUUCAACGUUGAAUGGUUAAUGGCAUGUAUAAUGAGACAAGAAGUAGACUUGGAGGCCCUUAAUUUGCUGAGUCCCUAUGAGAAACAAGGUCACCCUAACUUUCAGUUUUGAACAAGCAGCAGCCAGCCAUUUCGUCCUUGUGUAAAUCCACUCUUUUCUCAACUCACUCUAAUUUGGUACAUAAACAAACUCUGAUCGCUCCAUCUCUAUAUUCAUCAGUACAUAAAAGACGAUAAGUUUAUUCAUGGAGAAAGUUGGAUGUAAGUAUGUUUUAGGAAUGGUCCUUCAUUUAGUAACUUUGGGAAUUGUAAAAAUGAGGUAAUGAAGUUCUAUCAAGUUGAAUGUUCUUGUUUAUGUUAGAUGAGACUGAUUCUUGGAUACCAGAAUUAACUUGAAGUACGUGUUUGAGUUCCAUUGGAGUGAUUAGAGAAAAGAUGUUCCUUUAAAAACGGUAAUUUUUUUAUGUAGACUUUCUUUUUAUUAAAAUUGCUUAAAAUACAAUUUGAGAGUAUUUCAAUAGCUUUCAAAGAGUUGUCAAACACUUGUAGUUUUUCUAAAAUAACAUAUUUUCAAAAUUAAUUACUGUAAUAGUUAAACAAAAGAUUCUUUCCCUUCGAAAUUUUAAAGUUUGUCUAGUUACCUCUUAAACCUUUCAAUUGUUUAAUAGGUCUUUCAAUUUUAUGUUUUAAGUGUCAUAAAUUUUGAUUUUUUUUUAUUUGUUAGAUAUAAAUCUGAAGAAAUGAAUAAAGUAGAUUUGUAAGUUUAAAAUAGUUUAAAAGUUGAGAAAUUAAAUUUGUAGUUUAAAAGUUGGAGUAAAUAGUUUGUGUUAAGUCGGGUUGUGAUAUUUUAUUUAUUUAUUUUAAUAAUAGAAGAGAGGGAGACGAAAACUGCAGACUGAAGGGAGAAGAAGCGGUGGCUGACUUUGUAUAUUUCUCCUUUCUUUUCAAUUUGAGAAAAUUUCUUUGCAAUUCACUUUGAAAAGGAAAUGAAUAUUUCUCCCUCAGACUUAUCUCUCUCUUCUUUUCAAUUUAUUUUCAAUUUUUCUGUGUGCUUCUCACAGUGUAUGCAUAAUCUCUCUUUCAUUUUGAUAUUCAUCUCCAUUUCAAAUAUCUCCCACACAAAGAACAAAGAAAUGAGUAAAGUAACUGAGAGAGCAUUUUGUUUUUCCCUUCAUAUGGUUGGUUACUUUUUGUCAAUUAAAUGAAAAGUGAAGAAUAAGAUAAGAUUUUCUUUACCCAUUUGCCAUCAUCAUCAAAGCUAUUUACCUCAUUUUUGUUCACACACACACAACUUCAUUUUGUUGGAUUACACUCAUUUGAGAAAAUAGCAAAAUUUUAUUAGAAGAAUAGCAAACACGAGCAUUUCAUGUGUUUUGAAUUUUCAUUAACCCUAAAAUCUCCUCGCCUGCUUUUUAGUUAAACUGUAACUAAUUUUGAAAUAUGCAAAAUUUUAGCAUAAAUAUUGAUUUUCUCCUACAUUAUCUUAACACACUUUUUUUCCUCCAAAUAUUGGAUUUAUAUCAAAUCUUUAUUUUCAAAUUUUACUUUAUCCAAAUUUUCAUUUUUCAAAAUUUCAUCGUUAUUCUACUUUUAUUUUUGUAUUUCAUAUAUAUAUAUAUAUUUAUAAUAUUUAAUCUUAUUUUUUCUCUUUUCCUAUUCAUCUUCUUCCUUUCUCUUCCUCUUCAACCUACGGCCACACCACCGUCUCUUUUCUUCCUUCUCUUUUCAUUCUCCAAUCAACUUCACCACCGUCUUCCACCUACAUCGAACGUCAAGCAAAUUUUGUCGUAUCGUCGCAUCACCGUUAGCCCGAGUCACUCCGGUUCCGUCACGCCAUGUAUGUUUAGAUUUGAAUUGUUUGGUUAUUUGUUGCACCGAUCCGUCUCCGUUAGAAUUUGAUUCUCCACAAUUUGGGUAAGUUAUGGAAUUUACAUAUAGAGUGAAUUGAAUGGAUUAAAUUGUUUGUGGAAGUGAUUGAUUUCUCUUCAAUUAUGUUUAGGUCGGUUCGUUGCACUUUAGUUUGAAAAAGAAGCUUAAGUAAGGUUAUAAGCUAAGGGAUUCUCUACUACUGGACUCACCUAUAGUUUUGAAUUGUGCUGUCUGUAUAGUUACCUCGAUUGAGUAAAGAUGUCGAAACGAUAUAUAUACGUAUGAAUGUAGACUUGAUGUUGAAUGCAUAUUGUGAUUGUCUGGGAAUAUAUAUAUAUAUAAAUAUGUAUGGAUGUAGACAGGACGACAAUUGUAGAUUGUGUUUGUAUGGAAUGUGGAUGUGUGAACUUGUGAUUGUCGUUUAGAUUGGGUGUAUGUUAUACUAAAGUAUGGUUGUGUACUGGUGAAUUGAGGGGUGUUAUGACUAUAUAGUUUGAUUGACUGAUGUAUUGAUAUGUUACUGGCGGACAUUGGGCUAAAGUGAGAUAAGUUGACUAUUAGGGUGUUCAGUGAAAGGAUUAUAUGUUGAAGUAGUUGGUUACUAUGAAUGAGUUUUAAGAUGUUUAGAAUGGAUUGAGGGGAAAAUUGUUAGAUUUCUAUUGGGUAGUUACCUUGCAGGUGUCCUACAGGAUCACCACCUGAUAUGUGCAUCCUUCGAUAGCACUAGACUGAUAUGUGCAUCCUUCGGGAGCAUUAGACUGAUAUGUGUUUCUGCGGAACACUAGACUGAUUUAUGCGUCCUUUGAGGCGUUAGACUGAUUAUGUGUAUCCUACGGAUCACAAGACUGUGACUGUGCAGGGUACCCCAAUAGGAAGUUAACAGUUUCUUUUUCCCCUAACGGGACGAAUAACGGGUCUCUUAUUGGGUAUGUUUAUACUCAUCCUUUCAUGUUUAACUAUUUUAGGCAAAGGUAACAAAUGAGGUAGACUGACGAGGGACAAGAAGGAGACGUGAUUGCCAUAAGGGAAUGUCCUUCAAAUGCUUCUGCUUUAUGUUUCUUGUUUUCCUUUGUACAUGAGGUUGUUUAAAAAUUUUGUGAUGGAACUGAGUUUACGAACUGUUGUUUUGUGAAUAGUACUUUAAAGUUUGGAUAUUUGAAAUAGGGCCCGAACUUAAGUUUGUUUUCUUUGAUCGUAUGAUUUCAAGUGAAUUUUACUAUAUUUUGUGUCAAUCAAGGUCUCUUUGUCAAAAUUAAUGACUUCAACUUAGUUAGAAAAGUUGGGUCGUUACAACAAAUUUUAAGUAUUGAUGUAAGAAUUAUGUACUUCAUUAUAAAGGUCGAUAGCUUACAAAUAUUAACACGAUCGUGUACCGAUAACAAGACGAUUGUUUACACUAUUCAAUACGAUCACCAAUAUCAUAUGAUCGUGUACCCAUGUCAACACGAUAAUUUAUUUUAAUCAAUAUUAUCAUUUACCGUUCUUAAAUGUUCGUUUAUCACGGUUAAUAGGAUCGUUUAAUGUAUAUUAUUUCAUUGCACGAUCGUUUACUUAUUCUUGCAUUGUGUUUAGUAUUAUCAUUUUGUACAUUUUAUUCUUUUAUUCAGUAAUAAAUGUAUAUCUAUGUCUAUCUAUUUCUUUCUAUCACAAUUAAAUACUUAAUUUUAUUUUAUUUAUUUUUUUUACAGAUUAUAAUGUCUUUUCCUAUUGUUGUUUUUUACGGAGGUCAAUGGAAUGGAUGUAAUAUUUAUGAGAAUUACUUAGUUGCUGAAAUUUUGGUAGGUGUCCGAGUCAGCUUUAAUUCUCUAGUUGAUUUAAUAUGUGAACAGAUUCAAUUGGAUGGAUAAGUAGAAUUAUCUGUUUUACUUGAUUUUGGUAAAAGCAAGGUCCAACUGUGGUGCCAGUAAAGAAAGACAAUGAUGUGGCUUGGUAUUUAUCUUUUGCUAAAGAUGCAACUAAUAUACAUCCAUUAGUUGCUCAUGUAACUGUUGAUUUUUUUUAGAAGGUCUUCUUCUUCUUAGAGAACUACCUGUAGCUACCAUGCUUAGUUCAAUUAGAGAUGUAUUGCAAAAGUGGUUUGAUGAAAGAAGUAAAGCUACUUUUACAAUGAAGAGUUGUUUGACUUCUUGGGCUGAGAACGUGUUGCAUUUAGAAUAACAUGAAAAGUCAAGAAUUUUAUUGGUAAUUUUUUUUUUUUUUUUAAUGUUUGUAUCUCAGGUAGAUAUAAAUAGAUUGCUAUUUUUGUCCAUUCGAUAGAGAAAUAUAACAAUUUAUGUGUGCUUGUUUCAGAUAUAUAGAGAUAGAUAGCUAUCAAUGUCUAUUUGUCUCUAUUUGUGCAUGCUUUUUUUUUUAAUUUUUCUAUAUUUGUUUUAUGUAUUAGGUUGAUCCAAUUAGUAUGACUGAAUAGAAAGUAAUGGAUGAUACAAAAUGAUAAUGUGAUUUAUUUAUAUUGGUUCUAAUUUGAAAUAUUCAAAUUUACUUUGGAAAUUAGUAUAAUUAGUAUAAUAUAUAAUGAUACAUUAUAAUAUAAAGUUUAUAUUUAAUGAAACUUUAUUAUAUAAAUUUAAUUUUAGAUAAAGUUCAAAAUUAAUUUAUGAGAAAAUAUUUGAAUGAGUUCAAAUAUUAAUUUAAUGUGGAUUUGUUUCAUAUUAAAACUAUUAAUUAUGAGAUAAAGUUAUAUUUGAAUAUGAUUCAAAUUUAACUUAAGUUAAAUAUAAAAUAUUUAAUUUAGUUAUUAAUUAAUUGAAGAAUUAAUUAAUAGUUUAGUUUAAUAUUAUUUAAUUAAAUUUGAUUUAAUUAAAUUAAUAUAAAACUAUGGGUAUUGGAGAGAUAUUCAUUCAAUAAGAUUUAAAUGAAAUAUUAAUUAAAUAUGAUUUAAUUAAUUAUUAACUAAUUGAUUAAUGGUUAAUUAGUUAGUUGAUUUGAAACUUCUAUUAAUUUAAUAUUUUUUAAGUUAAUAGAAUCCUAUGAUUUUCUCCUACCCCGUCUCCUACUCAAUGAAAGAAAGAGAGUUAUAAAUAUGUAGAAGAAAAACAUCUUUUCUUAACCAAAAUAAAAUCGAUGAUUUUCUUUUCUGCAAAAUAGAUUGUAACGACCUAAUUUUUCGAAUUAAGCUGAAGUUAUUACUUUAAGACUAGAUUCGUCUUUAACCAUAAGACUUUAUAAUUUAAAAAAUAUAUUUUUUAACAACAUUAAAGAGUUUUUAUUCGGCUCUAUUUCAAAUAAAAUUUUGAAAGUGUAAAAGUAUCGAUAAUAAAGAAAGUUCAAGAACAUAAAAGUCGUUCAAUCAUGAAACCCAAAACAGUCUCAAUUACUAAAGAAAACCAAAAAAAAAAAAAAUAUAAAGUAAAAGCAAUUUGAAGGACAUUUCCCUAUGGCAGUUUCGCGGAAAAAGAUUAAACAUAAAAGGGUGAGUAUAAACAUACCCAGUAAGGGACCCACUACUGAUCCUGUUUAGAAGAAAAAUAAAAUUGUUAACUUCCUAUUGGAGGUGCCCUGCACUUUAAAAGUCUUGUGAUCAUGUAGGAAUACACAUAAGCAGUCCAAUGCCCUAAAGGACACAAAUACUAGUCUAGUGCUCUGCAGAAAGCACAUGUCAGUCUAGUGCUCUCGAAGAAUGCACAUGUCAGUCUAUUGCUCUCGAAGAAUGCACAUGUCAUUCUAGUGCUCUCGAAGAAUGCACAACAGGUGGUGAUCCUGUAGGACACCUGCAAGGCACACUACCCAAUCGACAAAGCUAACAAUUUUCCCUUAGUCCAUUAUAAACAUUUAAUCAAUCCAUUCCUAGUAUAGUCAAACUACUCCAUCAUAUCAUCAAUCCAACUUAACACACUUACGUUCAAUCUAUUCAAUCUAUCACAAAAUCAGUUGAUACUAUAACAACACACCAGACAGUCAAGAUAUAUAUAUAUAUACAUAACACCUUUCUCAGUUUACAAAUACAUUAUCCAUCGUAUCUACUUCUAUACCAGUAAGUUUACAAACACUAACUGUUGAGUUUCUACAGUAGAUUCUUGAAGAUGUGACUCUUGAACAGAUGGAUUCUCAUGGAUGAUCACAUGUUUGUUAUUUUGAUGGUCAUCAUUCUUGUCUAGAUUGUGAUGACUAGAAUCAUCACGAAGAUCAUCAUACAUGUUGUUAAUAUCAUCAAACAAUUGAUUCUGAUUCUAGUAUAGAAAGAAAAAAGGAUAAUAAAAAAAUAGUUACAAAAUGAUCGUGUAUCCUUAAGCAAACAAUCGUGUAGAAUAUCUAAACGGUUGUUUUACCAAGGGUGAUCGAUAUUUUAGAUGGGAUAUGCGAUCGUUCAUAUGUGAUAUGUGAUCGUGUAAAGAUAUAUCAAACCUUUGUUCUGUCAGAAGUCGUGCUAAGAAGAGUUGAAAGCUUGUAAUAAGAUCCAUCAAAACUGAAAGAUUUUACAUCAACACGUUCCUGACACAGUAAUGCAGUAUCAAUGAGCAUCAAAUUACGUGAGAUACGUAUUAGAAAAUAUCUAACUGCUCAGUUAAUUUUUUAUGGACAUCAAAUCACCUUUUUUCAAGCUUAAGGAAGGAAAUGUCGACACUAUAUAUGUCAGAGUUGUGCAUUGCAAUGGAAGUGCCAACACGAGGUGAUACAUGUGUGUCUGGGAUGUAAAUGCCACUCCCCGACUAGGACCAACAUAGACUUAGGGAGAAAGCAUGCUAGGAAUUGGAGUUGUGUCCUCAAUUUCUUCAAGGGACUUGAGCAUUUCUUCUUACACUAGAAUGUCUCCUGUUCAGAGAGUUUAUAGGAUUUCUCAAGGCCAUUUUUGCAUACUUAACAGCUCUUGACAACGGUAGAGAGUCUAACUCUACACUUUCAAGGGGUUCCAACUCCACCACUCGCUGAGCCAAAGAUAGAGACGAAUCAUUAAUGAUCCAGUAAGCAACAUGAAACCUUGUAAUUUUGGGGUUAACGGUAGUCCCUCCCAUUACUAGCUCAACACUUAAACGGAGUCUCCUCUAUAAAAUAUAAAAUAAUACAGACACAAAUAGUGAAUGAAAUCUUGUGACGUAACAAACACAAAUUUUAGGUAUACUGCAAUUUGACUAAAUAUUGAACAAGAAAACCCAAGGGAAUACACAAAAAUCCAACGUUUUUAGGGGUCAAUUUGGAAAAUGGCAAAACUACUUUUUCUUUUCAAUUUUAGCAAACAACAUUUUUUGCGCGUGCAUGGUAUUUUAUAAAAUACCAAAAUAUUCAACUUCUCCAACUAUAAUUAUUUUGUUUUUACGUUAUAAUUAAUUUAUGUUAUGUAUUUAUCAACUUUUAAUUAAUUUUUACUUGAAAUAGAUACAUUAACUCAUAUCAUAACUUUUCUCUUAAAAUCUCAGGACUCAAUUAAUUAAUUCAAUAUUUUAAUAACAUUAUUCAAUCUUAUUAAUUUCAAAAUAAUCUAAUUGAAUUUGAAUUUCAAAAUAACCAAAUUGAAUUUCAAAAUUACAAAAUUAUUAUUUUCUAGAAUUUGAGAAUCUCAACGAUAGAUUUUAUAUUAAAAUAAACUUAUCUCAAAAUAAUUUUAAUGACUUGAAUAUCAAGAUAAUUAAAUUAUUAUUUUAAAAAUUGGAAGAAAAGCACAAAAAGCGCACACGCCCACUCACGUACACACGCACGCGCGCGUAUACGCACACACACGCACACGCACACGCACAAAAGCGCACACGUGGACACUCACACCCACGCACACGUAGACAUACACACCCACGCACACGUGGACACGCGCAUACGCACACACGUACGCACUCACGCACACGCACGCACACACGCACAUAUGCACAAAGAUGUAUAAAUGAAUUAAAAUUAAAAAAUAACUACAAUAAUUUGACUUACUAACGUUAAUUAAAUUAUAAUUUCUAUCAAUAUUGGUUUAAAAGUGUCAUUAAUGUAAUUAUUUCAAUAUAAUGCACUCUUAUCCAAUUUUACGAACAAAAAACAAGUCGAAUAUGUACCAUUAGAUGACACUCUUUGUCAUAAGAGAUAUAGCAACGUUUUUAUGGGUCAUUUUGAAAAAUGGCAAAACUACUUUUUCUUUUAAAUUUUAGCAAAUAGAAUUUUUUACACGUGUCCAUGAUAUUUUAUAAAAUACCAAAAUAUUCACCUUCUCAAACAGUAAUUAUUUCGUUUCUACGUUGUAAUUAAUUUAUGUUAUGCAUUUAUUAGCUUUUAAUUAUUUUUUACCUGAAAAAGAUACAUCCUUUUUCUUAAUAUCUCGGGACUCAACUAAUUGAUUCAAGAUUUUAAUUUUAUUCAAUCUUACUAAUUUCAAAAUAACCUAAUUAAAUUUCAAUUUCAAAAUAACAAAAUUAUUAUUUUUCGAAAUUUGAGAAUCUCAACGAUAGAUUUUGUAUCAAAAAUAACUUUAAUUGAAUUUCAAAAUUAAAAAAUAUUAACUUGUUCGCACACAAGCACACGCGCACACGUGCACAACGCACGCACACACACGCACACACACCCAUCCACACACGCACACGCACACGCACAUAUGCACACACGCACAAAGAUGUGUAAAUUAAUUAAAGUUAAAAACAAAUACAUUCAUUAUGUUCAGAAAGAGUUUUAAACCAUGUUCAUUUGACUUAAUAACAUUGAUUAAAUUAUAAUUUCUAUCAAUAUUGGCUUAAAAGUGUCAUUCGUGUAAUUAUUUCAAUAUAAUGCAGUCUUAUCCAAUUUUACGAACAAAAAACAAGUCAAAUAUGUACCAGUAGAUGACACUCUUUGUCAUAAGAGAUAUAGCAACGUUUUUAUGGGUCAUUUUGAAAAAUGGCAAAACUACUUUUUCUUUUAAAUUUUAGCAAAUAGAAUUUUUUACACGUGUCCAUGAUAUUUUAUAAAAUACCAAAAUAUAAACCUUCUCAAACAGUAAUUAUUUCGUUUCUACGUUGUAAUUAAUUUAUGUUAUGCAUUUAUUAGCUUUUAAUUAUUUUUUACCUGAAAAAGAUACAUCAACCCAUAUCAUAACUUUUUUCUUAAUAUCUCGGGACUCAACUAAUUGAUUCAAGAUUUUAAUUUUAUUCAAUCUUACUAAUUUCAAAAUAACCUAAUUAAAUUUCAAUUUCAAAAUAACAAAAUUGUUAUUUUUCAAAAUUUGAGAAUCUCAACGAUAGAUUUUGUAUCAAAAACAAUUUUAAUUGAAUUUCAAAAUUAAAAAAUAUUAACUUGUUCGCACACAAGCACACGCGCACACGUGCACAACGCACGCACACGCACGCACACACACUCAUCCACACACGCACACGCACACGCACAUAUGCACACACGCACAAAGAUGUGUAAAUUAAUUAAAGUUAAAAAAACAAAUACAUUAAUUAUGUUCAGAAAGAGUUUUAAACCAUGUUCAUUUGACUUAAUAACAUUGAUUAAAUUAUAAUUUCUAUCAAUAUUGGCUUAAAAGUGUCAUUCGUGUAAUUAUUUCAAUAUAAUGCGGUCUUAUCCAAUUUUACCAACAAAAAACAAAUCGAAUAUGGAUCAGUAGAUCUACACUCUUUGUCAUAAGAGACAUAACAACGUUUUUAGGGUCAUUUUGAAAAAUGACAAAACUACUUUUUCCUUUGAAUUUUAGCAACUAGCAUUUUUUGCACGUGCAUGGUAUUUUAUAAAAUACCAAAAUAUCAACAUUCUUCAACUGUAAUUAUUUCGUCUCUACAUUGUAAUUAAUUUAUGUUAUGCAUUUCUCAGCUUUUAAUUAUCUUUUACUUGAAAUAGAUACAUCAACUCAUAUCAUAAUAUUUUUCUUAAUAUCUCGAGACUCAACUAAUUAAUUCAACAUAUUAAUAAUUUUAUUCAAUCAUACUAAUUUCAAAAUAACCUAAUUGAAUUUGAAUUUCAAAAUAACAAAAUUGAAUUUCAAAAUAACAAAAUUGAAUUUCAAAAUAACAAAAUUGAAUUUCAAAAUAACAAAAUUAUUAUUUUUCGGAAUUUGAGAGUCUCAACGAUAGAUUUUGUAUUAAAAUAACCUUAAUUGAAUUUCAAAAUUAAAAAAUAUCAACCUGUUCACUAUCUUUAUCUCAAAAUAACAUUAAUGCCUUAAAUAUCAAGAUAAUUAAAUUAUUAUUUUAAAAUUGGAAGAAACUCAACAUUAAAAAUAUUAACUUGUCGGACACAAGCAUAGAAGCACUGCGCACACACGUACACAUGCACACUUACACACACGCGCGCACACGCACACCUACACACAGACACCCACAGACGCACGAACCCACGCACACACACAUGCACACGCGCACGCAUGCACACACACACCUAUCCACACGCACACAAGCACACACACAUGCACAAACGCACACACGUGUACGCACAAACCUUAUCUCAAAAUAGUUCCUAUUUUUGCUGACAGUUUAUUUUUUGCCAUCGAUAGAGGAUCUUCCAAUAGACCUACGUGACGGUGUGUGUUGACAGCUUAAUUUUGUUGGCAAAAGAAAAGUUGAUUAGUUUUUGAAGAUUUACUGACGAUAUUUGUCAUCGACAAAGGGUAAAUUUCUUGUAGUGCAUGUACAUCAAACAUAUCAAAUUUGUUAAGUGUACCAAUGAAGUAUAACAAGUUUAUUAGUGGUGUAUCACGUGUAUCAAACUUAUUAGUGAAGUCUUUAAGUGUAUCAAACUAAUCAAGUGUAUCAAGGCCUCAGGGGUAUCAAGUGUAUCAAGAAGAAUCAAGUGUAACGAGAAGUAUUAUGUGGAACGAGAAGUAUUAUAUGUAUGAAGAUGUUUCAAGUGUGUAUCAAAAAGUAUCGAGUGUAUCAAUGAGUACCGAGUGCAUGAAUUGUAUCUAUCAAAUGUAUCAAGUGUAUCAGUAAGAAGUAUCAAGUGUAUCAAGGGUAUUAGGUGUAUCAGACGUGUAUAAGGUGUAUCAAAUAUACAUCAAUAACGAGGGCAUUUGUGACAUUUUACCUCUUGAUGUGUGAGUUGGUCUUUGUUUUUGUCAUUUUCUCAAAUAAUAAAGUAUGUGUUCUAUGGACUUAAUUAUUAUAACUUAUUUUGCCAUUUUCGCAAGUGUCCCUUAAUUGUAAUACAUGUAUAUGUGACAUAAUCUAAUCAAACUAACUCAUAAAUGGACUUAAUGUAUCAAGAGGUAUUAGGUGUAUCAGACGUGUAUAAGGUGUAUCAAAUGUACAUCAAUAACGAGGGCAUUUGUGACAUUUUACCUCUUGAUGUGUGAGUUGGUCUUUGUUUUUGUCACUUUCUCAAAUAAUAAGGUAUGUGUUCUAUGGACUUAAAUAUUAUAACUUAUUUUGCCAUUUUUGCAAGUGUCCCUUAAUUGUAAUACAUGUAUAUGUGACAUAAUAUAAUCAAACUAACUCAUAAAUGGACUUAAUCUAUCUCAUGGACCACGAAUUCUUCAAUUACUUGCAAAUUUGGUGAGUUCCUUCAAAUGGUGGGCGGAGAGCUUAAUUUUGAGAGAGAGGAAAAGUCGUGAAGAGUAUUUGCGAGAGAGGGGGGAACGUCGCCAGAGAGCAUUUGCGAGAGAGCUAAAGACAGCGACGAUGUGGGAUGAAGUAAGGUUUUUUUCGGUCAUUGUUCACAAGUGGGAUGAAAGCUUCGAAUUAUUUGUUUUAAAUCAAAAAACGUAUGAUUGAAGGAAAACAUUGAUUUUUAUUAGGGUAAUUUUUUAAUGACACAUAAUUUAUGCCAUUAUUUACAAUGCCAAAAUUUUGUCAAGAAAACUCAAUUUGUGUCACAAAAAAAUUUGUAUUUUUAUUUUUUUAACGACACAUUUUAUUCCCUCAUAUCCCUUUUUCUUGAUUUCAAGUGUCAUUAAAACUUAUAUUUCUAAAUAAAUUUAUUCGACGAAAGUGGCUAGAUUGGUGGGUUUGACGGCGAAGGCUUGUUGUGGGAGCAACGACAACAGUGGUUGGAGUGUGGAAUCGACGACGGCAAGUGGCAAAAAAUUGGGGGCAAGGGUUCUUCAUAACGACUCGAUAGCCCACUUCGAAUUUUUUUGAAAUUUGAGGUUUUUUCAUUUGAAAAUUUUUUUAAUGACAAAAAAAUUGACGUUAAUUAAUGACGCAAAAUUUGUGUUGAAAUAAAUUAAAUUGUGUCAAUAUGAUUGUUUUAAGAAAUAAUCCAUAUUUAUAUUUUCAACAACACAAUGUACCUCAUCCCACCUCUUUUUUCUUUUAUUUUCAACGACACAAUGUCUUGAUUAAAAUCCAUUUUUCUAGUAGUGACUGAAAAAAAAACUGGACAGAAUCAUAAUAUCUUUGAUAAUUAAAUCACCAGUUGGUUUGAACAUAUAUAAUCUUGGAUCUAUUCUAUUAUGAUAUGACCAUGGUACAUCAUGAACAUACAUUGACUAAAAAACUUAAAUUGAUGAGUGAAUGUAAUAAAUUUAAUAUUAAUUAUAUGAUCAAUACUUUACACAUGUAUAUUGGUAUAUCAGUCAAUAACAGUAGUAAGACAAAUUAUAAAAUAUAAGGGAUAAAAGUCCUACACAUGCAUGUAUGGUAUACUCUCUUGAUAGCAAAAUGCAUUUAUGUCAACUCAUGUUUGAAUGCAUUUAUGUAGGAAAUUCAAUAAAAUAAUUAAGAAACCUUGCAAUAUGUGAGAGAUAUACGAACUUCAAACAAAUUUUACAAGUUUCAGCAAAAAUUUUCAAACAACUUUUAAAGUUUAAGCAAAAAGUAACCGUAGGUAGGAAGGGGAGCAAAAGUGGGGUCUCGAAUUAAUUCUGAAAAAUUAGUAGGCUUUCAAAAUUUAGGUUCUAGAAGUAGAAUUAUUGCAGAAAAAUAAAUAAUUGCAUCAUUCAAAUUGAAUCAGACAUAUCAGGAUGUAUAUAUUCUCCACAACGUAUAAUGGAGUAUAAACAUAAAGUUUCUAUAUACAAAGCUAUGUAUCUCUACCCUUGACUUCUCUUUCUCUCUUUCUACCUUUUUUAUCCUUUCUUUCUUCCAUUCACUCAAUACACUUGCAAGAACCUUCAUUUUUUUGUAUUUAAAUUUUCUUGGCACCAUCCUUUUUUUUAAUUAUCAAGGCUUUGUUAUUGUGUACCAGUAUUGUGUCGUGCCUCCUUCACUUCUCAUCAUCAUUUUCAUGUCACAUCUCUACCUUGUCAAUUUUCGUUUUUCACUCAGCUUUCUUUCUUCUUUUGUCUUCACUACUUUCUUCGCUCCUUCUUCUCAAGCUCUAACUUUUGCUAUUAUCAACCAGUCUCAAAUGACCAUUGGAAAACCUAUAGCCCACUGAGAGGCAGCCAAUAUAGUAAUGUCUCUAAUGAUAAACUCCAAUGAAAUCAAAAGUUCUUCUUUAAGAUUUGGAAAAAUAUAUUAGAUAAACCCGGACGUGGUGAACGCGGUGAACGCAGACGCACGGACGGUGAACACGGCAGAAGUUAGAGAUCCUCAGAGAGAACUUGGCAUUUUCGAAUGCGGUAGAGACAAGUCUAGGGCUUCAAAGGAUUCAACCCAAUAUUUUCUUUAUAUAUAUAUAUAUAUAAUAUAUAUUAUAUAUAUAUAAAUAUAUUUAAUAACACUUGACGUUUUCAAAAACGUCAAGAAAAACGAUCUUACUUAACGUCUAAAAAAACAUCAAGAAAUUUAAAAAAUAACUCUCUCUGGCUUUUUAUAAAAAUUCUUGACGUUUUAAAACAUAAAGAAUUUUUAAGAUAUUUCUUGACGUUUUUAAAAUGUCAAGUAAAAGUACAUAUUACUUGACGUUUGAAAAUUUUGAAGAAUAUUGAAUAUAUAAACAUUCUUGACGUUUAAAAAUGUCAAAAUUUUUAUAGAUAUUUCUUGACGUUUUUAAAACGCCAAGAAAAAAUACAUAUUAGUUGAUGUUUAAUAAACGUCAAGAAAUCUGAAAAUUGACCUACCCGCCUUUUCGUAAAAAUUCUUGACGUUUUAUCUUUGGAACUACUCCUUUCUUGACGUUUUUUUUGAAAAAAAUGUCAAGAAAGAAAAACAACAAACGUCAAGAAAGGCCUUUUUUGUAGUAAUGACAUACAUAAAUAUAUAUAUAUACAUAUAUAUAUAUAUAUAAUGAAUUAAAAUGGUUUUGUUGCUUUACUGUUUUACUCUAUAAAGGAAGAGCAUUAUAAAUAUAUUAUUGAGGAAACAUUUUUUGAAAUGACUGGUUUUGGAAGUGUCAUUAGAUUUUUAGUUAGUUAAGCACAUUUUCCUCCCAAAUAGUAGUCGAAAUACAACUUUUUUUAAGAAGAAGAAACCGAAUCAUUCAAACUAAGAUAAUCCUAGGAUAAGAGUCAUUAUCUAUUAACAUAGAGCUAAAGUUACAAGGUUGAAGGCUAGAGGGAAGCCCGAAACAACCUAAUCUAACAAAGCUUAAAGUUAAGAGUUGGUAGUAACAUCAUAUUGGUUACAAGAUGAAUGACGCCUAGACCAAACUCCGAUCAAGUUACAUAUGUCUUCCCACAAGUAAACAAUAAACCUUGAUUUAUCCUUAAAAAUUCUAUUGUUUCUUUCUAUCCAAACAGUCCAAAGUAAGCCAGUUAUGGAGGGAGGAAUACACAUUAGAAAGCUCAGUUAUGGAUGGAGGAAUACACAACUUUUUCUCAUGGUCAUUUUCCUCGUGGGCAUUAUCUUCAUGUUUCUUCUUAUUCCGACUAAAAUACAAGCACAAAUUAUUCUUCGCCUUCGUAUAGGUUUGUUUGAAGAAGAUUAAAAAAGUCCUUAAUUUAUCUCGACACUUCCAAAACCAGAAUAUAAUACCCGUGCUACAUAAAUCCCUCUUUCCAAAUAGUCAAACAUGAACUAUCCAUGAAUAUCUUGAAUAAACAAGAGAAACCCUAACUAAACCCAAAUAGAAAAUACGCUGCAAUCUAAAAUAUACUUAAAGAAACAAAAAGAAGUUUUAAUGAUGUGGGUUUUUUACUGAUCUUCUUCAACAACAAAAUAACUCAACGCCACAGUUCAAUUUUUCCUUCCACGAAUUGGUUUUUAAAGAGUUUUCACCGCGAAUUUAUCUUUUUGGUUCAACAAGUAAACAACAUGUGAAUCCCCAAAUGCAAGGUUUUAUUAAAAAAUUAAAAUAUAAUUUUUUUAAAAAAAUUAUAAUACCUAAUUUUUUUUUAUAUAUUUAUAACCUAAUUUUCUGUCAUUGCAUACUUGAGAGAAAUAUAUUUUCAAUUAGCAUAAUAACCUUUAUAUAGUAAAUUAAAUUUGUAGAAUGAGAAAAGACCUUAGAUCCAAAAAAGUUAUUUAUUUAUUAUUGGAGUGAAUUGUCUAAUUAAUGUAGUUAAUGGAUGGUUUUGUAACCAUAAAAAUAAUGAAAAUAAUUUUCUAAAAGAAUGAAUGAAAAUUUGGAAAGUUAAAAGGUUUUAGGAAUUAAAAAAAGGGUGUAACAUUAUAAAAGACUACCAAAUAUACUGUAAGAGACAUGCAUUAAAGAAGCUAAGGCAUGCAUACUACCAAAUAUACUAUAAAUAAACCAGAAUUCUUUUUAAGAAAUUAAACAACUAAUUAAAUAUAAAGAAGAAAGAUUAGAAAAUGAAUGAUCAAACAAACUAUGACUCAUUUAUUUUUGACAGGUUCGGCCAGUAUCACCUGACAAUUCAUUUUCACCAAGAGAAUAAACAUGAGUAGCCUUGGAAUCAAGUUCCUCCGAUAAAAGCCACGGAGUUGAUGGGUUAGAGACAGAACCAGAAUUUGAGUUCAACGAUCUGGAUGGAAAAUUCUGAAACUAGCAGCAACAAGAAGUUAAGAUAACGAAUUAUUUUCAAUAUAGAAAGGCUAAUUGUAAGAAGUUGUUAAUGAAGUGUCCAAAUGCAUUAUGGUAAUAUUGGGUGCAGAUUGUUUGGAAGUUUUAUCCGUGUGCUGUGAAGCACCACAGAGUUGAAGCAUAUGAAACCAGUGUUUAUCUGACAAAAAAUAAUGUCAUGAUCAUUGCCUUUCCAUUCCAUAAAUUUAUGGAUAGCAAAAGAAAGAGAACUCUCAACACAUGAAUCACCAUAAAGACACACAUGACAACAUUAUUUUGGAUGAAGUUCUAAUAUUGCAACCAUGGAGGAAAAAUCAGCAAAUCUUAAAUAGAUGUAGUAGUCCAAAUGAUAAAAGUUUGUCUCAAGAUAAUAUUUCAGUAACUGCAGAUGCAUUGUGCUGAAUCUAACUCUUGUGUUUCACGGUAAUGAACAAGGACAAUGUGUUCAAAGGUCCUGAACAAAAAGCAGAAGCAAGUCAUAAUUAUAUAAGUAGAACACGAUAUACUGCCACUGUCUAAUUUCAUUUUUCUUUGCUUGUGGCAUGAUGGGGAUAGACCCCACUGAAACAACUGGUAGCAAGCAAUUUAACAAUUUUCUUUCAACCAUAACAUACUUAUCUAGGAGCCAAUAACCCGCGAACAAAGGUUGGGCUAUCUAGUCCGUGGCAUAGUAUACAUGUAUCCUUUCUACAUUACCAACCUGCUGAAGAGAAAGAAAAGAUUAUCAAAGCACACCUUUCCUUGGUUAUUAAGGCUGUAAAAGAAUGAAAAUUACCAUAAAUCUAAACAUAGUUAAUAUUAGACCAUUGAACAACUUAUAGAUUCAAAAGGAAAGACUCAAACCACCAAUAGACUGGUUAAUCAUUUAAAAUGAUCUCCAACAACAUGAUACGCAGUAUAUCGUGCUAGAUCCAUAAUUACCAGAUGUGGACUCCUAUGGUAAUUUCAUUGAUGAUACGCAGCUAGUAGGCAAGAUUAUGAAAUGAAGACGGUAUGUGAGACGAUUGAAAAGAUCAAGAUGAUAAAAUUAUAGGGAUUUGAAUUUAUAUCUUAAGAACACCAGAGUCAAAUGCUUAAGAUGAUUAACUGUGUUAAAUUUAACUCUAUAAUAUAUAAAUUAUUAGCAAAAACAGUAGAAAUUACUUCAAAUUUGUAGAGAGAACAUAUAAAUUAUAUUCUAGAGAAAGAGCAUCUGAAUUAUAUUCUACAGAAACACGAGCCCAUAGUAUAUGUACUGAGUAGCAAUGACAGUGAAAAAGGGAAUAGUAAGUAACUAAUCUCAUAAACCCCUUUCUCACAUCUAACCAAGUUCUUUCACAACAUGCAAAAGCAUCAAAAUAUUUAAGAAAACUUCCAAUAUUGCAUUUGGAACUCAUUGAUUGACUUCAACGUUUAAGAGUCCUAAAAGACACAGCUUACUUUCUCACCUCUCACCACUAAACCUAUGGCAACAUCUUUUUAUAAGAUAUUAAGCUAAUCUUUAGAUUGUUUACCGAAUAAUCGUCUAUUGUUUUGUAAUUGAUCCCACCAAGCGCUUACGCCACCUUGAAGUUUGAGAGCAACUAAUCGAACCUUCUUGUGUUCGGGUGUAUUGGCAUAGUCGAAAAAAAUUUCUACGUUCUUGAUCCAAUCAAGAAACUUCUCCACGUCCAUUUGACCAUUGAAGGUAGGGAGAUCCACUUUCAUACGUAUUUCUUGAUCUUCUUGAAAGUAUGGUCGAAGUCCAAGCCUUUGUUGAGGUUCUUGAUGAAUGUUCAGCAAGUUGUUCAUCGGAAGAGUCAGAAUCGUUUAAGAAAUUUCCAAGUACGUUGUUUCCAUACAAUCGAUUAUUGUUGAUGUGAAUAGGUUGAUUUCUUAGUAGUUCUUGGUUUACAACAGGGUUUAUUGGUUUUUCUUGUCUUUCUUGGUUUGCUGCAAUUGGGUUUCUUGGGGGCUGAAUUGCUUCUUCUAAAGGUUGGACAUGAAAUCGGGUAAAAAGGUUUGUUAAUUCUACUAACGAUUGCUGUAUAUUCGAUUGCCCUUUUCGAAGUUCUUCAAUAGCUUGUUCUACCAACUGCAAGCGUUGGUUGAAGGAGGCUUCCGCGUCCAUGGAUAAGAGUGGUAGGAUCCAAGUUUUUUUAGGGAAGAGUGAGCUAGGAUCACGCUCUGAUACCAAUUGAUGCAGUAAUUGCAAAGCUAGAAAUCUUUAUGUAUAAUGCCUCUUUUUUUAUGUCUUAUUAAUGAAAAUGAGAAGCUUUUUUAUAGGCUGGAGAUUACAAGAGUUGUUAAACUAACUUGGGGUUGAGUUAGUUUAACUUGGAGUUGAGUUAGUUAUAACUAACUCAAGAUACAAAAUUGGUAAUUCAAAUAACUAAUCCUAAACUAUAAAAAUGGUAAUUCAAACCCCUCCUCUAGGAUAAAACUCAAGAAACAUCAAGAAGGUAGAUGUUCUACAUCAAAGUGUAGAGAACGAUUCAAAAUCCUUGGUGAAAGGAAUGAAUGUUAACUAAUGUGUGUUUAUGUGAAAUUGUUAUGUUAUGAGUAUGUUAAGGAUAAAGAAUGGUUUAUGCGAGAUAAAAUUAUUUGAUGUUGUUUAUGCGAAAUGAUGUCUAUGAAAAGGUAUUGCGAAAAGGAUUUCAUAAAACCUUAGUCUUUUAGACAUUCUUUCAAAAAUUCAUCUUCCAAGAUGAGGUGUUUAGGCCAAGUAGAGAAGAAGGUUGAAGGAUUUGCAGCGAGAUGACCAGACGUUUUGAAAAUAGUUAAGCAUUGGUUGUUUGGUCAAAGUGUUGUAAUUAUGUAUCAAACACAUGUUAUUAAUAAACAUCUUGGUAGGUAUUUAUUAUACUAAAGUCAAAGUGUUGGACUUUAGUAUUGCAUGGACAUACAAUUUUGAAUGAAAAAUCCUUAUAAAUGGGGCCUUUGAACUCAUUUGAUGGGUUGGCUAUUAUAUUUGGGCUUUCACACCAAAUGGAAUUUCUUUUUCUUAUUUACUUAAAAAAAAAAGAAAAUUUACCACGCCCAUUUUUUUCAUCUAUUUCUCUCGUCCGGUUCUUUCAUCCAACGGGUCCCACAACUCGAUUAUGAGUCUAGAGGAUACUAAGUCAAACUUAGUGGUUGUUCGAAUAAAACGCAGCUUCAAAUGUAAGUAUUCUAAAAACCUUAUUUUUUGGUUUAGUCUCGUUAACUAAGCCCAAUUAGGGUAGAAUUUCGAUUCUUUUUCUGUUGUGCAUGUCUUAGUUCUAUCAGUAACUCCUUUCAGGGUGAUAGCUCUCAUCAGCAGACUUUCCAUUGCUGGUUUCUUCCUUAGUCAUCAUUGUAUUGUUGUUUUCCACAAUAGAUAGGGUGAGUUGCAGUUUUACAUGAAAUGCACUGCUCAACCCACACUCUUUUCUCACUAGUUCCUUAUUCUCAAUCUUCAACGCAAAUUUCAUCAUCUGGGCCAACCCAAUCGGUUCCACGGUUUCCACUUCCAUUUUUAUUCAUGGGCUAAGCCCAAUCAUCAAAGUCUCCUCUAACACUACCGUUUGAAGAAAUGCUACCAGAGCUAAAUAUCGAUCAAAUCGGUUGCGGUAUUCUUCUACAUUCAUUUCUGUUUGAUUGAGAAAAAUCUUCCAACCAAAGUUCCUUCUCGAAUUGAUCGAAACUGUACAAGCAUUCGUUCUUUCAGGUCAGCCCAAUUCUUAAAAACUUCCAACUCUUCUUGUGCUUGGUACCAAUCCAAUGCCAGAUCAUCAAAACUAAUAACGCCUGUGGUUAAUUUCUCUGAAUCGGUAAGAUCAUGUAUCUUAAAGAAGCGAUAGGCUCUAAAUGUGAGACCCAUUUCUAAUUUGAGUAAUGAAGUAAAAUUGGCUAGGUAUUAAGAAUUUGGCGUUUGAAUAAAUCAACGAAAAGGAUUAAGCGAUAAAAAAAUUUAUGGUUAAGUAUACGUUAUUGCGAUUCAGUGGGUAGUUCGCGAAGGAAGUUGUGCGACCCAUUUCUAAUUUGAGUAAGGAAGUAAAAUUCGGCUAAGAAUUAAGAAGUUGGUGUUCAAAUAAAUCCAUGGAAAGAUUAAGUGAUAAGAUCUUUUACGGUUAAGUAUACUUUUUUGCGAUAAGUGGGUAGUUCGCGAAAGAAGUUGUGCGAUAAUGUAACACCCGAACUCUAAGGUAAUUAAUUUAAUCGGACCAUUCGAUAUUUUUACUCUUAAUUUUUGUUCGACGUCAUUUUGUUGUUUUGUCUUAAAAAAAAAAGUGUUGGAAAAGUCUUUCAUAAUAAUAAUAUAUUAUUAUUAUUAUUAUUAAUUAGCAUAAAAAAAAGGAAAAGAAAAAGAAAUUAAAAUAUCUUUUUCCUCUCUCCCCUCUCUCACGCGUGCGACACCCUCUCUCCAUCUUUUUCUUCUUCUCUUUCCUGUACCCUAACCCAGCCGACCAUCAUCUUCUCCCCUUCCCUUGCCGUUCAGAUCCAUGGCCUCCGCCCACCGCCGCGUGACCCUCUGCCCAGCCCCGCCGCGUGACCUCUGUCUCCGUCGAAGCCAAGUCCAGCCGUCGUCCAUUCCUUUCCUCUCUUCUUCUCCGUUCGUGAAGCCCAGUCGCCGCGUCAGAUCGUCGAUCGAUUUUGAGGCAGCGCGCACGCCUCCUUCUAGCCGCGCGUUUCCUCUUCUUCCAGCAACGUGUUUUUUCUUCUAACCGCGAUUCACAAACCGACGUACACUCUAAUCUGUUUGCACGAUGGUUUUUGUUUAGAAUCGAUUGCCGCUGCCCCUAUUUUUACUGAGAUCCGUCGAAGUAUUGUUGGUAAGAUUGAAGUUAUGAAAUUGUAGUCGUUUUCAAAACAAUUUAAGUAUGGGUUGUGAUGUUUUCAAGGUGUUCAAACGUUACGGAUGGGUUAAUUGACUAAUUUGAUAAAUUAUUCUUGAAGGUGUGAAAGGUAACCUUGGAUCACUUAAAUUCACAACCAAUUUGUGAAUUUUGAUUUCGAUUUCGUUUGCCCUUAUUUGGAUUGUUUCGUGGACGAUAGUUGAUUAAGGGAGCUUCCCUAACUUUGAGGUAAGGGACUUUCUACUGGACUCACCUAAAGUUUUUGAGUUGUGUUGGACUGUAUGGAUGAUGAUUAAGAUGUACACGUUUGGUUGCAGACUAAAUGUUUAGUGUAUGUUGUAUUUGACUGGAAACAUAUAUAUAAAUACAUUGAUGUGUGAAUUGAUGUGGAUUGCCGAAAGUAUACAUGUGAAUGACUGAAAUUAUGCUUAUGUGUACAUGAUGAUAUUAAUAGAUUGUGCUGUAUAAAGAUUUGGAUGUGAACUAGUGAAUUUGUUUCGGUUGAAUGUGGAUUAUACUGAACUGUGGUUUGCGCUGGUAAAAAUGAGGGGUGUUGUGACUUUGUUGUUUACUUGACAGAUGUAUUAAAAUGUUAUCAACGACCUUCGAACUUAAGUGAGAUAGGUUGACUGUUAGAAUGUUGAGUGAAAGAACUUUAUAUUUUGAAGUAACUGAAAGAUGUCAUAAAUUACCGUAAAGAUGGUUAGAAUGGAUUGAGGGGAAAAAUUGUUAGUUUUAUUGGGAUGUAUGCCUUGUAGGUGUCCUACGGGAUCACCAAUUUUUAUGCGACCUUCGGAGCAUUAGACUGAUAUGUGUUUCUGCAGAACACUAGACUGAAAUGUACGUCCCUCGGGGCGUUAGACUGAAAUGUGCAUCCUACGGGAUCACAAGACUGCGACUGUACAGGGUGUCCCAAUAGAAUGUUAACAAUUUAUUUUCCCCUGACGGGACCAGUAGAGGGUCUCUUACUGGGUAUUUUUAUACUCACCCUCCUUAUGUUUAAUUUUUCAGGCAAAGGUAAUAAAGGCAGCAAACCGGCGAGGGGCAGGAAGGAAGCGUGACCGCCACAGGGGACACUUUAAAAUUUUGCUUCCGCUUAGUGAUUUAUAGUAUUAUUUGUAUUCGAACGUGAGACUGUUUAGAAAAUUUUGAAGUUUUAAAGUAUUCAAAGAUUUGAAACUUUUUAGUUUUAAAUUUUCAUGUGAAUUUUAGUAAUUUAAAACUGGGGCCCAAACAAACAAAAUAAAUUUUGUUCUUUUGAGGUUUUAAAUUUUAAUUAACCAAGGUCUUUUGUCAAAAGUUAAUGACCUCGACUUAGGUAAAAAGUUGGGUCGUUACAGAUAAGAAGCGAAAAAGUCUUUGCGUAAGUUAAGAAAUGAAAGUUUUGAGUGUUAGACUAGGAGUUUUGGGUGGUCUUCGCGAGAAGAACCAAGUGUUUCGUGGAGAAGAAGUCUACGAGGAAGCCUUGGAGUUUAAGUUCGUGAUAAGAGUUUUAUGCGAGUAAAAGUUGGUUAGUUCAGGUGGAACGUUUCUUAUAAUAAAAAUAUAAUCAAGCGAUAAGGUUAUUCACGAGAAAUGUUAAGUGGUUGAAUUUAUUCACGGUUUGGGUUAGGCGGGGAGCAAGGUUUGUAAAGAAAAUGUCAAAUCUGAUUUGACAUGGGUUAACAUGUAAGAUUAAGGAUUUGAGCAUGACUAGGUUAAAUAUUAAGGAUUUGCAUGACUAAGUUAGUAUAAGGGAUCUAUAAAAUAGGAGAAUUUAGGUAACUAAGGAGGGGAUGACGAGAGUUUUGUUGAAAUGUUAAAGUGUUGUUGGUUUAGCCACGCGAAAAGAUGGUUGUGAGAAGGACUUCUUUAGUGAAGUUUGGUGAGUGCUUUUCAGUCAAAAGAAUUUAUGUUAAGAAACUUUAUUACGAUUUCUCUUUACUGAUUUGAAAGAAGAAUUCAGAUGAGAAUGUUUCAGAAAGAUUUCUACGAAAAGUUAUGUUUUCAAGCAUUAUUUAUAAUAUUAAAGCUUGAUUUGAUGACUAUGAUUUCAAUACUAUGUUUCUUUGAGAUGAUGCUAACUUUUGUGUGCACAUAAAGAGUGAAGGCCACCAUGGAGUGUACAAACUACAUGGUAAUAAGAAGCUGACUUAUGCAUUGAAAUGAGCGUAUAAAGCUUAGCGGUAUAGCAACAAAGACGAAUUUGUAUGUUCUCAGAUGUUGAUACAGUAGUCUAAACGCGAGGUAAUGAGACCAAGCGUAGAGAACGAUUCGGGAUCCUUGACAAAAUGAAAUGAUUUUUUAAGCAUAAAGAAAGGUUUAUUCGAAAUGAAAUAAUUUUUCGGUAUAUUUAAAUGAUUUGAUAUUAUUUUUACAAAAUGAUUAUGAAAAGGUAUUGUGAAAGGUUUUCAUAAAACCUUAAAGGAUUUAAAAAAAAAGUGGACCAUUCAACUUAAUUCCCAUCCACUAUCCUCUUGUCCAACAUGAAACUUUAUCUUAGUAAAACUUCUUGAUCCACUAUUUUACAAAAAUAUUCAAAACAAUACCAUACUACACCAAAUGUGAUAUUUUGGUAACACUUAAAAUGGUCAGAAAUACCAUUUUCCUGACUUUUUUUUCAUCGACCAUUAAAGAAAAAGUAUAGAUGAUGUUUCACAAAAACUUCCAAACCAUUGUGUUAGUUAUCGUUUUGGAUGAGGGUUGGGGUAGAGCAUCAAUACUCAAAGGUUGUUAAGAAUUAAGACCUAAGACUUGAAAACGAAACCGCCUGCCUGGUUGACAACAACACCAUCCCACUAGAGUGCACAAUGAUGAUUUAUUGCAUUAAGAAGAAGAUGGCAGUUAACCUUAGCGCCAUAAUCAGAACCUCAAUCCUCCCUUUGAUGAAAGCACCUAAAGGUGUCAUGCCUUUCCCCUCUACCACAUUGAAGCUCUUUGUCUAACACUACAAGAAAUGAGGACUCUCUCGAUGCAUAAAAUCAUUGGGAGAUAUAUAAAAAGCGUCAGAAAAGGCUUUUCUGACGCACUAAUAUACGUCGGAACACAAGUGAGGAAAAUGUAUCGGGAGAGGAACUCCGAUGCACAAUGUUGUGCGUUGAGGGUUUCUAGACAUCUUCCGACGUUGUAUGAACGUCGAAGAUGUUGUCAAUAUAGCAUCGAGAGAUGUCUAGGAACCAUGCGUCGGGAGAUCCUCUAUUUUUUUUUAAAAAAAAUAACUUCAUUUAAUUCCUAAAUUCAAAUUGAAAAUUUUAAAUUCAAACUCAACUUCAACACUUCAACCUCAACUUCAACACUUCAAUCUCAACUUCAACACUUCAAAUUCAAAUUUCUAAAACCUACAACUAAUUCAAAAUUCUAACAACACUUGAAAUUAAAUUUCAUUACUAAAACUUACAACUAAUUCAAAAUCUAAAUACUAAAGAAAUCUAAAAUCUAACACCUAAAACAAAUUUGAAAUCUAAAUACUAAAACUAAUUAACUAAAACAAAACAAUAACUAAACUAAACCACUUACCGAUGGCGACGACGACGGGACGACAACAGGGACGACAAUGGUGAUGACAAUGCCCUCUUCUUCUCAAUCUUCCUCUCGGUCUCCCUCUCCCUCUCUCAUUUUCUUUCUCUUUAUGUUUCCUUUAUGUAAAGAAUGGAGUUAAAAAAGACAGAGAACUCCUGACGCACGACGAAAACGUCGGGAAUAGCACCCUAUUCAUGACCUGAUUUGUUAAACGUCAGAAAUCCCUAAACAUAUUCCCACGCGAUUAAUGAUACGUCGGGAAUCCCUAAAUCUAUUCUCAACGUUGCUGCCACACGUAAGAGGAAGGCGUUACAUACAAUUAAUGAUCUGCCCUUCCUCCGACGGUUCCUAAGCUUUUAGCUUUUCUGCAAUCACCCCUUAUGCAUGUUCUCAGGCGAAUCUCAACCAAACCAUAACACUCCAUCAAAAUAAAGAAGAAGAGAGACACCUCAAAACCUUAAAUAAAGUUAAGGGAGAAGAAUGGAAUGACAGAGAAGAAGAAGAGGCUUCUCCGCUGCCACCACUACUCAAGAGGAGAAAUGUCCACGAUGACGCGUCUAACUCGUAUAAAAAGGAAAAAAGUCGAAAGCUAGACGUGGCCAUCGACCCUAAACCUCUUGCAAUCUGACCCCUAACUCUCUCAUUGCCUCCUCCAAAAUCCAAAUCCUUCAAUUCCAGUCCUCAUCCAAAAAUUGAAACUCCCCCUCAUCAAUCUUACCCAAGUCCUCUCGCAUGUCUAUUAUCCUCUCACCACCAAAUCCCCCAUCAUUAUAACAACAUCCUUCACCUCACGACCUGACCGAACAAGCCCUUACCCGAUCAAAAGGGCAUUGUUAGCGAAGAAGAAUUCCUUAGGGUUGAGGAGGAAGACCUGCAUCACAUUCCUCUCCCUCCGCACACUACUAUACGUAAUUCCAAGGAGGAAGACUUACAUCUCGCGUGUAAACACCGAUACCCAAUAAUCCUUAAUUCAUCUAAAGAACUCAAUAGGACAUUAGGGGUUGAUGUUAGGAGAAAGAUGGUUUAAGAUUGGAUAGUUUAGUUGAAGUGUUAUGGAAGAUGUGUUAAUAUUUUUAAGAUGAUAAAAGAAAAGUGUCAUCGUAACAAAGAAAGGCCUAAAGGGUGUUCGAAAAUUGGCUAAGUGUUGGCUAGGGCAUGUUGCAUACUCUAGGCGGCCAAAAGUGUCAAGCGAACCUCUAAAGAGACAUGUUGGGUGGCCAAAGGUUGAGAUGUGGUAUGGCCGAAAGGUGUCAAGACAACCUCUAUAAGACAAGGCUAUAUGACCAAGGGUAUGCGCUAGGCAAGGAAGCUAAGCAUCUAGGAAAUGUCAAGAAACUCUAAAGAAGUUAGAACGUGGAUAAGGAAUGUCAUGCAACAAAGAGGUGGGCUAUGUGGACAUAGGUCAUGCGGCCAAUGGGGCAAUUCAACCAAAUGCUAGUCAAGAUGGCAUGGUUUGUUGAAGGCAUUGAGGGAUGUUUGGGAGAUUAGGCGAGAAAAAAAAGUCUUAGGCAUUCUUGGCAGUAAGAAUUUACUAAAGAACCCUCAUAGAAAAAGGGAUAUGCGUCCAAGGAUGACUUAAGCAAUAUGAGGUAAGAUGUGCGGUAGAGUACAAGUGGACAACAUACAAGAUACCUAAGUUUUGCCAAAUAAGUGUCUUGCAUGAGUUGGAAAGUGGCAAGUAUGGGCGUAAGAGGUGAGAAAAAAAGGUUCAACCAAAGAGCAUGCAAGGAUCACUAUAUGUACAACUUUGGACGAAUUAUGUUAACAAUCAACUUGUGUUAAUUGGGUAACUCUACUUCGAAAAUCUCCUAAAUUGAGUGUAGUAUCAAGAGAAAGGCUACCAAGAAGAAAGGCAUUGAAGUGAAGAAAGACUCAAAGGUCAUUUUCAAAAAAAAAAAAAAAAAAACUUGAACAAUGUAGAGUAUUUUGAGCUACAUAACUCAAUACUUGGAAUUUGUUAGUGACACUUUGUGGUAAGCUAGUGAAGACAUUCUAAGUAAGUUUGUAGAAGGAAUCUUAUUGAUUUAAGCUUCAAAGUCGAGUUAAGUUUCUGGUAGAAAAAUCAUAUUUCUAGACAAGGCCAUGGGUGGGUUGAUUGCCAGGAUGACAAGGUGAGAUGAGCGUGUGUUUUGAGCGAAAGAGGUUAUUUAGGCUUGGGACAUGCAAGAAGCAUGUCCUGGCAUGAUCAAGCAGCCUGAGCCACGCGUCAUUACACACUCUAUUAUGAAAGUUGAGUAUAUUGCUACUUGUGAAGCAGCAAAAGAAGCAGUUUUGGUGAGGAAGUUCUUGCAUAAUUUGGAAGUUGUUCCAAACAUGAACAUGCCCCAUCACUUUAUAUUGUGAUAAUAGUGGGGCAUAUUACUAAUCCAUUUACAAAGACUCUCAUGGCUAAAGUGUUCGAGGGUCUUCUAGAAAGUCUAGAUCUGCGAGUUAUGUACAUUAGGUAAUCUAGGAAAAGUGGCAGAUGUGUAAUGGGUAUGAGGAUGCCCUAGUUUAUUGUAUUUGUAUAUACACAUUUUAUGUAAUACACUUGUACAUUUUACCAUUUUCAAUGUUAGAGGAUUACUUUAUUAUGAACAUCCCAAAGAGACGAGAGUUUUAGUCCAAGUGGGAGUUUGUUGGAAUUUAUGUCCUAAAACUCGUAGAUUGUAAAUAUAAUCCAUUGACCAUUGUUAAUAAAGUGUUAUUAUUGUAAUAAUUGUUAUUGAUUAUAUUAUUAGUUUUGUCUUAAUAACUCAAAUCCAAUAAACUAACAUCCUAAACUGUUUAAUAAGUAUUGAAUAGUAUGUAGAGACAUACAGGGAUCAAUGUUCGAGAUCAGCUUAAAGGGUCUAUAGUAUACGGAUAAGACUGGGUACCUUUAUCCUGGUAACAUUAUGAAUACGACUCACUUUGUAUUUGAUACAAAUACAAUGAUCCAAUGUGUUCAUGUAGUUGACAUGCGAGUGAAGGUAUCCUAUGCAAUGAGAUUGCAAUAGACUAGACUGUGAAAUAGUAACCACUUGGUGUUACUACAUUAACUAGUUAGGUUUCUAUUUCACUAGGAUGACCUAGAUAACUUAGUCUUAAUCUUGAGUGUAUUAUGAACUCAAUGAUCUUGGAUGAAUUUGACUUCAAAUACAAACUUGGAUUCCACAACCUAAACCAAAAUAAAAUAAUAUAUCAUGUUAAGAUGGAUUCACAUAGCAACAUUUUAUCAAAUGGUUGCAAUGUUUCAAAUAAGCAACAAUUAAAAUUCACAUAUCGAUUUGGCAUCUAUAAAUAUACAAACUAAAAAGUACCUAAAUGUCAAUUAUUUACCCAAUAAGGCUAACUAAGUAACCAACGUCUAAUAUGUUUUGCAAUGAAAAAGGUUGCCAUAUUGUUAAUUUGGCCAUAUUGUGAAGGCAACCUCUUAGAUGUGUUUGUGAGAAAGGAAAGAAAUACCAAAAUAAGUAUGGACUAAGAUAGUAUCAAAUAAAGUUAAAGUUGAAUUUUAAAGCUCUAUUUUUUUCAAGAUAGAGAAAUUUCAGCUAAAGAGGAAAACACUAAGGACAACCAAGCAAAAAAGUCUAACAAAUAUCAAAAGAGAACAUGCAGGAAAGAAAGAAUGUAAAUAAGGUUUUAUCCGCACCAAGCAAAAAAGUCUAACAAGUAUCAAAAGCUUCAUAAGUUGUACUAGAAUUCAAAGCUCUAAACUCUAAAGAAUGUAAAUUUCUUUGAAGAAAUUUGUGUAUAAAGGUCACACAGUUGAAAAUUCAAUACCUUUUCAAGAAUGUUGUUGAGAAGAUUAUUGUGAUGAAUCUUUGAAUCCAAAUUAUGGAGACAAGAUAAAUAAAUGAGUUCUGAUUCUAACUGACUGAAUGAGAGUUUAGAAAAUAAGAACAUUGGAGUUGAAUUAUCAGCAUUUAUUUUAAUCAAACUUACGAUAGCAAACCAAAUUAUAGAGAGAGAUCAAAUGCUAGGAUAAAGGAAUAAUCUUACAUUUGGUGAGUUCCCAAAUGUUGUGGUAGUCACGAGAGUUAUUCCACUCGAAUUGUCUUAGACAAGAGGCUUCCAUUCAGCAAGUACUGGUGAGAAUUAAAGUGGAAUGACAAACUUAAAAACACCUAAUCUUUAACAAACUUUUCCGACUUUUUGCAAUUAUUUUUUAACACAAGAUAUCAAAACACACUUAAAAACCAUAACAACCAAUUACCAUAAAACGGUGUCCAAUAACAAUAAUUGGGUCAACCCAAACAUCAUCAAAUUCUUGGGAAAGGUUGUGGACUAGACCUUCACCAUCUUGCCCCUAAAACAAGUUAAAGCUUAAGGAAAGAACACAGUAGAAACAAAAAUCAUAAACUCAUCAGUUAGAUAGUAUUGGUGGUCAAAACCUCAAGGUCUCACUUCUUCCAUUUUAUAUUACCAAAUUUGAAAAUGAUUUUUAAUAUAUGAUCAUUACUUGAAACAUGUUGGUGUACAAGUGUGAAUGAAACUAAAUCAAGUUUGUGUUUUAUGUUAUUGUUUUUGACAGUAUAUUUAUGUGCUAUGCAAUCCAUGAGAGUAUAUUUAUGUGCUAUGCAAUCCAGAAGGGGGAAUGCAAGCUAUACCCAAUUCAUAAUUGUAUUUGGAACACUAAUGAUUUUAGCACAAAUUCCAUCUUUCCAUUCUCUAAGACAUAUAAACCUUAUCUCCCUCACUCUAUACCUUGGCUAUAGUGCUCUUGCAACAUAUUAAAAUUCUCGUAAUUAAAAAUUCAUACACAAUUUAAAUUAAAUUAAACAUCAAGACCCCUGACGAAGAUGAAUCUCUGUUCAUUUUUCUUUUUAUUAACAAACAAAAGUUUUUAGGUCAACUUCUUUCAACAACCUCCUCAAGGAUCCUUAAUUAUCUCUUUCCAAGUUCAUAACCACUCUAGUCAUGCAAAGAUUAAGGUUCAUGGCCAAUCAACAAUUAAUCUGUGAUUAAGAUAUUAUGAACGCUAUUCACAUAAAAACAUGAAAAGAUUAAGAGCAAAUAAUCAGAUGCAUUACAAAGAAUAAUUCAUAAACUUUGUCUACAUCUAUCCCUAGGAUUAAGAGUUUAGCUACCCCAUACUUCACAAUCUAAAACACAAAACUCAAUACAAUACCCAUAAAAAAAAUUAAAGGAGAAGAAAAAGAAAACGAAGAAGAAAAGCUAGUGAUUCGUAUUAUUAUAAUACUGUGUAUAACAGUAUGUGUUUUUUAAUAUUCUCUGUUUCCAGCUCCAAUGUACCAAAAUAUUAUCACAAACUCCACAAUCCUUCUCUUUCCAAUCCCUAAACUAACCAAUGAAUCAUAUUCGCACGCUUGGUAGCCUUGUUCAAAAUAUUAUAUAUUACAAUUAUAAUAACUUGUAUCCCCCCUUUUCAAGCCUAAAAUGCAAAACCUUUCUUCCAUUCUCUAAGGCAUAUUUCCUCUUCUUUAAUUUUGCAUUCCAAUUUUAAAUUACAAAUUACAAAUUUUAAUCACAAAGGAAAAAAGGAAAAUUAUUACCUUUAGAAAGGGAAGAAAAUAAAUGAGUAACCAUGAAGGAUUUGGAAACGAAUAGAGGUUUAGCGAAAGUGGAAUGCGACAGAAGGACGGUGAAUGUGUUUACUCGUUUUCGAACAGAGAAUGUGUUUACGCAUUCCGAACGGUGAACAGACGGACGCAAAUCAACGAAGGUGAAGGGAACGCAAAGCAGACGGACGGUGACGGACGAUGAACGCAAAUGAAUGAAGGUGAAUGCUUAUGAACGCGAAGGGAAGUCUUUUCCGGCGAUGAACGCAGAUGAAUGCACAGAUGAACGCGAAGGGAAGGUUAGGUGAACGACGCUUUUGAUUUCGGGUGGAGAAGGGACAAAGUCGCGGCGAAUUAGGUUUAAUUAAGAAAAGGGGAAGUGAUCUAAUUGAAACGUUGGGUUUUGUAAAAGAAUAUUAACACAAUAAUUUUUUAGAAAUUUCUUGACGUUUUUAAAACGUCAAAAACAAAUUAAAAUUUCUUGAACUUUUUAAAACAUCAAUGAUUUUUUAGAAUUAUCUUGACGUUUUAAAAACGUCAAGAAUUUUUUAUAAAUUUCUUGACGUUUUUAAAAAUGUCAAGAACUUUUUAGAAUUAUCUCGACAUUUUAAAAACGUUAAGAAUUUUUAUAAAUUUCUUGAUGUUUUUAAAACGUCGAGGAAAACUAUAUAUUAUUGACGUUUAAAAAACAUCAAGAAAGUUGAAUUCAUAAACAUUCUUGACGUUUUUUAAACGUCAAAAAUUAUUAGAUAUUUCUUGAUGUUUAAAAAACGUCAAGAAAAAGUACAUCUUACUUGACGUUUAAUUGCAUAAAAAACGUCAAGAAAAAACGUCAAGAAAGUUGAAAAUUGGCCUUUCAUAAAAAUUCUUGACGCUUUUUUAUUUGAAAUCACAUCUUUCUUGACGUUUUUGGGAAAAAACGUCAAGAAAGGAAAACUACAACCGUCAAGAGAGCCUGUUUUUGUAGUAGUGAUUUUGGGGACAAGACUGAGUGGGGAGUUGGGAUUAUAAUUGCACAAAAUGGAAUUCACUCAUUUCCUACUGUAGGAUAAGUAGAUGAAUGUUAGCUUAAAUGGUGUCUCCAAAACUUAAACAAAGGGCCCGUACUCUCUCUAUGACAUGAGAGGGGUUUUUGUUUAUUAGUAGGACCAUAAACAAGUUGUUCAUUAGAGGAGCACUAGUUUUUAAGGAUUAGAGGUAACAUAGGGGUAAAGCGGUAAAUUGAUCCAACUGGUGUUACAAACACUCGUGAAGGACUAACUUACUAUUAUUGGUCUAUAUCCGUGGACACAGAAAUAUAUUUUUAGUGAGAAGAGUUCAGUUGUGAGUCUUUAGUGGAGUGUACACACAACUAACGAAUAUUGAUUAAUGUGGUUAAUGAGUUUAGCCAAUUAAUCUUAGAUCGUUGUAGCUUCUGAUCUGUAGGUCCACUAGGUCCCUUUCCUAGCUCGUAAAGGGUAAUGAGAUUUAUUUGUAUUAGUUGUAAUUUAAAAUGUUUAAAUUUAACUUGGGAAUUAGUAUAAUGUAUAGUGAUACAUUAUAAUAUAAAGUUUAUCAAACUUUACUAUAUAAAUUUAACUUUGGGGAUGAUUUAAAAUUAAUUUAUGAGAGAUAAAAUAUUUGAAUGAGUUCAAAUAUUAAUUUAAUGUAAAUUGGAUUCAUAUUAAAAUUAUUGAGAGAAACUUAUAUUUGAAUAUGAUUCAAAAUUAAUUUAAGUUAAAUAUAAGAUAAAUAAUUUAAUGUUAUUAGUUAAUUGGAGAAUUAAUUAAUAGUUUAGUUUAAUAUUAUUUAAUUAAAUGUGAUUUCAUUAAUUAUUAACUAAUUGAUUAAUGUUUAAUUAAUCAGUAGAUUUGAAAUAUAUAUUAAUUUAAUUGUUUGUAAAUUAAUAGAAUCUCAUAGUUCUCUUCUACUUCAUUUUUUAUUCCUAGAAGGAAAGAGAGUUAUAAUAUCUAGAAGAAAACAAUUUUCUUAAAAAAUGAAUAUAAUAAAAAAAGAAAAAAUAAGGCUAACGCUAUUGCUCUUUGCAAAAAGAAAAGAGUUUCUCUCAAUAUCUCUAAACUUUUUCCCAUCCCAAUUGGUUCCACAAACCAAUCUUAUCACAGAGGUACUCUUUGCAAUUUAAGCUCUCUUUGCAAUGGACAGUCUUCAAAGUUUUUUUAACGAUGUUUCUAAUGCUUUCCUUUCUCUCUCAUGUUUAAUAAAACAAAUUUCUCUUAAAACCUGUAGGGAGGCUACAUCGUAUCGAAUUUCAUACAACUGACGUGUUCAUCGAGUUACAACAAGUGCCGCACAAUAGUCUGUUCCAUGUUUGAAAAGUUGUGAGUGUGACACGCUGCACAUGAGGUUAGAACGAGACAUGGCAAGGCAAGCUCUACGCGCACCUGCCAACUUCUGCCACAAUAUUUUGUACGCAAGCUAAUGUCUUUGGGCUGUUUUUAUGGUAUUUGGAAAUUUUAAGCAAAGUUUUGAUAUUUUUAUGAUCAACAGGAAUUAAAUGGAAUUAUUUCCCAUUAUUUUCAUUAUUUUAGAUCAGAAGGAGAUCGAACAAAUUUAUAAGCCAAGGGUCCAAGCUACUCUCUAUAAGUGACAAAAAUGAGUUUAAAGUUGAUUUCUAAACAUGAAUUUACUAUCAAAUGUUUCAAGCAUGCUUUGAUGUUUGAAUAUUUGAGGAUACUGACUUAUAAAGUAUUUCCAAAGCAUGAAUUUAGAAACAUUUUGGUAAUGAAAAUUAUAAGCAAUCAUGAUUGUGCUAAGUUAUCAAAAUGUUUAAGCUUGAAAAUAAUAUUAGCAUGUUUUAGUCUAUACCUAAAAUAUUCUAAGAUAUAUAGCAACCCUUCGGGAGAGAUUUUCUUGUGCAUAGAGGUCAUUUGAUUUGGAUAUUCAGUAAAUACCUAGCUUUCCAUCAUUGGUAUUAGAUAAGAGAUGAAGACUUCUAAAGAUGCUUAGUUUCCCAUCUCAAGGGACGAGACCCUGUACGAAUGCCUAGUUUCCAUCUCAUUGUAGUUAUAACGAGAUAGGGCACAAUUGAUGCCUAGAGUUUCAUCUCGUAAGUAUCGUAUCACGGGAUAGGGCUUCUAUGCCUAGUUUAUUGUUUUUCGUCUUGACGAUUCUAGUAUAGCAACUGAAAGGGAAAGUUUGAGAUAAGUUGUUUGAGUUUGAUUUCAUUUAUGUUAAGAGUUAAUUGUUAAAUACUUAUUAUUUCAAACAAUGUUUUAUAAAACAAUCACUCAUUGGGCUAUUUAGCUCACUCUUUGGAUAAAUAUCCCCAUAUGGAUUACGUUGUUUGGAAAAUUAAACUGUCUUUAGUACUUCAAAGAAAACUUCCCUCCCAUGUCCUCUCACCUCAUGUCAUCCCAUUUGUGUUGAUAACAUGAAAAAUAUUUAGCACCUUUUAAUUGAUUAUGUCUUUGUAUCGAAAUGUUGGUUCCGUCUUCUCCAAACAUUCAAUAUUUGUUGGGAUUUUUUGCUCAAUCAAGGCUUAUUCUUGUUUGUUCUCGACCUGCUACCUAUGAUUUAUGAUUUUGUUUUGGACAUAUUAUUUUAUCAUUUUGUUUGGUUUUAUAUUUGUGGCUUUUUUUUUGUUUUGUUUUGUGUUUUGUUUUUUUUUUUUUUUGAAAAGGAGACAACCUCUUUAUUAAUAUUAAAAUAAUAAAAUAAUUAGACAAAAGCUCAUGGUACAAGAGAGUUAUACAAUGAACAUGUAACCAUGGAUCAGAGGGUGCACCUUGGCAUCUCAACUAGGUUGACACCCCCAUAGCACCCUCAUCAUAUCCAACCAAGCUAAAACCCAUAACAAAGGAGUAAUGUCCAAAGGCAAAACAAACACAAAAAAAGCCUUCUAUUUGUGGCUUUUGUUUUGAUCUUGUGUUGUCGCUUUUUGGAUGUGAUGAGGGCGCUAAGGGGGUGUCAACACUCAAACCUUAUGACGUAACAAAUGCAAAUUUUAUGACGUUUUUAGGGGUAGUCCCUCCCAUUACUAGCUCAACACUCAAACGGAGUCUCCUGUAUAAAAUAUAAAAUAAUACAGACACAAAUAGUGAAUGAAAUCUUAUGACGUAACAAAUGCAAAUUUUAUGUAUACUGCAAUUGACUAAAUAUUGAACAAGAAAGCCCAAGGGAAUACAAAAAAAUCCAACGUUUUUAGGGGUCAAUUUGAAAAAUGGCAAAAUUACUUUUUCUUUUCAAUUUUAGCAAACAACAUUUUUUGCACGUGCAUGGUAUUUUAUAAAAUACCAGAAUAUCAACAUUCUUCAACUGUAGUUAUUUCGUUUCUACAUUGUAAUUAAUUUAUGUUAUGCAUUUAUCAGUUUUUAAUUAUCUUUUACUUGAAAUAGAUACAUCAACUCAUAUCAUAAUAUUUUUCUUAAUAUCUCGAGUCUCAACUAAUUAAUUCACAUAUUAAUAACUUUAUUCAAUCAUACUAAUUUCAAAAUAACCUAAUUGAAUUUGAAUUUCAAAAUAACAAAAUUAUUAUUUUUCGGAAUUUGAGAGUCUCAACGAUAGAUUUUGUAUUAAAAUAACCUUAAUUGAAUUUCAAAAAUAAAAAAUAUCAACAUGUUCACUAUCUUUAUCUCAAAAUAACAUUAAUGCCUUGAAUAUCAAGAUAAUUAAAUUAUUAUUUAAAAUUGGAAGAAACUCAACAUUAAAAAAUAUUAACUUGUUCGCACACAAGCAUAGAAGCACUGCGCACACACGUACACAUGCACACUUACACACACGCGCACACACGCACAUCUACACACAGACACCCACAGACACACGAACGCAUGCACAUACACAUGCACACGCGCACGCAUGCACAUACACAUGCACACGAGCACGCAUGCACACGCACACACCUAUCCACACGCGCGCACAAGCACACACACAUGCACAAACGCACACACGCGUACGCACAAACGCACACACUUAUACACAUACGCACACGCGCACAAACACGCACGCACGAGCACACACACACCUAAGCACACACGCAAUAGCCUGCGCACACACACGCACGCACAAACACAUACAAACAUGCACACACCCACACAUAUAUGCACACGGACACUCGCAACAAACGCACGCACAUACACAUACGCACACCUACCUACACGCACACACGUACACACGCACAUAUGCAUAAAGAUGUAUAAAUGAGUUAAAAUUAAAAAAAAACUACAUUAAUUGUGUUUAGAAGGACUUUUAAACCAUGUUCAUUUGACUUAAUAACAUUAAUUAAACUAUAAUUUCUAUCAAUAUUGGCUUAAAAAGUGUCAUUCGUGUAAUUAUUUCAAUAUAAUGCGAUUUUAUCCAAUUCUAUUUGCAACAAACAGGUCGAAUAUGAACCAGUAGAUAUACAUGUCAUAAGAGAUAUAGGAACAUUUUUAUGGUCAUUUUGAAAAAUGCAAAACUUUUUGUAACGACCCAACUUUUCUAGGUAAGUCGAGGUCAUUAAUUUUUAAUAAAAGACUUUGUUGAUACAAAAUGAAGCGUAAGUCAAUUUAAAAAAAAAUAUGUCAGGCCUGAUUUUCAAAUAUCAAGAAAACUUAAAAAUAACACUAUUUACAAAUAAAAGUUUGUAAACUAAGUUUUUAGUACAUCUUAAACCUUAAAAGAAACAUAAGCGGAAGCAAAAUACACAUUUCCUAUGGCAAUCACGCUUCCUUCCUGCCCCUCGCCGGUUUGCCACCUUUAUUUCCUUUGCCUGAAAAUUAAACAUAAGAAGGGUGAGUAUUUUAAAUACUCAGUAAGAGACCCUAUACUGGUCUCGUCAGGGAAAAUAAAUUGUUAAAGUUCUAUUGGGACACCCUGUACAGUCGCAGUCUUGUGAUCCCGUAGGAUACACAUUCAGUCUAACGCCCCGAAGGACGUACAUAUCAGUCUGACGCCCCGAGGGACGUACAUAUCAGUCUAACGCCCCGAGGGACGUACAUAUCAGUCUAACGCCCCGAGGGACGUACAUAUCAGUCAAGUGUUCUGCAGAAACACAUAUCAGUCAAAUACUCCCGAAGGUGCAAAAUAAAUUGGUGAUCCCGUGGGACACCUACAAGGUAAACAUCCCAAUACAACCUAACAAUUUAUCCCCUCAUUCCAUUCAACCCAUCUUUCAGUUACUUCAAAUCACAAAGUCCUUUCUUUCAACAUCCUAACAGUCAACUUAUUUUACUACAGUCAUAUGUCUGUCAAUAAUAUGCUAAUACAUCAGUCAAUCACUAUACAGUCAAGUCAAUACACCCCUCAGUUCACCAGCACAAACCACAGUUCAGUAUAAUCCACAUCCAACUGAAACAAAUUCACUAGUUCACAUCCAAUCUUUAUACAGCACAAUCUAUUAAUAUCAUCAUGUACACAGAAGCAUAAUUUCAGUCAUUCACAUGUAUACUUUCGGCAAUCCACAUCAAUUCACACAUCAAUGUAUAUAUAUAUGUUUCCAGUCAAAUACAACAUACACUAAACAUUUAGUCUGCAAUCAAACAUGUACAUCUUAAUCAUCAUCCAUACAGUCCAACACAACUCAAAAACUUUAGGUAAGUCCAGUAGAAAAUCCCUUACCUCACUUUUAUGCAAGUUCUUCAAUCUACUAAAUCCAAUGAAUCAAAUCCUAAACAUAAUCAAUCAUAAAAUCAACAUCUUUCUAAAUAGUUUCAACCAUUCAAAUUACCCCAUAUGUAAAUUCCACAACUUACCCAAGAAGUGGAAAAUCAAGUCCACUUCAACCUUUUGGAAAAUCAAGGAUUCGCUCACUGAAUCAAGAUGUACCUUCAAGAAUUAAGCAUUUCGCCAACAAUUAAAUCCAAUGGCAGCAUCCAACAAAAACCAAGAAACCAACAAAAACCAUAACUUGUUCUUACCCAAAUAUGAGCCCAAUGGUUCACGGCGAGGCAGAUCUGGACGACGAUUUGCUUUGCGAGGGAGGCACGACGGUUGUGAGCGAGAGGCACGACGGUUACAGGCGGAUGGGCGCGACGGUUUAGAUCUGAAGAAGAAAAGAGAGGGUGGCGGUUGGGUUCGGCGAGCGGCGGCGGUUUUGCUUCGCGAACGGAGAUGGAGACGGCAAUUCGGCGCGCGGGACGACUGCAACGCAAAUCUGGACUGGCAGCGGCACGGUCUUGCUUCGCGGCUGGGUAUGGUGAAAAAGAAAGAGAAACGGAAGAAGAGAAGUCUCGGGUGGCGGUUGCUGGGCUACGGCGGUUGCUGGGCUGCGGCGGAAGGAGAAAAUGGAAGGAAGAGAUCGGCGGAAAGAAGGAGAAGAUGGAUGGGAGUCACGAUCGCACGGGAAGAAGAAGGGAGAAAAGAAAAGAAAAGAAAAGAAGAAAAGAAAAAUAAUAAAGAAAUUUUUAAUAUAAAGUAAAAUAAAAAUAUAUAUAUAUAUAUAUAUAUAUAUAUUACCUUUUUGGGCAUUACAUUCUUCCCUCCUUAAGAAACUUUCGUCCUCGAAAGUUCUAAUCCUGAAAUAACUCUGGAUAACGAGUCCUCAUUUCUUCCUCUCGCUCCCAUGUCGCCUCUUCAAUUCGAUGAUUCCGCCACAAAACCUUUACUAAUGGAAUGCUUCUAUUACGAAGCAUCUUUACCUCUCUAGCCAAAAUCUCCACAGGUUGUUCAACAUAGCUCAAAUGCUCGUCAAUCUCCAAGGUUCAUAGUCCACUACAUGAGAUGUAUCGGCCACAUACUUCCUCAACAUCGAAACAUGGAAAACAUUAUGAACUGCAGAGAGAGAUGGUGGUAAUGCCAAGCGAUACGCCACAACACCAACCCUCUCUAAGAUCUCAAAUGGUCCAACAAAACGAGGACUUAACUUUCCCUUCUCAAAACGCAUAACACCCUUCAUAGGUGCUACCUUCAAGAAUACCUUUUCUCCCACAUCGAACUUAAGGUCUUUUCGCCGUACAUCUGCAUAACUCUUCUGUCUACUCUGCGCUGUUUGCAUACGCGUCCUAAUCGUUUGAAUAGCCUCAUUAGUAGACCGAACUAAUUCAGGUCCCAUCAAUCUAUGUUCACCAACCUCACUCCAACAAACAGGGGUUCUACAACAUUUGCCAUACAAAGCCUCAAAUGGUGCCAUACCGAUGGUAGCCUGGAAACUGUUGUUAUAAGCAAACUCCAUCAAAUGUAGAUGAGAGUCCCAACUACCUGGAAACUCUAUAACACAAGCUCGUAGCAUAUCCUCUAAAACUUGGUUCAAACGUUCAGUUUGACCAUCAGUCUGUGGAUGAAAGGCUGUACUGAAAUCCAAUCUCGUACCCAUAGCAGUCUGAAGUCCCUUCCAAAACUUGGAAGUAAACCGUGCAUCCCUAUCAGAAACAAUCGAUACAGGCACUCCAUGCAGUCUCACAAUCUCAGUUAAAUACAACUCUGCCCACUUACUAGCAGUAUAAGUGGAUUUUCCUGGUACAAAAUGUGCCGAUUUCGUAAGCCUGUCUAUGACAACCAGAAUCACUGUGAAACCCUUCAGGGUCUUAGGCAGCCCUGAAAUAAAAUCCAUCGACACAUUCUCCCACUUCCACUCUGGCACACUUAAGGUUGUAAUAAACCUGCUGGUUUCUGUCUAGGUGCCUUAACUUGCUGACAUACUAGACACUUACUAACAAAUUCCGCCACUUCCCUUUUCAUAUUCCGCCACCAAUAAAAUCGUUUUAGAUCCUGAUACAUUUUCGUGCUACCAGGAUGCAUGGAAAAUGGGGAAUUAUGGGCUUCAUCUAGUAAGUCAAUCUUAACUGUACUGUUCGCUGGCACACAUAAACGUCUCUCAAACAUCAACCCACCAUCAGAGGAUAUGGAGAACUCAUCAGUCUGCCCUGUUUCAACAAGGCGACGUCUCUCCAUCAAAUAAGGAUCAUUACUCUGAGCAUCAACAAUCUUGUGCCUCAGAGUCGGUUGCACCGUUAAUUGAGCUAGCUGUGAGGUGACUCUCCCCACAGACACUGCAAUCUCAGCUCUCUCCAAGUCUCGAUGCAAUGGUACCUGUCUAGUAAUGAGUGCUGCCGAAUGUGAUACUUUUCUACUAAGAGCAUCAGCCACCACAUUCGCCUUACCAGGAUGGUAUAAUAUCUCACAGUCAUAAUCUUUUACCAACUCGAGCCACCUUCGCUGUCUCAUAUUCAACUCCUUCUGAGUGAAGAAGUACUUUAGGCUCUUAUGGUCAGUAAAGAUUUGUAUCUUUUCACCGUACAAGUAAUGUCUCCAUAUCUUCAAUGCAAAAACCACUGCUGCCAACUCCAAAUCAUGUGUGGGGUAGUUCUGCUCGUGACUCUUCAACUGACGAGAGGCAUAAGCAACCACCUUACCUUUCUGCAUCAAAACACAACCCAGUCCUUUCUUGGAAGCAUCACUGUAAAUCACAAAACUUCCAGAUCCAUCUGGUACAGUAAGGACCGGUGCAGUAACUAACCUUUGCUUUAAGUUCUGAAAACUAUCCUCACAAGCUGGACUCCAAACAAACGGAGUUCCCUUCCUUGUCAACUGAGUCAAAGGAGUAGCCAAACGUGAAAAAUCCUCCACAAACCUCCGGUAAUACCCUGCUAAACCCAGAAAACUACGAACCUCACUAACUGUGAGGGUCGAGACCAACUGGUAACCGCUUCUAUCUUUGCAGGGUCUACUGAAACUCCCUCACUGGAAACCACAUGACCAAGAAAAGCCACCUGCUUCAACCAAAAUUCGCACUUAGAACUUAGCAUACAGUUUAUUGACUCGAAGAGUCUCUAACACCUUAUGUAAGUGUUCCUCAUGUUCGGCUUCAGUCUUGGAAUAAACCAAAAUAUCAUCAAUGAAGACUAUCACAAAAGUGUCCAAGAAAUCCUUAAACACCCUGUUCAUCAAAUCCAUAAAUACAGCAGGUGCAUUAGUCAAACCAAAAGACAUUACUAUGAAUUCAUAAUGUCCAUACCUCGAACGAAAAGCAGUCUUAGGAAUAUCACGGUCUCUAAUCCUCAACUGGUGAUAACCUGACCGUAAGUCAAUCUUAGAGAACACCGUGGCUCCCUGUAACUGAUCGAACAAAUCAUCGAUUCUGGGUAAAGGAUACCUGUUCUUGACUGUUACUUUAUUCAACUCUCUAUAGUCAAUGCAAAGACGCAUCGACCCAUCCUUCUUCUUCACAAACAAUACUGGUGCACCCCAAGGUGACACACUAGGUCGAAUAAAGCCUUUGUCAAGCAAUUCCUGUAACUGUACCUUCAGUUCUUUCAACUCAGCAGGAGCCAUCCUAUAAGGGGCUCUAGAAAUAGGAGUAGUGUUUGGCUCCAACUCAAUGGCAAAAUCAAUCUCUAUGUGGCGCAGUCCUGGAAGAUCUUUUGGAAAUACAUCUGGGUAUUCUCUUACCACAGGUUCUGAAGUUAAAGAAGUCUCACCUUCCCUAGUAUCCACCACACUUGCCAAAAUACUCCAAGUACCCUGGCUGAGUAGUUUACUAGCUUUCAUAGCUGAGAUUACUUUAGGCAGUACUACUGUUCCUACUCCCUUGAAUUUAAAGCUAGAUGCAGUAGGGGGACUAAACACAACUUCCUUACGAGAACAAUCAAUACUAGCAUGAUUAGUAGCUAGCCAAUCCAUACCUAAAAUUACAUCAAAGUCACGCAUAUCUAAUACCAACAAGGUUACGUCCAGCACACGACCAGCUAUCUCAAUUUCACAUGCUUUAAUCUUUUCCUUAGACAACAUAAUUUCUCCAGACGGUGUAGACACUGACAAAACAUAGUCUAAGGGUUCCACCUCUAAGCAUGCAUGCGUCACAAAAAGCGAUGAAAUAAAUGAAUGAGAAGAUCCCGAGUCAAACAAGGUCAAGGCAAAAUGCCCUAAUACUGGUAAUGUACCUGUCACUACUGUGCCGGCCUUCUCUGCCUCUGAUCUAUUAGUGGCAAAGAUUGUACCCCGCUGUGGAGGUCUCUCUCCCUGACUGCUCGAUCCAGCCCCAGUAGAUCUCAAGGGACACCUAUCAGCCAUGUGUCCCUCUUGCUUGCACUUAUAACAGACUCUCGUUCCCAUCAAACAACGACCCAGGUGGCGUUUCCCACACGUAUUACAUACUGGCCUCUCUUGAGUAGUGUCUCCUGCACCGCCAGAACUCUGCUGGAAACUGCGAAAAGAAUCACCUGGUCUCAUGUUCCUCUGAGGAACUCCUACAGUUCUCUGCUCUACUUUUCUCUUUUGACCGACGACGAUCCCUUAUUAAAGCUCCUUGGCUGUCUUUCAUCCUUCCCAAUACUCAUAUCCACUGCCAGACGCAGUGCUUCAGCUUGGGUAGUGGGCUUUAGUGCUCGCACAAAACCCCUAAUUUCAUCUCUCAAUCCCUUGACGAACCUAUCAGCUCUAGCCUGCUCAUUACUAACAAGCUCAGGGGCAAAACGUGACAGCAUAUCAAACUCCUGGUCGUACUCCUCGACUGUCAUAUAUCCUUGCUUCAACUCCAAGAAUUCCUGGCUUUUGGCGUCUCUAAGGUUAGCCGAGAAAAACUUGGUAUAGAAGCAGUUCUUAAACUGAUCCCAGGUAAUUUGCCUCACAUCUCCACCUAGCAUGCGCAUUGUAGUCCUCCACCAGAUAAUGCCUCUGUCCCUCAGUAGAAAAGCAGCACACUGAACUCUGUGCUCCUCGGACAUCUCAUGUAAUUAAAUAUGGUUUCCACAGAGGACAACCACAUUUCAGCUUUAGUAGGAUCCUCCAGUGACCCAUCAAACGUCUGAGGGUCAUACUUCCGAAAGUCCCUCAAAUGUUUCGCCUCAGCAGAAAGUUGGUUAGGUAAUUCUUGUGCAGGAGGGGCUGCUGGUGCAGGGGAACUACAGGUGCAGGUGGAACCAGGUGCCUGCUGGUUUUGAGCUAUAGCUGUCAUAAGUUCUGUAAACCUCUGCUCCAUGUGAGCAGACAGUGCAUCAAACUCAACGUGAGUCACGGGUGCAGCAGGAAUUCGCUGUUCAGCUUGACCCUCAGUAGGCUGAUUACGACCUGCUCCUCUACCUCGGCCUCCUGCUCUCUACGACCUCCUCUACGUACUUCUUCCCUUGGCGGCAUAAUUCCUAUUACCACCAACAACACUCUUUAACAAAAUCUUAAUCAUAAACAUAAGCAAGUCUUUAUCGUCAUGCAAUCUAGUUUAAUUUAGGCAAGGUCAUGCAAAUAAACCAUACAUAUAAGCAUCAAGCAUACCUGACGAGAGACGAAGGGUCGCGUUAGCCAUAGGAACACAAAAACAUAGACUUACAUCGUAAGUCAGUCUACAGAACCUAAAACUUAGGCUCUGAUACCAACUGUAACGACCCAACUUUUCUAGGUAAGUCGAGGUCAUUAAUUUUUAAUAAAAGACUUUAUUGAUACAAAAUGAAACGUAAGUCAAUUUAAAACAAUCUAUGUCAGGCCUGAUUUUCAAAUAUUCAAGAAAACUUAAAAAUAACACUAUUUACAAAUAAAAGUUUGUAAACUAAGUUUUAGUACAUCUUAAACCUUAAAAGAAACCAUAAGCGGAAGCAAAAUGACACAGUUCCUAUGGAAUCACGCUUCCUUCCUCCCCCUCGCCGGUUUGCCACCUUUAUUUCCUUUGCCUGAAAAUUAAACAUAAGAAGGGUGAGUAUAACAAUACUCAGUAAGAGACCCUUACUGUCUCCGUCAGGGAAAAAUAAUUGUUAAAGUUCUAUUGGGACACCCUGUACAGUCGCAGUCUUGUGAUCGCGUAGGAUACACAUUUCAGUCUAACGCCCCGAAGGACGUACAUAUCAGUCUAACGCCCCGAGGGACGUACAUAUCAGUCUAACGCCCCGAGGACGUACAUAUCAGUCUAACGCCCGAGGGACGUUCAUAUCAGUCUAGUGUUCUGCAGAAACACAUAUCAGUCAAAUGCUCCCGAAGGUGCAAAAUAAAUUGGUGAUCCUGGGACACCUACAAGGUAAACAUCCCAAUACACAACCUAACAAUUUAUCCCUCAUUCCAUUCAACCCAUCUUUCAGUUACUUCAAAUCACAAAGUCCUUUCUUCAACAUCCUAACAGUCAACUUAUUUUACUACAAUCAUAUGUCUGUCAAUAAUAUGCUAAUACAUCAGUCAAUUCACUAUACAGUCAAGUCAAUACACCCCUCAGUUCACCAGCACAAACCACAGUUCAGUAUAAUCCACAUCCACACCGAACAAAUUCACUAGUUCACAUCCAAUCUUUAUACAGCACAAUCUAUUAAUAUCAUCAUGUACACUAAGCAUAAUUUCAGUCAUUCACAUGUAUACUUUCGCAAUCCACAUCAAUUCACACAUCAAUGUAUAUAUAUAUGUUUCCAGUCAAAUACAACAUACACUAAACAUUUAGUCUGCAAUCAAACAUGUACAUCUUAAUCAUCAUCCAUACAGUCCAACACAACUCAAAAACUUUAGGUGAGUCCAGUAGAAAAUCCCUUACCUCACUUUUAUGCAGUUCUUCAAUCUACUAAAUCCAAUGAAUCAAAUCCUAACAUAAUCAAUCAUAAAAUCAACAUCUUCUAAAUAGUUUCAACCAUUCAAAUUACCCCAUAUGUAAAUUCACAACUUACCCAAGAAGUGAGAGAAUCAAGUCCACUUCAACCUUUUGGAAAAUCAAGGAUUCGCUCACUGAAUCAAGAUGUACCUUCAAGAAUUAAGCAUUUCGCCAACAAUUAAAUCCAAUGGCAGCAUCCAACAAAAACCAAGAAACCAACAAAAACCAUAACUUGUUCUUACCCAAAUAUGAGCCCAAUGGUUCACGACGAGGCAGAUCUGGACGACGAUUUGCUUUCCGAGGAGGCACGACGGUUGUGAGCGAAGAGGCACGGCAGUUACAGGCAGAUGGCGCGCGACGGUUUAGAUCUGAAGAAGAAAGAGAGGGUGGCAGUUGGGUUCGGCGAGCGGCGGCGGUUUUGCUUCGCGAACGGAGAUGGAGACGGCAGUUCGGCGCGCGGGACGAUGCAACGCAAAUCUGGACUGGCAGCGGCACGGUCUUGCUUCGCGGCUGGGUAUGGUGAAAAAGAAAGAGAAACGGAAGAAGAGAAGUCUCGGUGCGGUUGCUGGGCUACGGGCGGUUGCUGGGCUGCGGCGGAAGGAGAAAAUGGAAGGAAGAGAUCGGCGGAAAGAAGGAGAAGAUGGAUGGAGUCAGAUCGCACGGGGAAGAAGAAGGGAGAAAGAAAAGAAAAAGAAAAAGAAGAAAAAAAAAUAAUAAAGAAAUUUUAAUACUAAAGUAAAAUAAAAAUAUAUAUAUAUAAUAUAUAAUAUAUAUAUAUAUAUUUACCUUUCUUUGGGCAUUACAUUUUUUUUUUAAUUUUAGCAAAUAACAUUUUUUGCACGUGCAUAAUAUUUAUAAAAUACCAAAAUAUCCACAUUCUCCAACUAAAAUUAUUUUGUUUCUAUGUUGUAAUUAAUUUAUAUUAUGCAUUUAUCAACUUUUAAUUAUUUUUUACCUGAAAAAAGAUACAUAAACUCAUAUAUAUACUUUUUUCUUAAUAUCUCGGGACUCAACUAAUGGAUUCAAGACUUUAACUUUAUUUAAUCUUACUAAUUUCAAAAUAACCUAAUUGAAUUUGAAUUUCAAAAUAACCAAAUUGAAUUUCAACAUAACAAAAUUAUUAUUUUUCAAAUUUGAUAAUCUCAGAAAUAGAUUUUGUAUCAAAAUAACUUUAAUUGAAUUUCAAAAUUAAAAAAUAUCAACUUAUUCACUCUUUAUCUCACAAUAAUAUUAAUGGCUUGAAUAUCAAGAUAAUUAAAUUAUUGUUUUUAAAAUUGGGAGAAACUCAACAUUAAAAAAUAUCAACUUAUUCACACACAAUCACACGCGCACACACAUACAUACACUUGCACGCACGUGCACCCAUACACGCACACACACACGCGUGCACACACACACACACACACAAACGCACACAUGCACACGCACACCAAACCGCACGCACACAAAUACACACACACACGCACACUAAUGGUUCAAUUUCAUCGAUUGUUCCUAUUUUUCUGACAGUUUAUUUUUGCCAUCGAUAGAGGAUCUUCCGACAGACCUGCGUGACGGUGUGUGUUGACAGCUUAAUUUCGUUGGCAAAAGAAAAGUCGAUUAGUUUUUGAAGAUUUACUGACGAUAUUUGUCAUCGACAAAGGGUAAAUUUCUUGUAGUGCAUGUACAUCAAACAUAUCAAAUUUGUUAAGUGUACCAAUGAAGUAUAAGAAGUUUAUUAGUGGUGUAUCAAGCGUAUCAAACUUAUAAGUGAAGUCUUUAAGUGUAUCAAACUAAUCAAGUGUAUCAAGGUCUCAGGGUAUCAAGUGUAUCAAGAAGAAUCAAGUGUAACGAGAAGUAUUAUGUGGAACGAGAAGUAUUAUGUGUAUGAAGAUGUUUCAGGUGUGUAUCAAAAAGUAUCGAGUGUAUCAAUGAGUACCGAGUGCAUGAAUUGUAUCUAUCAAAUGUAUCAAGUGUAUCAGUAAGAAAUAUCAAGUGUAUCAAGCGGUAUUAGGUGUAUCAGACGUGUAUAAGGUGUAUCAAAUGUACAUCAAUAACGAGGGCAUUUGUGACAUUUUACCUCUUGAUGUGUGAGUUGGUCUUUGUUUUUGUCAUUUUCUCAAAUAAUAAAGUAUGUGUUCUAUGAACUUAAUUAUUAUAACUUACACUACUACAAAAACAGGCUCUCUUGACGUUUGCAGUUUUCCUUUCUUGACGUUUUUUUCAAAAAACGUCAAGAAAGAUUUCAUUUUUAAUAAAAAACGUCAAGAAAUUUUUUGAAACAUCAUUCUUGACGUUUAUUAAAUGUCAAGUAAAAUAAAUUUUUCUUUGACGUUUUUAAAACAUCAAGAAAUAUCUAUUAAUUUUUUGACGUUUUAAAACGUCAAGAAGCGUAUGAAUUCGACAUGCUUGACGUUUCUUAAACGUCAAGAAUUUAAAAUUUUACUCGACGUUUUAAAAACGUCAAGAAAUUCAUAAAAUAUUCAAGAAUAUUUUUUAAAUUACACUGAGAAGGUAUCGAAUUUUAAUUUUCAGCUCUAACAUUUUUCCUAAUCUACUUUUUUCUUCUUCACGACUGAGUAUUCGAGGGAGUCAUUUUUUGAAUUUGUUGACAUUUUUUAAACGUUAAGUAAGAUCAUUUUUUUUUUUACAUUUUAAAAAUGUCAAGUGUUAUUAAAUAAAUAUAAAAAAUAUAUUGGGCUAAUUUUAUUUCUUUAAAAUCUCUUUAAAUAUAUAGAUACAAUAAUAAAAAUCUCUUUAAAUAUAUAGAUACAACAAUAAAAAUUUCUUUAAAUAUAUAUAGAAAAAAAAUAUUGUACUAAUAUUAUUCAGAAUCACUUUAAAUAUAUAUAGAAAAAAUUAUUGUGCAAAUAUUAUUUUUUAAAAAGCCCUAGCCCCUUUCUACUCAAAACACGCGUGUUCCCCUUUCCCUCUCCAGCCGAAAUCCUUCCCAUUCGAAAAAAGUGUGUUCAGCAGUCGUCGUUCGCUUUCAACGCCUAUCCGUUCGCCUUCAACGUCUGUCCGUUCGAUUUCACCGUCGAGUUCCACCUCUUCGAAUCCCUCACGUCCGUCGUUUCAAAGUCCUUCGUCCGCUGCAUUCCAUCUUUCCAAAAUCCCUCAGUGCCUCACGCUACUGCGUGCCCGUCAUUUCGACUUCACCAACGAGUGCCUCACGUUCGUUGCUUCAAAAUCCAUCAUCCACUAAGUUGAGGUUAGGCUUUUAUUUCCCUAAAACAUAUAACAAUUUCAUUAUUCUUCAUUAUAUAAACUCAGAUGGCAUGAUUGGCAAUAAUAGAUAGGAAGGAUGGAGGUGUAAACUUCGAAUUGAUUGAAAUUCGUAUACUUUUAUUCAAUCUUUAAAGUACUGUAGUUUUUCUUCACCAUCAAAUUUUAUUAGGAUUUAAAGAAAACAAAUGAAUGUAUGAACAAAUUUUUGGGAGUGCAUGUCAUAUAAUCAACUUCCCUCUUUCAGUAAUUUUGAAGAUCUCAUAUAACAAUACUACUAAUUGAGAGCUUUGGAGGAUGAGUCAAUUCUUCUCCCUUCGUGAAAAGAAAAAGAAAAAAAGAUCAUGUAUUCUCUUUGUUUGUUACCUUAUGUUGUCCAAGGUUUUGCCUUCUUCCUUAAUAAUUUGGAGGUGUUUUAACUAAUUUUUUCAUUCACCCUCUUUUUGCCAUAGUUGCUUUUGUGUGCAGCUUGAGAUUUUUAAUUCAAUUGUGUGUUUUUACUUUUUUCUAUUGGGUGAAUUCUGUUUUGACUUUUUUUAAGCUAAAUAUAAUUAAUUGUUUCCUAUGGAACCAUAACCUUGAUCUUGGUUAUAGAUUUCAUUUUAAGGUAAAAGUAAAACACUCUUAUUUGAAUGAUUAUGUUGUAUUAUCCAUUGAAAGACUUGGUGUUGUAAUUGCCUUGUCUUCCUCAGGUAUUCUGUUGUAUGGUUGAUUACGAUCUUCAUGAUUGGAAUCUUUGUUUAGUGAAGCUCAUUUUGUUUGAUUUACUCAGUCGUGCAAUUGCUUUCUUUUUUAUGAUCACUUUAAAAAAGAAAUGAGUUUAGUUAGUUCUUUUAAUUUUCUUAAGUUUCAUUUGUAAUGCAUGAAAAUCUCUUAGCAGUAGAAACUGAAGACCAUAAUUGUAGAAGAUUUGUAUAGAUUGGAUUCACAUUCUCAACAUUGGUUAUACAGGCAUUACUUAUCAUUGUCCUUCCACUUUAAUUAUCAAUAGUGACAAUAACUUUAUUUCUCAUUAGAUUUACAAUGAUGGAUAAAUCUUGGAUGCACAAGAGUAGAUUGUCUAAAGAUUAUGAGUUGGGUGUGGAAAACUUCAUCAAAUUUGGAUUUUCUAAUACAACUAGCUCCUAUAUUCGUUGUCCUUGUUUGAAAUGUGGGAAUUGUGAAAAACAUAGUAGAAAGGGUGUUAGAGAUCACUUGUAUGUUAAUGGUAUUGAUGAAAGUUAUAAAUUUUGGUUUUGGCAUGGGGAAGAACUUCCUAACUCAUCCUUCUAUGAUGAAUCUUCAAAGUUUGACACCCAUACAUGUGAAGAUCAGGAUGUUGGAAGUGUAAAAGAAAUGAUUGAAGUUGCUCAUGAGGAGUAUUCAAAAGACCCAACUGGAUUUGAGAAGUUGCUUAUUGAUGCUGAAAAACCAUUGUACGAAGGAUGCAAAAAGUACACAAAGUUGUCUACUCUAGUCAAAUUGUAUAAUUUAAAAGUUAGGUAUGGAUAGAGUGAUACUAGUUUUUCAGAAUUACUUGAAACUUUGAAGGAAAUUCUGCCUAAUACCAAUGAGCUCCCGAAUUCAUUGUAUGAAGCAAAGAAAACAUUAGGUGCAUUAGGAAUGGAAUAUGAAAAGAUUCAUGCAUGCCCGAAUAAUUUUGUCUCUAUAGAAAAGAAUUUGCUAAUGCAAUUGAAUGUCAUGAAUGUUGUCAAUCAAGGUGGAAAAACGUCAAGGAUACAAAUGAAAGGAGAAAGCAAAUUCCCUCUAAAGUGAUAUGGUACUUUCCAAUCAUUCCACGAUUUAAAAGGCUAUUCAGAAGCAUUGAAUGUGCUGAAAACUUGACUUGGCAUUCUACUGAAAGAAUUAAUGAUGGUAAGUUACGACAUCCAGCCAGACUCUCCAGCAUGGAAGUUAGUAGACAUGAAAUGGCAAGACUUUGGUUCUGAACCCAUAAAUCUUCGUUUAGCAUUGUCAGCCGAUGGAGUAAAUCCUCAUGGUGACAUGAGUUCUAAAUACAGUUGUUGGCCGGUAGUGAUGGUUAUUUACAAUCUUCCACCAUGGUUGUGUAUGAAAAGAAAGUACAUGAUGCUAUCAAUGCUAAUUUCAGGACCAAAACAACCAGGGGAUGACAUAGGCAUAUACUUAGCACCACUAAUUGAAGAUUUAAAACUUUUAUGGGAAAGUGGUGUUGAAUGUUAUGAUGCUUAUCGAGAAGAACCAUUCAACUUAAGGUCAGUUUUGUUGUGGACAAUCAAUGAUUUUCCUGCAUAUGGUAACCUUAGUGGAUGUUGUGUGAAAGGGUAUAAAGCAUGCCCAAUUUGUGGAGAUAAUACAAAUUCUAUAAGGUUAAAGUAUGGGAAGAAAAUGGCAUACCUUGGACAUCGUAGAUUUUUGGCACGAAAUCAUCUGUAUCGACGACAAAAGAAGUCAUUCAAUGGUAAAAAAGAACUUGAUACAAUUCCAGAGCCACUUUAUGGGGAGGAUGUGUAUUUAAAAUUGAAAGAUCUUGAAUUUUCUAGAGGGAAGAAGAACCAUAAGAAACGGUUGAUGAACAGAAGUGACAAAAUUUGUUGGAAUAGAUUAUCUUCUUUUUUUGAGUUGCCAUACUGGAAGGAUCUUCAUGUUAGACAUUGUUUAGAUGUGAUGCACAUUGAAAAAAAUGUUUGCAUGAAUAUCUUAGGUACAUUUCUUGAUAUUCCUGGAAAAAGUAAGGAUGGAUUGAAUGCUAGACGCGAUUUAGUUGAUCUAAAACUUCGACCAGAGCUUGCCCCUAUCAGAAUAUGUUACUCCUACUAAUUACUUUCAUUAUGUAAAAAAGACAUCUAAACGUGAGGAUGAGAUUAUACUUGAGAAUAAAGAACUUCGAAGGCGUGUAAGCGAAUUAGAAGCACAUAACCACUCAAACUUGUCUAGACCAUUAUCUGGACAUGGUAGCUGUUCGAAGCCAAAUAUCUUAGAAGAGAGUGACUCGAUGAAAAUAAUCAAAGGGAAGAGUAAGUUGAUGGAUAAAAUCGAAGGGAAAGAGGUGGAGGAGAUCAAUGUAAAUGACGACAAAGUAGAGUUGGACAUCUUUAAGGUAUGUGAUCGAUCCUCUAAUAAACUCAAAUUCUUAAUAUUCAUAUCAUAUUGAAAGUGAAUGUUUUUCUUGAAUUAGGAGAGAGCCUUAAUAAAAAUGACUAAGGAAAAAGAGGUUGUCUGUGAAUCGACGUCAGUUUUGCCAAUGGGAAUGAAGUUGAUUCUCAUAUACGUUGAGAAGAUAAUGGAGAAAGAUUCUAGUAUCACUAUUCCACUACUGUUGGCAUUUUUGGUAUUAGUCGAAAGACUUCUGUUCUCCGAGAGGACAUCAUUGAUCUUUGUAACAUGAAUGAGGUCAAAACAUUUACAUUGGUGGCCUAUAUGACGUAAGUAUCAAUUUCAUUUCUUUAGAUCUAAAUUUAUGUAUCUCGUUUACAAGUUUAUAAUAUUUUGUAGGUACUUGUAUUCAUCUGUUCUUGGUUCGAAGGAAACUAUACAGUAUGUCUUUGUAGAUCCAUCCCUCACCUCUGUCGGACACUCGCAAGAAUCUCGAGUUCGACACUUAUGCAGUAGAUUGAUGGUCUCAAAGAUUAACGAAAUAGUUCUUGCUCCUUUUAAUCCUGGGUAAGUCAAGUUAUUUUAUUACUUGCAUUGCAAAAAACUAGUACUAAUAUUUUGUAUAAUUAGGGGUCAUUGGGCACUGCUGGCCAUAAAUGCAUAUGAUGAUAUAGUAUUUUACCUCGACUCACUAAGGACAACAUCGAAGUCAACUAUAAGAUACGUCACCGACACGUAAGUUAAUCUAGUAUUUCAUUUAGUGUUGAUUCUUAUAUGCAUGUACACAAUAUUUAAACUAUUUGUUCAAUCUUAUCUUGUCAAAACAGAGCAAUAGCGAUGUUUCAGUCACAAAAGAACAUUAAAAAAAGUAGAAAACAAACUUUAUGGCUAACAGUAAAGGUAAGUAUCAACUUUUAAAGUCAUUAAAUUUUUGUAGACUACUAGCAAUUAGGAUUACUUUGUUAUUCAAAUUUGUUGCUUUUAUAUAGUGUCCACUGCAAGGAAGUAUUGAGUGUGGAUACUAUGUGAUGAGGUAUAUGAGAGAAAUUGUGACUAGGGGAAGCAUUGUCAUAUCCGAUGCGGUAUGUUAUAUAUCAAACUAUUGGUUUUGUGAGUUAAUUGGUUUAUUUGUAUAGUCAGUUAAUUCAUUUAAUUUAUUUUGUAUGUUUAUUGAUUGAUACACGAAGAUCAUACUCACAGGCAGAACUACACGAGGUGCGAGUUGAGUUAGCUGACUUUUUGGGUUCUUACAUAUGAUUAUGACCAAUAUUUUGUGAUUCUGAAGUAGGAAAUUUUUUGUUGUGUCGCUUCUUUAUGACCCUAAACUUUAUGUAUAGAAACUUUAGCCGAUAAUUCUUUUGAAUUGUUCAUAUGGAGGAAGGGGGGAGGGGGGUUCAUUCGUAUAUAUUUUUAUUAUUGUUAUAGCUAGCAUGUUUUGUGACUUUUUAAGUUGAUUUGGAUUCAUGGCAAUGUAAUGCCAUAUGAAAUCUAAUGUAAAGCCUAUUUCAUUAUGUAUAUGUAAAGUCUUGGAAUUGAAUAUAUAUGGUGAAUGGUUUUAUUUAUAUAUGUUUGAGAUUUGAAACUAUAUUUGAUGAAUAUCAAAUAUCUAUGAAACUGUUGUGGACAAUUACAGGAUAAUUACAGGACAAUCAGAAUAUAUUUCUUUCCAUUACAGCAUAAUUCAAUUACAAUUUCUUUUUUUAAAAAAAAUUAAAAAAUGCUUGACGGUUUUAAAAUGUCACGAACAAUUGCAAGCUUGACGGUUUUAAACUGUCAUGAACAAUUGCAUUUUUACGGUUGACAAAUGUCAAAACAAUUACAUUCUUGACAGUUUUAAAAUGUCAUGAAUAGUAAAAUUCUUGACGGGUUUAAAAUGUCAUAAACCAGUUCAUCCUUGACGGCUUUAAAAUGUCAUAAACAAUACCAGUCCUGACGGUUCUAAAACGUCAUGAACAUAAGUAUAUUUGACGUUUAUAAAACGUCAACGUUCACUAUUCUUGACGUUUAAUCAACCGUCAAGAACUUUGCCUUUCUUGACGCUGGCUUCAACGACGUUUUUAAAACCGUCAAGAGAGCCGUCUCUUGAAGUUUAAAAACGUCAAGAGAGCCUGUUUUUGUAGUAGUGUUAUUUUGCCAUUUUCGCAAGUGUCCCUUAAUUGUAAUACAUGUAUAUGUGACAUAAUCUAAUCAAACUAACCAUAAAUGGACUUAAUGUAUCAGGUAUUAGGUGUAUCAGACGUGUAUAAGGUGUAUCAAAUGUACAUCAAUAACGAGGGCAUUUGUGACAUUUUACCUCUUGAUGUGUGAGCUGGUCUUUGUUUUUGUCACUUUCUCAAAUAAUAAAGUAUGUGUUCUAUGGACUUAAUUAUUAUAACUUAUUUUGCCAUUUUCGCAAGUGUCCCUUAAUUGUAAUACAUGUAUAUGUGACAUAAUCUAAUCAAACUAACUCAUAAAUGGACUUAAUCGAUCUCAUGGACCACGAAUUCUUCAAUUACUUGCAAAUUUGGUGAGUUCCUUCAAACAGUGGGCGAAGAGCUUAAUUUUGAGAGAGAGGAAAAGUCGUGAAGAGUAUAUGCGAGAGAGGGGGAACGUGCCAGAGAGCAUUUGCGAGAGAGCUAAAGACAGCGACGAUGUGGGAUGAAGUAAGGUUUUUUUCGGUCGUUGUUCACAGUGGGAUGAAAGCUUCGAAUUAUUUGUUUUAAAUCAAAAGGCGUAAUGAUUGAAGGAAAACAUUUAUUUUUUAUUAGGGUAAUUUUUAAUGACACAUAAUUUAUGUCAUUAAUUAACAAUGCGAAAAUUUUGUCAAGAAAACUCAAUUUGUGUCACGAAAAAUUUUGUAUUUUUAUUUUUAACGACACAUUUUAUUCCCUCAUGUCCCUUUUUCUUGAUUUCAAGUGUCAUUAAAACUUAUUGUUGAAUAAGAAAUUUUGAGACCAAUCACAAGUUGCCACAUCAUUUAUUAAGUUAAUGAUGAAAAGUACAAAUAAUUAAAUUUGGGACUAAUUAAAAUUGACAUAUGCUCCAAAUUAAAGAGUUGAAAAUAAAUAAAAUGGUCAUUCUAAUAAUGCCACAUGUUUUCAUAUUAAUAGUUGGAUUAAGUUAAUCAUUUUAGUUCAAUUAAAUAUUAUUUACUUGGACUAAGUUCAAUUAAGCCCAAAAAAUAAGCUUAAUUGAGCCCAAAGACUAAAUAUAACCUAAGUCCAUAUGGUUGAGCCCAUGCGUCUGGUCCAUGGACCAACUAGGUUCAAACCCAUAAAGCCCACCAGUGAACUCUAUAAAUAGAGGAAUUCUCCUCAUUUGUAGGGGUUGGAAAAUAUUGACUCUAGAAGAUCCAGAGAGAAUUCUUCAAAGAGCUAGAAGACUCCCUAACUCCUGAAGUUGACCAUCCUCGAAGAUUGAAGCUUCUUUAAAGAUACAAGCUUUCUUCCAAGGCUUCAACUUCAAGAACAUCACGUGCUUCGCUUCCUCCAAAUCAAGCUGAAGCAUCCAGUUGAGAGAGAAUCAGAGGAUCAAAUUCUAGAGAUUGAACCGCAUCGCAUCAAAUCAACAAAAAUACAACAUCAACUCAAGUUCAAGUCCACGAAUUAAAUUUCUCCAGAAAUCUCGUGCGAACAAAUUGGCACGCCCAGUGGGACCAUCUCUACCUCUCAUCUCUCUCUCAUCAUCUAGAUCUACAAGCAAAUCAAUGGCAUCAAAGAAAGUUGCAUCCAAAUCUUCAGCUGCAAGCGACACCUACACGGGACCUAUCACCUGUAGUCGUUCCAAGGGGAUCAUCCAAGGGCAAGACCAAGGUUCCGCCAUCGCGCAGAGCAUCCUGAAGCAAUUAAUGGAAUCUCCUAAAGCUGGAAUUGUCAUCAAGGAAAAUCCUCUAUAUAAUGAUUAUGAUUCUGCCUCUAGCAGGUCACUGAAAGAAGCACACCCAGAUGUGAUGUCCGUCAUGAUGGCUGAUGUAGCAGUCGAGACUGCCAUGGCGGAGAUGGAGAGAAAAUUAAUCUCCUGAUGAAGGUUGUUGAUGAACGAGACCACGAAAUUACAGCUUUAAAGGAGCAGAUGCAGACUCGUGAAACUCUGAAUCGAGUCAAACUUGUCGUUAAAGUUGAUGACAAAGGGAAGAACGUGGUACAAGAAAAUCAGCCACAACAACAAUCAACUUCUGUGGCUUCUCUCUCGGUUCAACAAUACAAGAUAUGAUCACAAACUCCAUCAGAGCACAAUAUGGAGGCCCAUCUCAGACUUCUUUCAUGUACUCUAAACCAUACACCAAAAGAAUCGACAACUUGAGAAUGCCGCUUGGAUAUCAGCCUCCAAAAUUCCAGCAGUUUGACGGAAAGGCAAUCCAAAACAGCACGUUGCUCACUUCGUCGAAACAUGUGAGAAUGCAGGAUCAAGAGGAGAUCAACUAGUCAGACAAUUUGUUCGAAGCUUGAAAGGAAAUGCUUUUGAAUGGUAUACUGAUCUGGAGCCAGAAAGCAUUGAGAGUUGGGAACAACUAGAAAAGGAGUUUCUCAAUCGCUUCUACAGCACCAGGCGUACUGUAAGCAUGAUGGAGCUUACAAAUACGAAACAAAGAAAGGGAGAACCAGUCAUCGACUACAUCAAUAGAUGGAGAGCUCUAAGUCUUGACUGUAAAGAUCGGCUCACCGAACUGUCGGCUGUAGAAAUGUGCACCCAAGGCAUGCACUGGGGACUCCUCUACAUUUUGCAGGGAAUAAAGCCCCGCACAUUUGAAGAACUGGCAACUCGAGCUCAUGAUAUGGAGUUGAGCAUCGCCAGUAGAGGAACUAAAGAUUUUCUUGUUCCUGAAGUAAAGAAAGAUAAGAAAGAGAUGAAAGGUGCUGAAAAGAUAGUGAAAAGCACCGCGAAAGAAUCUAUGGUCGUAAACACAACCCCGCUGAAAUUCUCCAAAGGAAAGGAAGCGAGGGUUGAAAAGAAGGAUGAUGGAAGCGAAAGGCGACGUCUGACUUUAAAAGAAAGGCAGGAAAAAGUUUACCCAUUUCCUGAUUCAGAUAUCGCUGACAUGCUAGAGCAACUACUAGAGAAGCAGCUGAUCCAGCUGCCAGAAUGUAAACGACCUGAGCAAGCAGGAAAGGUAGAUGAUCCCAAUUACUGCAAGUAUCAUCGGGUCAUCAGUCAUCCAGUAGAGAAAUGCUUCGUGCUGAAGGAGCUAAUUCUAAGGUUGGCUCGUGAGAAAAGGAUUGAGCUAGAUUUGGAGGAAGUAGCUCAAACAAACCACGCUGAAGUGACGAUAAUGUCUGAGGCUUCUUCGUCGAGAUUGAUUUUUGAGCAAAGGAAAAGCUUGGUCCAGUUCGGGACCUUUGAGCCUAUAGUUGUCCAAUUCUUUCAGGAAAUCUCAUACGAGGAUCCUCAAGGAGAGAAAAGACCAAUCGAAGAAGACGAUGAAGGGUGGAUAGUGGUGACCCACCGAAAGAAAAGACAGUCGAUCCCGACCCAAAGAGAGUCUCGCUCUUACCAAAACUAUAGAAGAGGAAAUAAGACUCAAAAGAAUAAGAAAAAGAAGAAGACUCAUAAGCUUAAGCUCGUACAUAAUGAAGACAUGAAUUUCUCUCGACCUCAACGCUUAGUGACCUUGCAGACUUCCUUCCAAAAAGCUUCCUUUGUGAUCAUCAGGAUGAAGACCCAGAAGUCGUUGCGUGUCAUGCUAUCAACACAACGGAGGAAGAAAUAAUCCCUCCAAGAUCACUAGAAGGAGAGGGAGUAUCAAAAGACCUUUCAAGGUUUAAUGUAGAGGAUCUAUUAUCACUUCCUCAAGAGACCAAAACCAUCCUUAUUGAUGCAUUGCUAAAUUCAAGAGCAUCAAGUUCGAGUACUCCGACUAUGACAUAUGAGAGUGGUUCUUAUUGUAUGUCUAUAGACUUCUCAGAUGAGGAUUUGUUGUUGGGAUCUAAACUUCAUAAUAGACCUUUGUAUGUUUCUGGAUACGUUCGAGAACAGAGAGUCGAUCGAAUCCUCAUUGAUAAUGGCUCAGCUGUCAACAUAAUGCCAAAGUCGACUAUGUGGCAAUUAGGCAUCUUGAUGGACGAGCUCUCAAAUAGCAAGCUAGUAAUUCAAGGUUUUAACCAAGGUAGCCAAAGAGCAAUAGGCAUGAUACGGUUAGAACUCAUAAUUGGCGACCUAAAGGCCAGUGCAUUGUUUCAUGUCAUAGACUCAAGGACUACUUACAAGUUGUUACUAGGGCGUCCUUGGAUUCAUGGAAACGGAGUAGUAACUUCAACACUGCAUCAGUGCUUCAAAUUUUAUCAGGACGGUGUAAAGAAGGUUGAAGCCGACUCUAAUCCAUUCUCAGAAGCUGAGUCUCACUUCGCAGAUGCAAAGUUUUAUUCAAAGAAUAAUAAUAUUUUAGAAGUUUUGCCUGCAGAAACCCCUCUUACAAAAGGAGAAGAUAAUUCACAACUGAAAUCACUCGCAACCACAGAACCACAUGAAAGUGCGAGAACCUUUAACUCUGGAAAGGGUGAAGCAUACACUAGCAGCACAAAGGGUAUGAUCUUGAAGGAUGAAAAUGCUGCAAACACACCAGUUUUGCGUUAUGUCCCUCUGUCAAGGCGCAAGAAAGGCGAAUCACCAUUCAUGGAGUCUCCAAAAGGUUUGAAAGUUGGUGACAUCGAAAUCAUAAAAGAAAGCUUCACUACACCACUAACUAAGAUAGCGAAGCAGGAGGUAAAGGUAGAUCUGGUGGAAGCAAACUUGCCCCAAAGGCGAACGAAAGACGGAUUCGACCCCAAGGCUUACAAAUUGAUGGCGAAAGCAGGUUAUGACUUCACAGCUCACACCGAGUUUAAAAGCUUGGAAAUUCAUGACCGACCUGAGCUCUCCUCAACUCAAAAGAAGCUUCUACGGAAGGACAUUCUAUACCCGUGUCGAGAAAAGGACUCGGAUACAAGUCGCCAGAACCGAUCCGUAUAACUAAAAAGGGAAGGAAAAAGUGGUUGACAUCAAUCAUAUAACUAUAGAGGAUGACAAUACUGACGUAAAAGAAGGUGAUAAUCAGAGAAUCUCAGUAUUUGAUCGAAUUAGACCAUCUGUUGCACGUCCCGUAGUAUUUGAAAGGCUAAGCAUGACAGAGGCAGAAAGAGAAAGGCUCCAGUCAGUACCAAACCUUGAGAGACAUUCGGUCUUUCGAAGGCUAACUACGACUCCCAUAAAGGAAGAAAGCACAUGCCAUGCCUUGACAACUACAAGACCAUCAGCCUUUGAAAGGCUAGGUGUGUCUAAAAAAAAAAUGUACAAGCACCCCGUGCUCCGAUUUUUAAUCAUCUCGGGGAUAAAGGAUCACACGACAACAUUGAUUCCAACAUAGCAAAGAAGAAGGAACCAAUGUCUCGUGUGAAAGUUUGGCGUCGAAUUAAGCAUACAGAUGUCGAUAAUUAUCGUAGUAAGAAGUUUCCUUGCGAGACAAAGGAAAAUGGAGAAAUUCAUAGCAACGUUCCUUCUCGCAUGAAAAGAAAAACUUUUGUUACUCUCAAUACAAGUCAAGGUUCGUUAAAGGUAAAAAGACAUGAUGUUAUACUAACGAAUCCUGAAAAAGAAGGGUCGGAACAAGGGGAAGGUGAAACUUCAUGUCAUCACAUCACCAUUAUUGAGGAAUCAGAGACUGGAACUCAUGAAGAAGACGCAGAAAAUGCCCCACAAAGUUUAGAGGAUGGUGGUCAAUCUACUGUAGACGAGCUAAAAGAGGUGAACCUUGGUACAAUAGAGGAACCACGUCCGACUUUCAUUAGUGCGUCCCUCUCUAACGAAGAGGUGGAUAAAUAUAUGAGUUUGCUCACCGAAUACAGGGACAUCUUUGCGUGGUCGUACAAGGAGAUGCCAGGACUUGACCCAAAAGUAGCAGUCCAUCAUCUUGCAAUUAAACCGGAUAUCGACCGAUUAAACAAGCACAACGACGUUUUCGACCGGAGCUUAUCCCUCAAAUCGAGGUGGAAGUCAACAAGUUGAUCGAAGCAGGAUUCAUUCGCGAGGUCAAAUAUCCAACGUGGAUAGCAAACAUUGUCCCUGUUAGAAAAAAAAAUGGACAACUUCGCGUUUGUGUAGACUUUCGCGAUCUGAAUAAUGCAUGCCCUAAAGAUGAUUUUCCCUUGCCCAUCACCGAAAUCAUGGUUGAUGCAACUACUGGACACGAGGCGUUGUCGUUUAUGGAUGGGUCGUCUGGAUAUAAUCAAAUACGGAUGGCCCUCUCAGAUGAAGAAAUGACAGCUUUCAGAACUCCAAAGGGAAUAUACUGUUACAAGGUGAUGCCCUUUGGAUUGAAAAAUGCCGCGCUACUUAUCAACGUGCCAUGCAGAAAGUGUUUGAUGAUAUGUUGCACAGGUAUGUUGAAUGUUAUGUUGAUGAUCUUGUAGUCAAAACAAAGAGACGACAAGACCAUUUGAAGGAUCUAAAAGUCGUGUUUGAUCGCUUGCGAAAAUAUCAGCUAAGGAUGAACCCUCUCAAGUGUGCGUUUGGUGUAACUUCAGGAAAAUUUCUUGGCUUCAUUGUAAGGCAUCGAGGGAUCGAAAAUAGACCAGUCCAAGAUUGAUGCCAUUCAGAAGAUGUCAAGACCUAAAAGUUUGCAUGACCUAAGAAGUCUCCAAGGACGACUGGCUUACAUCCGAAGGUUCAUCUCUAACUUGGCCGGUCGGUGUCAACCUUUUCAAAAGUUGAUGAGAAAAGGAGAAAAUUUUGUGUGGGAUGAAGCUUGUCAGAACGCUUUUGAUAGCAUAAAGAAAUACUUGCUUACUCCCCCAGUGCUGGGAGCUCCAGUACCUGACAAACCACUAAUAUUGUACAUUGCUGCACAAGAAAGGUCCUUAGGAGCAUUACUGGCACAAGAAGAGGUAAAGGGAAAGGAGCGUUCUCUCUACUAUCUAAGCAGAACAUUAAUUGGGGCUGAAGUUAACUAUUCUCCUAUCGAAAAGAUGUGUCUUGCACUUUUCUUUGCCAUUGAUAAGUUGAGGCAUUAUAUGCAGGCCUUCACGGUUCAUCUAGUGGCAAAAGCAGACCCUAUAAAGUAUGUUCUAUCCAGGCCAAUCAUCGCUGGACGCUUAGCCAAAUGGGCGGUUCUACUCCAACAAUAUGACAUUGUCUAUAUUCCCCAAAAGGCGAUAAAAGGACAAGCGCUAGCAGACUUUUUAGCAGACCACCCAAUUCCUUCGGAUUGGAAGUUAUGUGAUGACCUACCAGACGAUGAGGUUUUCUUCACAGAAGUUAUGGAACCUUGGACUAUGUACUUCGAUGGUGCAGCUCGAAGAAGUGGUGCGGGGGCAGGCAUUGUCCUCAUUUCUCCUGAGAAGCAUAUGUUGCCUUAUAGCUUUGCACUUUCCGAAUUGUGUUCAAACAAUGUGGCUGAAUAUCAGGCUUUGAUAAUUGGCCUUCAAAUAGCAUUAGAAAUCGGAGUGUCAUUCAUAGAGGUCUAUGGUGAUUCAAAAUUGAUAAUCAAUCAACUCUCGCUUCAAUAUGACGUGAAACAUGAAGACUUGAAGCCAUAUUUUGCUUAUGCUCGACAAUUGAUGGAAAAGUUUGAUAAUGUGAUGUUAGAACAUGUCCCUAGAGUAGAAAAUAAGAGAGCGGAUGCAUUGGCAAAUUUAGCCACGGCCUUGACCAUGCCAGAUGAUGUAACUCUGAACAUACCACUUUGUCAACGAUGGAUUAUACCCCCAGUUAGGCCUGAAUGUCAGGAAGUGAACAUGGCAACAUCCUAUUUGAUUGAUGAAGAAGAUUGGCGUCAACCCAUCAUAGAGUAUCUUGAACAUGGAAAGCUUCCAAAGGAUUCUCGUCAUAAAAUUGAGAUACGAAGAAGGGCAGCACACUUCAUUUAUUACAAGGGAACUUUAUAUCGCCGUUUUCUUGAAGGGCUCUUCCUUCGAUGUCUCGGAAAGGAAGAUUCGGUAAAAGCUCUAAAGGAAGUACAUGCAGGUGUUUGUGGAGCACAUCAAUCGGGACCAAAGCUUCAAUUCCAGCUAAGAAGAAUGGGCUACUACUGGCCUAAGAUGAUCCAAGAUUCAAUAGACUAUGUGAAGAAGUGUGAGCCUUGUCAAUACCAUGCAAACUUCAUACACCAACCUCCAGAACCUCUUCAUCCAACUGUGGCUUCUUGGCCUUUUGAGGCUUGGGGACUCGAUCUGGUUGGCCCCAUUACACCAAAAUCAUCAGCAGGACAUUCUUAUAUCCUAGCAGCAACAGACUAUUUUUCAAGGUGGGCUGAGGCCAUUUCAUUGAGAGAAGCCAAGAAGGAGAACGUGGCAGACUUUAUUCGAACACACAUCAUCUAUCGAUACGGUAUUCCACAUCGAAUCGUGACGGAUAAUGGAAAGCAAUUCUCCAAUAGUAUGAUGGACAAGUUAUGUGAAAAAUUCAAAUUCAAGCAAUAUAAGUCAUCCAUGUACAACGCAGCUGCGAAUGGACUAGCAGAAGCAUUCAACAAAACAUUGUGUAAUCUUUUAAAGAAAAUUGUCUCCAAGUCAAAGAGGGAUUGGCAAGAAAAGAUCGGCGAGGCAUUAUGGGCUUAUCGGACGACUCAUCGCACCCCUACAGGGGUUACACCAUAUUCGCUUAUUUACGGUGUGGAGGCUGUCCUUCCUCUCGAAAGGGAAAUUCCGUCACUAAGAAUGGCAGUACAAGAGGGAUUGACUACCGAAGAUAAUGUGAAGUUACGUCUUCAAGAAUUAGAAGCACUUGACGAAAAGCGAUUAGAGGCUCAGCAAGCAUUGGAAUGUUAUCAAGCGAGAAUGUCCAAAGCUUUUGAUAAACACGUUAAACCUCGCUCCUUUCAAGUCGGUGAUCUAGUACUUGCCGUAAGGAGACCGAUCAUCACAACAAGGCAUACAGGAAAUAAGUUCACACCUAAAUGGGAUGGACCUUACAUUGUUAAAGAAGUUUAUACAAAUGGCGCAUACAAGAUCGUUGAUCAAGACGGACUACGAAUUGGCCCAAUCAAUGGUAAAUUUCUUAAAAAAUUUAUGCUUAAUUUUGUUAGGUAAAAAAAAAAAAAAAAAAGUUGAACUACGUUAUGACUUGAUCCCUAUAUUAUAAAGGGUACGUAGGCAGCUUAAGGAAAACCUUAAGCCCAGUCCAGCAAAAAAAAAGUUGAACUACGUUAUGACUUGAUCCCUAUAUUAUAAAGGGUACGUAGGCAGCUUAAAGAAAACCUUAAGCCCAGUCCAGCAAAAAAAAAAAGUUGAACUAUGUUAUGACUUGAUCCCUAUAUUAUAAAAGGCAGCUUAAAGGAAACUUUAAGUUCAGUCCAAUAAAAAAAAAAGGAAGAAAGACAAAUUACAUUUAAUAGAAAAUAUGAUGAGGAGUGGAACAAUGAAAGAAUAAUUUUUUUUUUAUUAUUAUUAUAAACUUCUAGCAAAAAAAAAUUAAAAAGGCAUAAGUAGAUAAAUAAGAGAAAGCAGAGAAUCAUGGAGUCCAUUUAAAGUUCUUCAGCUCCUCUAGUGUGCUUUCUAAAGAUUCACGAAGUGUUGAUAGCAUUUUAGCAUCAAUAUCUCCAACGAUCGGGGCACAUUCGAGUUUGUCAAUUUCCUCACAAGUCUUCGAAAUCUCAUGUUGCUUCUGCUUCAGCUCCAGGUCGUUCUUAAAAAUUAUUCCAGAAAGUUUAGCAGACUCAACCCGCACCAUCUUUAGUUUUGCCUCUAGUUUAGCCUCCUUAGCGGACAGUCGUGUAAGACGACGUUUAGCAGUGUUGGUCUCUGCUAAUAUACGAUUCUCAUCAACUCGCAGAGUCUUCACAAAACCUUUUGCCUCCGUUAGCUGAACAUCCUUAGUUGAUUGGAGUGGAAAUGAGGAAUGUAUUUGAUUAUGGUUCUCGACACCUUGGAAGUAACCAUUCACAAGCUCCCUCAAAACAAUAAGGUUGUCGCUGCCGUUAGUCGCAAUCGCAUCAAAGAUCUUAUGCAUUUCUGGUUCAAGACUACUCAGUCGUUCAAAAGGGGUACGAAUGAUCUUCUGUCGUAGGUUUUCCCAUAAGGUUAUGGCAGCCUGUCGUCGGAGGUCAGAAAUUAAGCUGUCAGCACAAAAAUGAGAAAUCUCAGAAACUGUAAUAGGCUCUGUGCCUUCCACUUUUUGAGGAGGUCCCUUGAUCACAGGAGGACAAGCAGACACAAUAUUUGCGCCUAUAGGUUCCUUAGAGUUCCCAUUAUAAGAAAGUACAACGUUACAGUCUUCUAGAUUCAGCAUCAACUCUAGGGUAUCUUCGAUGUGUAGGUCAUGAUCACCUAAAGAAUACUACAAAAUAAUAUUAACAACAAGAAAUAAGGGGAGUAAAGGAGAGAAAAUACAAUCAAUAAAUAAAUAAAAUUGGGAGACGAAAAGAAACCAUGGGGGAAGGGACAUCGAAAAAUUGUGCAGCAUCAGGGACCCGAAUAGGAGACUCUUCAUCAUCGAUCGACUGUUUGUUAGGCUUCUUGGGUCUCUUCCAAUGGCGAUCAUCAUUGCUGCUUUGACUGUCCUCAAUACGUUUAGAAGGAUGCUUGGUAGCUAUCGAUAAGCGGUUGUCCUUACCCAUAUUGUCAAUACCACCUUUAAUAAGAUGUUUAAAUCGUGUAGAAAGAGACAAAUUAUCCACCAAGCGUUUUGUCCCUCCCUCAAUUUUCUCCACAAGUCGUUCAUCAGUUUCAUCGGAGCAUAUCUUCUGAUUUCCACUACCAAAAUUAUGUUCAAUCUUUUUUGUGGUUUUGGAUUUGAUGUGAGGGGGAGUAGGACGAUCUAUCAAAUGUUGUACUCCUUCUUGGAGGUAAUCACCGUGUUUUGCAAGCCACCAGACCUUAUAAUGAGAGGUAACAUGUGUGUCUGGAUUAGGGGCAGACACAGGAAGAUAUACUUGGGAAAGUGUAUUCUCGCGAAUACAAAUCAUCCAACAAUAUCGUACGUUAAAAAAAUUGGCUUCGGGAAUUUCUUCACCUAAGUCAUAUGGCACGUCUUGAUAAAAUCCAAAUGGUCGGCUAAAGCGACAAGGACUAUAAGGCUCAAUAACUGUGGAGGAUCCACAUUGCGAGGAUAGAAAACAAGAGCAAAUGCUUAUGAAAAAUGAAGCAUUCUAACUAAUUAACUCUCCAUCAUCCGUUAAGAGUUCGUCCUUAUUCUUUGUUGGAAGACACGCAUGCCAUGACACAUACUUUCCCUUGUGGAUAUGUGUUCGAGCCUCAAGAUUAGUAUAAUAUUUGGCCCCACCUUCACCAGAAAAUUCAACCAUGCGAGGACCCCUAAGACUCCUAGGGGCUUUAUAAUGAGUGUUGAAGUAAAGAGCAAGCCACCCAUGGACAUAGUGAAGAGGAAAACAGGCAUUUGAAUAACCAAGUGAUGAAGUAGAAUCAUGAACUUGGCGUAGGCCACUAUAAAUAUUAGCUAAAACAGGGACGGCAAGGCUAAAUGUGUAGCCUUCCGCCAUGAGGCUAGCAACCUUAAAAACCUCCGGACGAAGGGAAAGUUGCUUAUCAGGGAACACAAACACACAUAGCCAACAAGAGAGAAAUGCCGCUAGAUAGGUUUUGUCCCUAUGAUCAUCAGUGACGCUUAAGUCAAGGAACACUUUGAGUUCAGCUUUAGACCAGUCAGGACGUCUGAUGGGAAUUCCAUCUGGAUUAUGAGUUGAGCGAGGGCGAGAAGUCUUUUUAGGCUUUCGAGGAGGCGGUUUCGAAUACUUUACCUCAGAUCGUGUAACCCAAAAAGAGAUCCAUUCACUUACAGUGAUUUGAGAGUGAUCCAUGCGUUGAGAAACAAUGCGGUAAUAGGCUGCAAAUAAAUGCUCACAACUUCUUGGACAUACAUCAGGUGAUCCUAUUAAGUCUUGGUGGCAAGGAAUGCUUUCUUCAUAAAAUCUACCUUUAAUCGGGAGUCCUCCUAGUAUCCAUAAGUCCCAUAAGGAGAUGGACAUCUCACCAGCUGAGGUGUGAAGAGUGUUUGUUGAAGGACACCAUGCCUCGCAGAAAGCCCGAUCAAUGUCACUGUUGCGAUCAUAUGUAUAUAGGGAAGCCAUCACAGCAUUAAAUAGGGAGGCUCGCUUGAGUACUGCCGUAUUUCUAGCAACAACGAGCUCUAACCACUCCCAAUAAUGAGGAAGAUAGUAAAAUUCUCCAUGUACCUUGAGCACAUUUCCCCAACGAAUUUUUGGGUCGUUUAUAAUUCGACGACCCAACGUUGAUUCUGGAUCCUCAUUUGGAGGCUUGUUGUGAAUCGAAGACUCCAGAAACCAAGAUUUUAAAGAUGAAUUUGGAUUUACAAACCGUUCCUUGGACCAUUUAGGCAAAAAGAUAAAAUUGUCCUCGGGUAUUUGAGAGUCCAUAAUAUUCUCAUAUGUCCCCUCUCUCACAGGAAGAAUGAUCCCUUCCUCUAAAGAUUGAUCUACGUCCUUCAGGAUAAUUAAACACCUUUUGGUCGAGUCAGAAUACUCAGUGAAGUGCACCAUGAUGAAAAGAAGAGUUCCUGCAAAAUAAUAAUAAUAAUAAGAAGAAGAAGAAAUAGAAAAAAAAAAAAAAACCAAAACAAAAAAAAAAAAAAAAAAAAAAAAAAAAAAAAAAAAAAAAAAAAAAAAGAAAGAAGAAAAAAAAAAGAAAGAAAGAAGAAAAAAGGGGGGGGAAGAAAAAGCAAAUGGAGAUUGAAGCCCGACGAUGACAGAGUCGAUCUCUCCUACUAGGGCGAUAGAUCUGACGGCAAAAGCCCGAUCGUCCCUAGAAGAAGCUCAACAAAGUCAUUUCUGCAAACGAAGAUCGAAGCCCGACGAUGACAGAGUCGAUCUCUCCUACUAGGGCGAUAGAUCUGACGGCAAAAGCCCGAUCGUCCCUAGAAGAAGCUCAACAAAGUCAUUUCUGCAAACGAAGAUUGAAGCCCGACGAUGACAGAGUCGAUCUCUCCUACUAGGGCGAUAGAUCUGACGGCAAAAGCCCGAUCGUCCCUAGAAGAAGCUCAACAAAGUCAUUUCUGCAAACGAAGAUUGAAGCCCGACGAUGACAGAGUCGAUCUCUCUAACUAGGGCGAUAGAUCUGACGGCAAAAGCCCGAUCGUCCCUAGAAGAAGCUCAACAAAGUCAUUUCUGCAAACGAAGAUCGAAGCCCGACGAUGACAGAGUCGAUCUCUCCUACUAGGGCGAUAGAUCUGACGGCAAAAGCCCGAUCGUCCCUAGAAGAAGCUCAACAAAGUCAUUUCUGCAAACG